rnacentral:lncRNA from 1 species
UCGACUGCAAUGCCUUGGGGGCUCUACUCAUUGCAGUCGAGUCCGAAGGCAAAAUCGAUGACUAUGGAGACUUCCGACCAACCCCAGAGAUCCGAGCUCUCAUCCCUUCAGUGGAUUACGACAAGCCAAUCGAUGAACUACCAUUGCUGUUGGUGCAACUCACCAAGUUUAGCUGUGGUAGCAUGAGUCUGGGCUUGGGAAUAUCGCAUACCAUCGCUGAUGGCCUUAGUGCAUUACACUUCAUUUCAGAGUGGGCUAAAAUCGCCCGUGGCGAGCAAGCCAACAGCCCACCAUUUCUGGAUCGAUCAGUUUUACUAGCCCCGGAGCAUUUGACCGCACCAGUGUUUGAUCAUCCAGAGUUUGGUCCUCAACCCCUCUUGAUUGGGAAGCAAGAUAACAUGGAAGAGCGGAAGAGAGAAACCACUACACUCAUGUUAAAAUUAAGCAAAGAUCAAGUCGAGAAACUGAAGGACAAAGCCAACAAAGAUCGGAGUCCUUCCGACAACAAGCGCCCCUACACCAGGUAUGAGGCUAUUGCUGGACACAUCUGGAGGAGUGCGUGCAAGGCACGUCAGCAUGAAAGCCAGCAGCCAACACUAUUGUCUAUCAUCGUUGAUGCUCGCAAUCGCAUGGAGCCACCAUUGCCCCCCAGGUAUUUCGGAAAUGGUACAUUUCGGGUAACUGCUGAAACCACAUCAGGGGAGCUAGUCUCCAAUUCUUUAGGUUUUGCUUCAGGUAAAGCGCGACAGGCAAUAGAGAAGGCAACGCAUGAAUAUUUACAAUCAUCUCUUGUGUAUGUGAAAUGUCAGGAGGAUGUGACCAAUUUCAGGAAUUUCCACACCGUUGGGUGCGCCAAAGGGGCUUUCUAUGGGAACCCUAAUCUUGAGAUCACUAGCUGGGCUAGACUUCCCAUCUAUGGGGCAGAUUUCGGGUGGGGCCAGGAAAUAUACAUGGGGCCUGGAGGAAUUGGCUACGAUGGUAAGGUUUUCGUAUUUCCCGGCCAGGGUCAAGACGGAUCAUUCGUUGUUGCGUUGAGGCUGCAAGUACGCCACGUUGACGCUUUCCAGAAAUUCUUCUACGAAGAUAUUUGAGACUAUACCUAGUAUUUGAGUCUUCAACAAUAAAAUCCCAUCUUUCCCUUUAUUAAGUAAACUCAUUUCAUUAAUAUUUGAGUUUGAUUUUGAUUUUGCUUAAUUUUAUUAGAAAUUUGGAUUUGAUUGGAAAAGAAUAGAGAGAGCCAGUGUGUUUCUUUCUCAUAAUAACUUGUUCUUGUAUUGGAAAAUAUUUUGUCUUCAAAAACCAUUUUCAAUUAAUCCUUUACUAUAAAAUGAGGAUAAAACGUAACCCUAGGCUACUUUUCUAAGAUAAAUCAUAAUCCUUUGCUAUAAGUAUUAAUAAUAAUAAAAAAAAAACUCGAUGUACAAAAGAAAAGCAAACUUUGUAUGGGACUAAAUAGUGAAUAUUUCUUCUAUUGCCCUGGACUUCAUUUCUGACUCCGCCACUGUCGUAGAACGUGGGCAAAGCACGUUCUUUCCAUGGACGGGUCAUUUCCAUGUCUACGUCAGAAGUCAGGCUGUCUGGUGUUUUUGCCAAUUUCUUGUUGAAAUUAGAACAGGCAAGGGUUCGGUCCUGUACCUUACCCCGGGUCAGGUCAGCACAGCACAGAUUUACCUGUCUUGUAAGGCACAAGCUUGUCAGCGCAUAAUGCGCUGCAUCAUUGCAUUAAAGGUCCACCCACACGCCGUUUACCCCAUUUUUAUUUAUUUAUUAUUAUUAUUAUUAUUUUUUUAGAAUUGUGUUUUUAUCCGACUACCCUCAAAAAUUAACAUUUGAUCCAUAUAUAAUGGAUAUUUAAGUCAAAGAUCCAAACAAAGUAUAAAAAUUAAAAUGAAGGAAAUUAUCUUUUAUUAAUUUUUAAAAUACCCUUAAUCCUUAAAUAGACACAAGUGAAUGUGAAUUUCAAAUUUUUUUAUGUUUUUUUUUCAUUUUCUUUCCAUUUUCUAUUCCCUAUUAAGUAUUACUUAUUUUUAACUUCUUUUUCUCUCAAUCUAUAUUUUUAUUUUAUGUCAAAUAAAAAAUAAUAAUGUUUUUUUGUUUUUCAUUUUUAAAGAUAUUAAAUCUUUUUGCUCUUAUUAUAAGCAAUGAUAAAAAUUUUGGGAUUUUUCAUCCAAAUAUUUUUUAUCUUUUUGCAUUUAUCUUUUAGUUUAAUUUUCAUUUUUAAUUUUAAAUUUAUAUUACCCUUUCAUUUAUACUUUUCUCUUAUUUUUAAUUAUUUUUUAUAUUUUCUACAUUAACCAUAUUUUAAAAAAUUUAAAAAUUGACUAUCACUUCAAUUUAUUUUUUAUAUAUAUAUAUAUACUUUUAGCUUUUUAAUUUUUAAUGUUUCUAUUUUAAAAUUUUUAAAAAGAUAAAUUUAUUGAAAAAAAUAACUAAGGUAUGAAGUUCUAAUAUAAUAUUAAUAAUUUUUCUUAUCUAAAUAGAUUAAUGCAAAGUAUUUUGACUCACAACAAGAAAAUUGUCAGUACAAUUUUUUAGUUAAACUUUAGAAAUUAAAUUUUAAAUAAAAUAUUUUAUAUAAAAUUUUAUCUAAAAAUUAUUGAAAGUGGUAUUUAAUUUUUUUUAUUGACUUUCAAACUUAUCUAAUUUUUUACUUGAAGGGUAAUAGAACAUGUUUACAAAAAAAAAGAAAAAAUUAGUUUUUCAUUUUUUAAAUAAAUGAGUAUAAAUAUAUUAAAAAAAAUUAAAGAUAAUCUUAGUAAAAAUUUGAUAAAUAUGAUUAUAAUUUUAAAUAUAGACUCAUUUGGAUAAAAUUUCACAAAAAAAAAAGUAGUGGAAAGAAAAAACAUUGCUAAAAUUAUAAAAACAAAAUAUGCAAUUACAAAAUUUGAUGAUGAAAUUUAAAAAUAAAAUUCGAAAAAAUUCUUGAGUGAGAGAAUUUGAGUGGGGAAAAAUAGGAAAGUUUUUCAAAAUCACUUGAAAUCCUUAACAAAAAAUAGUCUUGUACACCUUUGUACAAUUAGUAAAUUUGUUUUGUAUAGUUAGUGUAAUACCCUUAUACAAUAACUCAAAUUUUAACAUCAUCUCAUGAAUAUCUGACAAUAGGUCGAUUAACCAUAUUUGCAUUGGUUUGGUUUUAGAAAAGAAGAAAAAUUGUUAUAUAAUUUUGUUUUACAAUUAUCAUAAGUGAGGUACCUAUUCAAAUGACCAUAUACAAGUUAGAGUACAUGAGAUGAAUGUAUGCUUAACCAAUGUGUGUAAGGAAUGUCAUUUAUCCUCGGUUAGGGGAAAUAAACAAACAAAAUUUUCAAAAUCACUUAAAAUCCUUCACAAAUAAUAGUCUUGUACACUCUUGUACAGUUAGUAUAUUUGUUAUGUACACUUAAUGUAAAUACCUUGUACAGUGACUCAAAUUCCAUAUACCCUGUACUUAAUGUGUAACCAUAGGUAGGUUAACCAUGUUUUCAUUGGUUUGUUUAAAAAAAUAGUGGAAGAUGGAAAAACAAAAUUUUCUCUCAAACAUCAUUAAUGGUUAGAACAUUUGUCUUGUAUAGUUAGAACAUUUGCCUUGUCCAAUUGAACAUUUACCUUGUACAAUUAGUAUAAUACCAUUGUACAAUGGUGCAGAUUUCAUUCAUAUGCAUACAUUAUGUGUCACAUAUGAUGUGUGAACCAUGUUUCCAAUGAUUUGAUUUAAAAAAUGAUAUAAAACGUAAAAACAAAAUUUUUCUCUAAACAUCAUUAUUAAAGUAGGCAUUUGAAUUGUUGUAUGCGAGUUAAAUAAAGUACAUGAAAUAAAAGAAUUUGUGGUAGGAGAACGUAUAAUCCAUAGAUGACAAGAAAAAAAAAAGUUGUUCAAAAUGUAUAGUUUUGUAUACCCCUUGUACAAUUAGUGUAAUAACCUUAUAUAAUGAUAUAAAUUUUAUAUAUAUGUAUAAAUUAUAUCCACAUGAGUGUGUAAACUAUGUUCCUAAUAGUUUGAUAUUUAAAUAAUUAAAUAAAUAAACCGUUAUUUUAUUUUAUUUUCAAUGCAAAAUGUAAUUAAAAAUAAGACAAAGAAAUUACUUAAAAACUAUUAUUUAAUCCAAGUUUAUUUAUUUAUUUCCUUUUAUUUUUGGAAAUAAAGAAAAAAGAAUAAAAAAUUUAUUUAACCAUAAGAAAUAUGAAUAGAAGAUCAGUUAGAAAAUACUAAAUUUAUUUAUUUAUUUCAUUUUAUUUUUGGAAUAAAAGAAAAAAAUUUAUUUAACCAUAAAAAAUAUUGAUAUAAAAUAUGUUAAAAAAUAGAAAUAAUCCUAAAUUUAUUUACUUAUUUCAUUUUAUUUAUUUAAAUUAGAAAGUAAUUUAUUUUAAUAGAUUAAAAUGUACAUAAUUGAUUUAUUACUUUCUUAAUUGUGUAUAUAUAUAUAUAUAUAUAUAUAUAUAUAUAUAAUUUAGUUAUUUAAUUAUUUUUUAUGUAAAAGAUAGUCCCACAAAAAACACAUAAUUGAUCAAUUUCUUUAUUUAAUUGUAAACAUACUAUAUUUUUUUAUUUUUUUUAUUAAAAUAACUAAUGGAAAAAAAUAAAAAUGGAUAAUCAAUGAAUGAAAUUUAAUUAUUUUUAUUAUUUUCAUAUAAAAAUAGUAUUAAACAAGGUUUUCAAUUUUUAUUUUUAAAAAUAGUUUUCAUUUUUUAAUUAAAUGUUUUUUCAAAAAGAAAAUAUAAAAAAUAUAAAUCUGUGGACCCCGCAUUUCGUGCUCAUGCGUUUCCCACUCGAUGAUGAGUUCGAUUUUUAUUUUGAAAAAUGAUUUAAUUGGUUAAAAAAAAUGACUUGGAGUCGCCACUUAUUUUUGUUUUAUUUUUAAAGGUUAAACAAAAUAAGAAAGAAAACCCUAAGUGUGACUCCUUAUUUUGGAAAAAUGUGAUCUCCGAAAAACCGAAUCGGGUUCGGGGAUCAGGUUACUUAUCAGGAAGGUACGGUAAAAACCGUAUCACCCUUCUAAGUCCCUAAAAAAGGGUCUCUACUAAUAAAAUGAAGCUGAUGUGGCAAUUGAUGAGUAAAUCAAUGAAUAUCCUGAAUGAUCAUGCACACAUAAGAAUCGAGACAUGCAUAUAGAAAGACCAGAAAGAGAGUGGAUGCGCACCUGGGAGAUAAGCCACAAUGUGCUAUCAAGAGAUAGGGUUAGCGCAUAAUAAUGAACAUGAAAUAUGUCACUCAAAACAAAAAUAACUGAAUGAACAAAAGAGGCAAAAGACGUACCUAAGUGAUGAACUCAUUUAUUUCAUGGGAAACAAAGGUUAGUGAACAAAUUCAGAGCAAUCGUGUGCAUAACAUAGAAUAGAAUGAAUCACUCAUAUAUAGCAAUCAAAACAACCAGCCAAUCAAUCAAUCAGUCAUAAAGUCACAUAUGUCGGGCCCCCACCAAAGCCCAUUUAUUUUUGCAUGAAUUAUUUUCGUAAAUUCCAUUCAUUAGAAUCACAAAGUUAAAUUCGUGCUUAUUGAAAUCAAGAGGAACAUGAGAUUGUUCGAAAAAUGGAAUUAAAACAAUUGGAGAGGAAAUCGGAAUUUUGAAAUUCAUUUGAAAAAUUGGGGUCUUGAAGGUUAUUUAAAAUUUGGAGUUUUAUAGUUUAUUUGGAGAUCAGACUUUCAGAAAUUAAAUGCGAGAAUGAGAAUUUUUAGAAAUUAAAUUUGAACGAGAUCGGAAACUUGAAAAUGAUUUGAGAGUUCGGGAUUUUAAAUGAGUGGAUAAGCGGAUGAGUGAAUAAGUAAAAGAAUUGAAUAAUAAUGAUGGUGAAAUAAUAAAGAUUAGGUAAAUAAUUGCGAAAGAUGGAAUUUUAGACAUUUGAAGAUGCGAAUUUAGAGAUUGAAAACUUAAGAAUUUAUUUAGAGAUGAGAUCUUUGGUAUAUGAAUAACUGAAUAAAUAAGUGGAUGAGAUAACAUUAAUAACGAGAAUAAUCAUUAAACGGCGAUAUAUGGACGGUGGAGUUUUUGAGAUUGGAAAUUAGAUUUGGAAGUUGGAUUCUGAUGAAUUAAACUUUAACGAUUAGAAUAAUCAGAUAAUAUGGAAUAAUAAUGCUACUUAAUGGAAACGAUAUUUUGAACGAAUAGAGAAGGAGCAGUGGAAUUUUAAGAUUGAAAAUUAAGUUAGGACGUUGAAUUUUUGAAGAGUUGGAUCUUAAAUGAAUAAAAAGAUAAAGGAUAAGAAUUCUAGUUAACAAAAAUAACGUUUGGGCGAAUAAUAGAAUUUCUAAGGUUGAAAGUUAAAUUGAGAUUUUUGAAAGAUUGAACUUUAAAUAAAUAUGGGAUGAUGAUUCUAAUUGAUGAAAAUGAAAUUUAAAUGAAUUGUAGAAUUUUUUUAGGAUCGAAAAAUUAAAUUAAAAUAUGAAUUUUUUGAACGAUUAGACUUUAAAUAACUAGAUAAAUACGGGAUUAAAAUUCUAGUUGAUGAAAAUAAGAUUUAAAUGAAUAUUUGAAGAAUUAAAUUAAGACAUGGGACUUUUGAAAAAUUACUUAAAGACCUAAGUUUUGAAAAUGGGAUUUAAAGUUUAGAAUGUAGAAAAAUGCUUUGAGUCCAAUAUAAAUUAAUUUAUACAAAAGUUUUUCAUAUAUGGUGAUUUAGACAUAAUUUAAAGAUGGGAAGGUGAAAUAUAAAUUAUUUUGUGUUUUGAAAGGAUAUCCAACCUUAAUAAUUUGUCCUUUAAUCGUCUUCAAGUUGAGUUAAAUAAAUUGGUAUAAAUAGAAUAAGAUAACAAAUAAAAAUGAAUGAUUGAAUUAAUUAAUUAUGGAUAUUAGAGAUUUUUAAGAGAAUUAUUUAGGAUUUGGGCAACCUAAUGGGCUAAGUUGAUGUGGGCAUGGGCCAAUGAGGGUGGCUAGCAUAGGGGGCAUGGGGCCUUUCAUCAACAUGCUUGGGUUGGGCUCCAACUCAAGCCCAAACCCGUCACCAAGAGCAUAGGUCUGGGCUCCAACUUAAGCCCAAGGCACCAUCACCAUAAAAGCUUGGGCCUGGGCUCCAACUUAAGCCCAAGGCACCAUCACCAUCAAAGCUUGGGCCUAGGCUCCAACUUAAGCCUAAGUUCAAGGCCAAUAUAGGCAAGCCCAAAACGUAUUUCUAUCACAAACCUGGGCUUGGGCUCAAACCUCCACCUAUGGGCAAGCCUAAAAGGCUCCAAAUCCCCUCACAGCCCACCACUCCAACCGGAUCCUUCCUUCAACCCCACUCCUUGGAGACCCUCUUAUGUUGAUGGAGAGUGCACUGAAGAUGCCUCACGUAUAGGGAGAGACACGGUUUUUUCGGGUAUGUGAGUAAUGGGCAUGCAUGAGAGAGCAUGGAGAGUGGAAUGGAUGCAUGGCGUGGUGCAGAGAGAGAAAAGGUGGUGAGGGACAUGUGGUGUGGUGUAGAGAGAGAAAAUAUGGUGAGGGACAUGUGGUGUGGUGUAGAGAGAGAAAAUGUGGUGAGGGGAUUGUGGUGUGGUGUAGAGAGAGAAAAGGUGGUGAGGAAGAAAAUGAGGGAGUUGGGUAGUGAAGGUAAGAGAUGGACGGGUGAGGAAUGGGUGGUGAGUGAAAGUGUUCAUGGGGGGUGGCCAUGCAUAUUGGAUAGGGUAUGUGAGCAUGGAAGGUUUGCAUGGAUAUGAGGGCUAGGGUAUACAAACGUGGAGAGUUUGCAUGGGUAUGAGGGUGGUGAUGUGCAUGGGUAAGUAUGGAGGUUUGAAAGGAUGGGUAUGUGUUGAUGAAUGGCAACCAUGGGGGGUAGCCAUGCAUGCAUGAUUCCCAUGCAUGUAGGUGGGUGGCUUUGGGAUUCCUAUGGAGAUGAGCAUGGCAUGGGUAUGGUGGACAGCCGGGUAUGAAAAUGGAUGGUAAGAUUAGCUUCUGUAAGUGGGUGUGAUGAAUGGAUGGGGAAGAAUAAUGGGGAGUGGGUUUAAUGGGCUUGGAAUUAAUGGACUGGGUGGCCGGAUUUAGUGAGAGAAAUGAGGCAACGGUCUGGGUACAGAGAGGUGAUGGUGUGGGGUCUAUAAAGGUGGUGGACUUGGGAAGAUCUCCACCAGCUAAUGCAGUUGGAUGGAACUACAUGAAUGCUGUGUUGGAAAAUUACAGCCUAGGAGUGACGUGCCAUGGCUAUACCAAGAGUAAAUGAAGAUAACAAAAACAAAGCACAAAAAGUGGAUUCAAGCAACGAGCCCAUACAGGCCAUGCUUCAUAUCUUAAUCAACAAGCUUAGAUGGGGGUGGGAGAAAUCAAAUGAGUAUCUAUAAAAGGGUAAAACACGGUUACAAAAUAUCUCAUGAAGGAAUCAAAAUAGGAGCAAACUAAUCUACAGCAAAACCAUUAGCAAAACAUGAACAUGGUCAGUCCUAGUCCACAAACAUCAUCUAAGAAACACCAGAAAAAAAACAUAAGAGCAUACCAGUAGAAGCUAAUGGGGAAUCCACAAUAAAGGUACCUGAAAACGCUUCUCUUCAGCAAAGUGCCGUGGAUUUCUCCCUAUUCUUGCUCUAGAAGCUCUCCAGAAAAUUCACAAAACUCCCCUACUUCUUUUCCAGCGAGCCCCCCUCUUUCUCAGACGUCUCCCCCCAUCCUCCUCUCUUGUUCACCUCAUCAGCAAGUAUGGGAGACCCCAACCACCCUCAUGGGCAGCCAUGCCUCCGGCUAGUUGUCCACGUAUCAGCUCAUGCAUGGGAAGGUCCCCCCUCUCUUCUUCCACAGAUGUCAUGCAAAAGGAGAAGGAAAGGAAAAAAAACUUCCCGGGCCCCCCUUACUUCAAAAGGGGUCUACAAAAUCAUAUUACCAUUUUUUUAGAAAGUAUUUAUUUAAAUAGUUUUUGAACAUAAUUUUUCUUUAUUUAUAAUUUAAAAUAGAAAAUAAUGCUGAUUUUCAAUUAUUUAUAAUUUUUUUAAAAAAACAAUGAAAAAUCCAAAUUGUUAAAAUAGAAUUAUUAUGGUUGCAUGAAUAGUGGUGCAAUAAAGAUAAAAAAAGCUUAUAUGAAAGGUCAUUGGGUAUUUUAGUCCAUCACUAUUUUAUAGCCUUAAAAGGUAAUAUAUAGAAAUUUGAAGGAUAUAUUGGUCUUUUAACAUCUUAUAUUCUUUCCAUCAAUUAUGGAAGUUAUAUGGACUAAAUGUUAAUUUUUGGGUCCAGUUGGGCCCAAAACACAAUUCUCCGUUAUUUUUUUAUGGUAGUAUUGAAAAACAACCUUACCAUCAUACGACCAUACGUCAAUAUACUUUCACUUCAUUGCCUUGUCAUUUUCCCCUAUAUUUUCACUUCGUUGCUUUAUCAUUUUCCCCUAAUGCAAAUUGUUCAACUCAACGACACCAAAUAAAUAGUACUGAUGUUAAGUACAACUGUUGUCCUUUGAAACUUAUGAGACUUAUGUUUAAAUCAUUGUUUUAAAAAUCGGAUCGGAUCGGCCGGUUGAAUCAUCGACUGAUGAACUUUUUAAUUCGGUCCAUCUCAAUGAAUCGUUUUGUGGUCAAACCGGCAUUGAAUCGUUCAAACCGACAGUUGAACCGUCAAAUCGGACAAACUGUCCCGGCCAGACCUUAAUUCUACAAAUAUUUGUUUACUAUUAAGAGACUCAUUAUCCAUCGGGCCCAUUCCAGACCUAAUACUUUUAAAACUGAAACUAAUUAUAAGCCCAUAUUUGGUGGUCCAAGCCACUAGGCCCAAUCCAACGACAAGAAAGCUUAUAAAACUUUUAUUUGGGUCAUGCCUCUAGGCCCAAUUUGCUGGCAUGUUUGGCUUACAAGGCAUGUUGCAAAGUAUUUAUAGAACACUUAGACAUAGAAUUCAUGUGCUUCUGAUGUGGGAUUGGGAAUGAAACUAAUUAGAGGUAAAACAUUGCCUCUUUGAGGGUUGGACUCACGAAUCUCUUAAAAAUUAAAGUUUGAACUUUGAAGUCUUUGAACCAUCGAGUAUUGCACCAUAUUUAUUAAAUGAUGUUGUUAAAAAAUAUAUAUAAUAAGAAUCUAAGAUUAAUGUUUUUAUUUCAAAUUUUUAUCAUAUAAAAUCUUUAAAGAAAUGUAAAUAUUUAAAUUCUUGUUUAAUUUUAUAAUAAUAAUAUAAUAAUAAUUAUAAAAAAUAAUAUAAAUUAAUUAAUAGAAUAAUUUUAAAACAAUAAAAUACAAAGACAAAAAUUUAAAAUUAAAUAUUAUAAAUUAAAUCUAAGAAUGAGGAUAUAUUUAAAAUAUGUAAUAUUACAUAUUUCUAUUUAAUAAAAUUUAAAAUGUUAAACUUUAUCAUUUAAUUUAAUAUACCAAAUAUAAAAAUCAAACAUCAUUAAAAUUUGUAAUUUUAUAUAUUUUUAAUUUUAUAUAAUAUAUAAAUUAUAUAUUUAUUACAUUACCGGUUCAACCGCUGUUCAACCGUCGAUCCGACCAGUGAAUCGUGAACCAUGAAUCGUGAACCGAUAAUUUUUUCGAUUCAAUGACCGGUCCGAUUAUGAAAACAUUGGUUUAAAUUGAUCUCUUUGGUGCCAUGUAGGAGUCAUGUCAUGGAAGCAUAUAUAUAUAUAAUUCUUUUUUUAAAAUUUUAGUUAAAGUCUUAAUUGGUAAAUGAAGUUUUAUUUUUUGAUUGAAGGCGUAGUUGCUAACUGAGACAUCAAUUUUUAAACUAAAACCGCAAUUGUCAAUUGAGACUUUAUUUUUUAACUGAAACCUUAAUUGGUAACUAAGACUUUAUUUUUGAACUAAAACCUCAAUUACCAACUGAUGUUUCAGUUAUUUUUUUUUUUACUUUAAAAUUUAAUUAAAAACUAUUAAAUUAUAAUUUAUUAUUAAAGUUAAAAAUACAUACUUUAAUAACAAAUUAUUUAUAUUUAAACUUAAGAAUUUAGUAUUACUUCAACAAACAUAAAUUGAUAAAUAGAAAAUAUUAUAAAUGAAUAUUUUAUUUAUUAAUAAAUUAAUAAUUUUAAAAUAAUAAAAUUUAUAUAGCAUAUAAAUAAGAUAUAAAAUUGUAUAAUUUAUUAAUUUAAGAUAUUAAUUUAUUUGUAUUAUGACAAAUUUAUCUUUAUCAAAAUAAUAUUAUACACUUAAGCCGCAGUAGCCAAUUGAAGCUUCAAUUAAUAUAUAUAUACUAUUAAAUCACAACUUAUUAUUGAAAUUAAAAAUAUAUACUUUAAUAAUAAAUUAUUUAUAUUUAAACUUAAGAAUCUAGUAUUACUUCAAUAAACAUAAAUUAAUAAAAAAUUACGAGUAUGUCUUAUAUGACCUAAAUAAUGGCAAUAAAUUGUAGCAUUGGUCAUAAUACUAAACAUCAAUAUGGGCAUCAGGACCUUUGUCUUGGGCAGUAGCAUAUUCGAAAUGGAUAAGAAUUAUUCCAUAAUUCCCUAAAUACAAGCUUCUAACUAACGGUUUCUCCAUUGACAAUUUUGACAAACACAUGGAAAAAAAAAUAAUGAAAGGCUACUAAGGAAGUUUCCCGGAGUUCCAAUAACAUCACAUCUAAAAAGACAAGUGAACUAAUUCUAUUCUAUAGUUCUUAAAAAUUGUUUUUAAUUGUUUUUAAGAACAAAAUUAUGUUUGAGAAUUCAGAUAUGAAAUAAAAUUUGCUUAAUUUAUUCUUCAUAAAAUUACUACAUACUUAUAUACAAUACAAAAAUUUAUAAAAUAUUUUUAGAAAACUAUUUUAAAAAAUAAUUUCUAUCCGUGGUCCUAUUAUCCCAUUAGUGGGCAAGCAAAUUUUGGGUUAUACUAGUAUGUCACUUUACCCUACAACACUUAAAUACUAGAAAGGGUCAAUCCCGAUCUACCUUUCUAACAUCACUUAAACAAUGAGGGUCAAACUUAAAACCUUAGGUUUAUCGUUGAAGGAGACUGCUAUUGAGAUACACUCUAACAAGAUUCAAUCUAAAUGAAAAUAUUUUCUAAUAUAAGUAGUAUGUUUCAAUGUUGUUAUUAAAGACUUUGUGGGCAUCUACUAGACAAUCCAGUUUGGUGUAGUCAUGGAGAAAUUUGUAGGACUAGUUUUUGGUUUUGAGAAAAGCCUAACUCUAAGGUUACUAUUGCCUUUGCAUGGAUUUGCUUGAGUUUUUCAACGUUGCCACAUUUUCCCUACAGGAAAUGGAAGGUUUUGGUGUUCACCUAUAUAUCACUAUUUGUGCGCAUUCAAAAGUGCUCUUCCACUUUAUUCACAAGUCACAACCCAUCUAAUGGUAAUACUCUUGUUUGGAUGCUGAGAAACUCUUGUCUGGUCCUCUAACAAAAAUGCAAAGCUAGUUGAACAAAUUAAAUUAAAUAAAUAAAAAUAAAAAUACCACAUUUCCCCAGUAUCUUUAUUUUUCACAUAAUUAAAUUAAAUAAAAAUCAAACAUUAGUAGUUGAAUUCAUAUUUGUUUAUAGUAAGCCACAAUCUAAAUUUGACCAUGUUACAUCCUAACUAUGAUAGCUUUUAAAAGAAAAAGAAAAUUGCCUUUUGUCAUCUACAUAGUACUUGGCAAUACAGGAUAUAAAUUAUAAUAGGAGUUAUAAAACUUUAGAUGAUAUCAUGGAAAUGAAAUUAUUCCACUUACACUUGAAAUGAGUCUACUUUACCAUUAGCCUACUUGGCCAGGUAGUUCCAUUUCAUUACCAUCGCAUAUGAUAUCACUCUGCUCCAUUGCAUUUGAAGAAUCAAUUUGUAAGGUUCCAUGAAGCUCAAAAAUUAAUUUUAAGUCCAUUCAUGAUUAGGUCAUGAAAGGAGUGGGGUGAUGAAUAGAUACAAAAAAAAAAAAAAAAAAAAGAACUUCAAUAAGACCACUUGAAUUCUAUAUUGACCAAAAAACUUCGGAAAAUCAGCAAAUAGUCAAAUAGUCAAACAGAGUAAGUCAGCAAAUAGUUUCUUCAAUAUCCAAAAUAUUGUCAAAUAGUUAUCCUCAUCAGGAAUGGAAAUAAGUUAACAAGUGAUCUUGUAGUUCAUGUCAUCCUCAAUUUGGAAAUAUAGAAGACGGUUUUUUUUUUUUUUUUUUUCUAUUUCUCAAUUUUGUUUUAGAAACUUGGAAGAGAGAAAAUCAAUUUAGGUGGUGUUUUUUUUUUUUAAUAAAAAAUUUCCUACUCUAAUUUUAAAAAUCCACUCGUGGAUUUUUGUAUAAAUUGCCAUUGUUAGAGAAAUAAGAAAACAAUGACCAUGUUGAGAAAUCGAGAUUACGGGAUGGGAAAGAAGAGGAAAAAAACUUUACAUAAUAAAAAGGCAAAAGGAAGAUGAGGACCAACCUCAACCUUGAUGCUUUGCAACUCCAACAAUGUUUCUCUCACAAUGACCCACUAGUGAGGCUAGGGUUUGAAGAGAAAAACUGGACAAAGCAACCAUGUGAUAGGAAGCAAAUGGGAAAGUAAACAAAAAUAACAUAAAAAAAUGGUCUGUGCUUAUGUGGAUAGAUGAGGGCUAUUUUGAAUAAUUGUUUUCGAUGAAGCCCAAUCUUAACAUUAAGUAUAAGAAGAAGCCCAUUUUAGCCCAAAACUCAGCUGCUCAAGGCAUAAUGCGCUGUCAUCAUUGCAUUAAAGGUCCACCCACAUGUUGUGUACCUAAUUUUAUUUUAUUUUAUUUUAUUUUUUCAAGGGUAGUAUAGAAAAACAACCUUAAAUUAGGCUACCUUACAUCUAUUUAUUUUCACUUCGUUGUCUUAUCAUUUUCCCAUAAUGCAAGUUGUUCAACUCAAUAACACCAAAUAGUUAGUACUGAUAUUAAGUGCAACUGUUGUUCUUUGAAUGGCCACUAUGUUCAACAACUAGUCUCAAGCCUUUACAUGUGAAAUAAAAUUCCAACUUUUAAAUAAAGAAAGAAAUAUGAUAUGGUAAAAAAAAAAAAAAAUCAAAUUAUGUAUAAAGAAAUACUUAAAAAUGGAUAAGCUAAUGUUUUGUCAAAGAACUAAAAAGAAAGAAACUUUUGGAAGAAUGAACUCAUUCUCAUUGAUUGAUUGUGAUAGUAUAAAGGAGUUUACAGAUUGAGAGAGAGUAAUACAACAAACUCUAACUGGUUUAGUUAUAGAUUGUUGUAUUUAGUAACUAAUACUAAUAGCUUAAUGAACUAUAUAUCCUAACACGCUUCCUCAAACUUAAGGUAGUGAAAUCCUUUAUUCUAAGUUUGUUUUUGAAAUUGAAGAACAAUGAACUUGACACUGCCUUGGUGAGUAUGACUGCAACUUGAUUUUGAGUAGGAAUGCGUCUUACAUCAACUUGUUUGGUGAGAACUUUCUUUCAAAUAAAGUAUAAGUCCAACUCUAUGUGUUUAGUGUGUGAAUGUUGGAUUAGGUUGGUUGCAAAUUGGAUUGUACUUAGAUUAUUAUCAUGAGACAACACAAUAGUCAAACUUGUUUGAAUAGUAGUCGGUUUGACUAUGGGGCUAAAAGUUUCUACAAAAUUGAAACCAACCACUUGGUGAUAUCCUUUAGCUACUAACUUAGCCUUAUAACGUUCAAUUGUUUCAUCUUAUUUCUCUUUUAUUUUGCAGACCCACUUGUAGCCUAUAGACUUUCUAUAAAUUGGUAAUGAGAACAAACACUAAUUUUUAAUUCUCUGUAAGGCUUGGAACUCAUCCUUCAUAAUAGCAUGCUAAGAUAGUUGUUGAAGAGCCUUAGUACUAGAAGUAGGAACACUGAUGGUGACAAAUACUUGAGGCUUAAAUAUACUAUUCUUAGACUUGGUGGUCAUUUGAUAAGUAUUACCUGCAUUAGAAAUAGUAGGUAAUGGUGUAGUAAUAGUAGAAUGGUUAAGAUCAGAUAUAGGAAAGGAAACGUUAACAUCAAGUUUUGUAGAUUGAAUAACACCAUCAAUUCUAAGAUUAGAAAUAGAAAAUCUAUGAUCAAUAACAUAAGGCUAUGAGAGAACAAGUUUGAGGGGUAUAGAAGUAGAAGAAAGAAUAGAAAAAAUGUAGAUUGAGUAGGAUUAAAACAAAUAGAUUGAGUCAGAGAGGAAGAUUGUGCAAAAGGAAAAACAUGCUUAUCAAAGUUAACAUCACGAGAUAUGAAGAUUCUUCCAAAGGUAUCAAGACAUCUGUAACCCUUAUGAUUUAAGCUAUAACCUAUGAAUAUGCAAGGAAUAGAUCAAAAUUGGAGCCUGUGAUGAUUGUAUGGUUUAGUAUUAGGAAAGCAUAGGUAGCUAAAAACUUUGAGUUAAGAGUAGGUAAGUGGUAUUUUGAAUAGAAUUUCAAUAAGAGACUUGUGUUGUAGAAUUGUGUGGGAGUUCAAUUUAUUAGAAAAACAAUUGUUCUAUAAGCUUCAUCCCCAAAUUUAAAAGACAUCGGGGCUUGUGUAAGUAAGGUUAAACUAUUUGUAAUAAUGUGACGAUGUUUUCUUUUAGCCAAACCGUUUUGUUCACGAGUUCUAGAACAUGGAUUCUAUGAACAAUACAUGAGGAGUUAGAAAAUCAGUGAAAACCCUAUACUCCCUUCUCCAAUUAGUUUGGAUCAAUUUUAUUUUAUAAUCAAGUUGGAUUUCAACAAGAUUUUUGAAAUUUAAAGACUCAAGUACAUAAAGACAAUCUUUGAGUUCUAGAUGUUUAUUAUUCUCUAAUGCUAUGGUAACAUUUCCUACUACUUGCACAACUAUUCUCACAAAAGAUGUGAAAGUUCAGUACAUUUCUCCCUUAUUUAGCUCUCUCAUUGGUUUAAACUCCUAUAAAGAAUUAGAAAUAUGGUCAGUGGCCCUAGAAUCUAUCCACCAUGAUUGGAGGAAUCCACCACUAAACAUGAGUCAACUAAAAGUGAAUGGGACAUACAUUUCUUUUCUUCAGAUAGUCAAGACAUUCCUUCUUCCAGUUGUCUUUCUUUUCACAAAUGAAACACUUGCCCUUUUUUUUACUCUUUCAUUUCCUAGCCUUGGUCUUUCCCUAUUUGGAUUUCUUGGCAAUGUUCUUCUUAUUAUUAUUAUGGGAAGAACUUGAAGAAUCUUUUAUUGCCAUAAGAACACUUAUAGAAUCCUUAAGAAUUCCCUUAACCAUCUAAAACUCUUUCAUCAGUUCUAGCAAGCUUAACAUUAACUUAUUCAUAGUGUAAUUGAGCUUGAACUACUUGAGGGAGUCUAGUAAGGUCUCUAAGAUCAUAUUGACCUAAGUUUUCCCAUCAAUUUCAACUCCAAGGAUUUCUAUCUCAUUAAAGAAUUCAAUCAUAUGAAUCAUAUGAUCUUUAAUGGGAGUUCCUUCUAUCAUCUUAGUGUUCAUGGUGGUUCUUAGGACAGCUUGCCUAGCUAGCCUACUUUUAUCACAAACAUCUCCCAUAGGCUUAAGAGAAUCUCAUAGGUAGUGGCAAUGCUCAUGUGUUAUUGUUGUAACACAUUAUUGAGAGACCCAAGUAUAAUACAUUGAGUCUUCUCAUCUACCCUUUGCCAUUGGAAAUGAAUAUCUUUCUCUUCUUAUGUGGAAAAUUCAUAACAAGUAGGUGGAGUAAGCUCUUAAGUUACCCGUUUCAGCUGUUUAGCUGUGAGCAUUAUGCCCAAGUUUCAUUUUUAGUCAACAAAUAAUUAGGUCCAAUCAAUUUAUUAUCAGUGAGAAUCAAAGUGAUAAGGUUAUAAGACAUGAUUCCUGUAUAAACAAAACAUUCUAUGCAUUAAUAAGGAAACUAAGCCUCUAAGGAAAACAUGGUAAUUAAUUUAGCAAAAAUGUAGUGUUCUCAAACAACACAUAUUCAUGCAAGGUAUUAUAGUACCAUAAGAAUCAAACCUACUUUAGGCAAGUCAUGGCUCUUGUUACUAAGGUAGAGAGACCUCUAUCUAAUUAAUCAACCUGCUUUAAACCUCAAAAGGUUAUUCUAAGGUAGUAAUUAACAUAUUUUUAUGUUGAACCCUUAGCGCAUGCAAGUAGAACCACUUUAGGUGAUUCACCACUUCAUGUCUAAGUAUCUAAGUAAGAUCUUUGACAUCAAUUUUACAAAGUAAAAUGUUCCAUCUUACAAACUGUUGUCCCAACUAUUGACUAGAUGGUUUUUUGGGGUUGAUCGAGGCUAGAGUUGACUCUAUGUCUUUAAGACAAAUUUCAUCAUGCUUAGGUGCUUAGGUGCUUACGGUAUAAGUAAUUGUCUCACAGGAUACAAUGAUCAUUUUUUUAUGAUAGUAGCACUCUAAAUCACAAAAAACAAUGAAUCAUUUGGUGAUCUAUACUCUUUUGAAUACCAAAAAAAAAGAAAAGAAAAACUUAGUAGAAAAAAGAAAAGAUUAAACUUGAAGUUUAAGUAGUCUCCAUUUUGAUCAAGCACAUGAUGUAAUUAAAGUUGAAGUUCCACUAUACAAAGAUAUUUAAUUAUCAAGAAUAAAAAAUAUCAAUAGUGAUUAACAAAUAUUUAUGAUUCAAUCUACAUCAAGUCUUGUAGAUAUAAUAUAUUUCUCUAGUUCACAAACUUGAAGUAUUGCGAAUCAUGAUAAUAUAUCAAGUAAAUAAACAAAAAUCAUAUGCUCAAGCUACAAUUAAAACAAGGCCAAAGGAAACAAAUAGAAAAUAGACGAAAAGUUCAAAACCUUUAAGGCCUAUUACUUAUGAAGAUCAAUUGAUUAGGCAUAUGCCCAAGGAUUUCCUAAGGAAUUCAAACCUAAGAGAAUCUUGAGCUUUGGUAAGAAUAUGUGCCAAUUGAUGUUUAGUGAGGACAAACUCUAGAGAGACUAUCAUGAUUUUUUAAAAAUUAUAUUUAUUCUCUUAAAAUAGAAUUUUAUGCAAAUAAGAAAAAAAUUUAUUUUUACAAAGAUAAAGAAAAUAAGAGCUUCUUUCCAAAAAUAAGAUAUUUAUUUUUAAAAAUCUCAAUAAUUUGAGAAGAUUUUAAAAAUAAAGUCUUUAAGAAUUAAUUUUUGCAAAAGGAAAGAUGAUCUUUUAAUCUUGUUCAUAAAAUCCUUAUUCUUCCUUCUCCAACUUUGCAAUAUUUAUAAGGGGAAUCAUGCAUUACACCAUUUGCCACAAAGUAUUUUUAUUCAAUAAUGUUUGUAUUUUAUCUUGAGAGAUUUUUUAUUUGUUUUUAAGUACUAAAUUCACUCAUCAAUGGUUUGAAAUAAAUGAGGUUUUAAGAACAACUAUUGCAUGAUUUUUCCUUCUAAUUUAAGUUAUCACUGAAGUAAGUGCAUGGAUAUAAUUUCCUUCUAUUGGAUCAUGAGGAUAUUGAUUUUGUUGCAUUCCAUAGUUUUGUUUAAAUUAGUGGUUGACAUGCAUAAUUAAAUAAUAUAAUGCUAUAGAUGACAUUAAAUGAUUAAAUAGUAUAUUAUUUCUCAUUUAUUAAGAAUUUAAAUACACUUUCUUUUACCUAUAGAAAAGGGGUUGAUAUAUCAACCAAAAAAAACUUAUAGUAUAACUUAAAAAUUGUUCACAAUUUUUAUUAAAUAAUAUUAUAUAUCUAUGACAUGUACAUAAAGGCUCAUAAGGUGGUCUCGUGAUUUAUUAUACAAAUUUAAAGUGUCCUAUAUGACUUGAAUUGUUAUUCAUCAUAUCUACACGACUCCAUGCUUAGCACUUUAAAAAUUCUUGCAUGAAAAGUAAUAAUAUGAAGUAAAAAUGUAAAAUAAAAAAAUAAGCAAAAAAAUAUAAAUAAAUUUUUUCUUAUGGUUUGAAAAGUUAUAUUUAUAUUUAUAUUAUGAGGCUGCUUUCAAAUCUUAAGAAUAAGAAUUCUUUUAUUAACAUAAAAAUUAUUUUAAUCAAGACUUAAUUUGAAACAUUUGGUUUUGUAGGUACCAAGAAACCUUUAUACUUGAAUUUUAUAAAUAUAUUGAGAAAUAUCGGUAAAUAUCUUAACAAAAAAAUCAAUAAAACGGAAAUUGAUGAAAGCACAUAAAAAUUUUAGAAAAAAUCUAAAAAUAUGAUUAAAAAAAUAAUAAUACUUAUUGAAGUUGUUUUAUUGAAUAAAUUGACAUAUAUGCAAUAAUAUACAAAUUUGAAAACACAUUAAUAAAUUUGUAGCAUUAGACAAUAAUAAAUGAAUUUGAAAGCACAUUAAUAUUAAAAUGAUAAUAUAUUUAGUUUGAAUAUAUUGAAAAAUAAAAAAGGAUGAUAUUUAAAUAAGUAUUUUUUAUUUAUAAAUUUACAUUUAUCUUAUAUGAAUUAGUAUAUAAAAUAUAUAAUAAAAUAAUUAAAAUUAACUGAUUUAUAAUAAUUUUAUUUUAAUUAAUUUAUAAUAUAAUAUAUAUUAAUAAUUUAUCAAAGAUGUUAUGACUUAUAAUAUAUAUAUAUAUUCAAUACGCAUAUUUAAACCAAAUGAAGCAUUGGUUCAACGACAUAUACUAUUCUCGAUUUGUUUAAGGACGUUUUACAGUUGUGGUCUUAUUGAAGUAAUUUUUUUUAGUGCAAGUGUUAUAACAAUCCCACAUCGGAAUUCAAAAGAAAAACAACCUCUAUAUAGAAGAUGUUGCCCCUUUCACUGCUACGUGAAUUAGUGGUCGAGCCAAUAACACCGAACCAUAUUUUGGUAUGUUUGAAAACACCAAUCUGCAAAAAGUGCAAAUAUCUGAGGUAGAUCAAGUUGUACAUAAAAUUAAUAAACUUCAUUUUUCUUGUUUUCAUGAUAAGUUUCACUUUUCAUAAAAAUAAAAGAAAAAAUUAUAAUAAAAAAAUACUUAGCCAUCGUUUGGAUAAUAUAAUUCUCUUUUUUAUUUUUAAAAGUAGAAAUUUCAGAAAUUGUUAUAUAAAAGAUACAUUUUCAUAAUAUUUUUUUUUUCAUUAAUUUUAAAAAUCAUUAUAUUUUGAAUGUAAGCUCUAAAAGUACUUGUAUUUAUAUAUUAAAGUUACUAUAAUUUUAUAUUUCUAAAAAUAGAAAAUCAGAAUAAACACUUAUUUAUUUGUUUAUAAGUUUUAUUUAUUUUAUAUAAAUAAAAUUUUUAAAAAUAAUUAAAAUUUUAAAAUAAAGCAUGGGACUGCCUCAAUACUCCAUUUGGAAUUAAGAACAAGAAUGAAAAUGCAUUUAAAUAGUAAUAAAGACAAGGGUGGAAAGGUGAGCCACCUAUAUCCGAGUCUUUACAUCCCUAAAUGUAAAGCUUUACUUGUGGGCAUAUUUUUCUUAAUGACUGUUGAUUAGGAGAUACUCUAUCUGAUUGAUAAAUUAUUUAAGGGAAAUUUGAGGGUAUUAAUUCCAUAUCUACUAAACCUAUAAUUUCGACCAUGAAUGUGUAUAGUAAAAUCUAAAUUGUUGGAUGAUGGUAUAAACAAAUAAGAACAAAUGAUAUCAAAAUACAUAAGAAUGAGACCAAAGUAUAAAUGAAUGAAAGUUGGAUGUAAAGUAAUAUGAAUAGAUUGUAUAUAUAGCAAUUUGUAAUUAGUUUCAUUCUAUGGUAGAUAACAAUUCAAUACCGUGAUGAGACUCAUUAUUUAUGUGGUUGGUGUAGGAGAGACUAAUUUUGUUUUGAGAAGGGUAGUAAAAAUGAAAACACAUUUACUAAAUUUCUUAUAUAAAAUAGUUUUAUCUAAAUUUGUUUUGAAAAUAGUUUGUUUUUAAGAACACAUUUUAUAUUUUUCUAGUUGUUUUUUGUAGAGGAUUUUCAAUAACAAUUCAAAAUACGAAGAACACUCUAAUUUUUUUGUAUUGUGUAUAAAUUUAUAAUAUUUUCACAAAGAACAAACUCAAAAAAUUGUUUAAAGGAGAUCCUCUUUUAAGAAUUAUCAUCAAGAACUACUUUUAGAUAACUAUUUGAAAAGUAAAAUAAAAUAAAAUAAAAAUCUUUUCCUAUCCCAUCUGGUUGGUAGUUUACAGUUUGCACAGCGAGAGGGGCAAUUUAUUUUGUCUACCUCUAUCCUCCAUAGGCUGAAAAUUAGAACACACCAGAGCUUGGCCCCAUACCUGGUCCUAAGUGCUUUAAAAUCACAUCACGCACAUGCAUCUUAGCCUUUGAAGCUCUUCCAUCACUGCAUUAAUAAGAUGUUAUGACCAUGGUUUUAAAAAUCGGAUUGGACCGACCGGUCACAGUUCCGAUCGGUCAAUUGGGUUGGAAAAUAACAGAAUUGAACCGGUUGAACCGACGGUUCCCUCUGAAUCGUUUGGUUUAACUUUUUUUUUUUUUUUUUCCCAUUGUCGUCGGCACCGACCUGCUAUCACUGGUCACUGGUCGGUCGGACGUUGAUCCCCCGCUGGCAGGACUCCACCCCCCUGGGUGCUGGAAACCCCGCCCCUUCUCCCCCCUUUGCUGGAAAGCCCCCACCCCCGCACUAGAAAAGCCACUCACCUCUUCUUCUCCUUUUUGGCGCCCCUUCUCCUCAUUUUCUUUCUAGAUUUUUUUAUUUUUUAUUUUUUACCUCAUCUAGUUAUUAUUUUUUUUUAUAUUUAUUAUUUUUUUACUUUAUGAUUUUAAAACUUAUGAUUUUAAUUUAAAUUAAUGAAAACAUUAUAAUUUUAAAUAAAAAUUUGAUUGUAAAAUAAGUUUUUUAUUUAAAAAUGAAUUUUAAGAUUCUGAAUUUUAAAUUAAAAUUAUGAUUUUAAUUUAAAUUUCUAAUUUGAAACUAAUUUUCUGAUUUUCAAAUAAAAUUUUAAUUUUUAAAUAAUAUAUAAAUUAUUAUUUUUAUUUUUAUAAUUAUUUUAAAUUUUAAUAAUUUAUAAAUUAUAUAUUUAUGACAUCACCGAUUCGACCGUCGGUUUGACCGGUGAACCGUGAACCGAUUCAAUGACUGGUCCGAUUCUAAAAACAUUGGUUACUAUUGUUUUUCCUUGAAAAGGAAACCUAGAAUUCUUUGAAGUACUUGGCCAUUCCUACAGAGUUUUGGGGCAAAAUAGCCUUUUUAUAGAAAAAAAAAAAAUCAUGUUUAACCUUUUUACAAAACUUAUGUCCAAAUUAACCUCUUUACCAUCACAUAGAAACCAUGUCAUAAAAAAUAUAUAUUUUUUUUCAAAAUUUAAGUUAAAGUCUCAAUUUCCAACAGAGACUUCAUUUUUAAAUUGAAACCACAAUUGACAAUUGAUGCUUCAUUUUUAAAUUGAAGCCUUAUUAGUUAAUUGAGGCCUCAUUUUUUUAACUGAAACUGCAAUUGUCAAUUGAGGUUUCAUUUUUUAAUUGAAACCUCAAUUGCCAAUUAAUAUUUCAAUUAGUUUUUUUUCUUUAAAAUUUAAUUCAAAAAUAUUAAAUUACAAAUUAUUGUUGAAAUUUAAAAUAUAUACUUUAAUAAUAAAAAAAUUAUAUAUUUAAACUUAAGAAUCUAAUAUUACUUAAAUAAAGAUAAAUUGAUAAAUAUAAUAAUAAAAGAAUAUUUUAUUUAUCAAUAAAUUAAUAAUUUUAAAAUAAUAAAGUUAUAUGACAUAUAAAUAAGAUAUAAAAUUAUAUUAAUUAUUAAUUUGAGAUAUUUAAUUUGUUGUUUUUUUAAGAUAAUAAUUUAUUUGUAUUUUGAAAAAUUUAUUGCUAUUGAAAUAAUAGCAUACUCUUAAAUUUCCAUAUAUAGAUUUUUUUUUUAUUUUAAAGCAUAUGUUUAUAAUUUUACGUAAAGAUAGACUAUUAUUUGUGCACACAAAACAUACAUGCCUUGAAAAUACAUUAAAAAAAUUAGUUAAUGAAAUUAAUUAGAAAAAGUCUACUACAAAAUGUUAUUUUUAAUAGUUUCGUCAAAGUCACAAAAAAUCUUCACUAAACAUUUAUAUAGUGGGAAAAAAAGAGUAUAUAAUCUUACAUGCCUUCAUAAAGAGAGAAUCAAUGUAUAACUGACACUCUCUUCCUUUUUGGUUGCCCCUUUCUAAUUGUAGUAGGUACUACCAAGGAUAAAAAUAUCGGUAAUCAUGGAUAUAUCAAUGCUUCGAUUUUACGGAUAUAUCGAAGAUAUAUCGACGGAUAUUUUGGGAAAAAAUUUCAAUAGACUUAAAAUUGUUAAAAACUCAUGAAAAUGCAAGAGAAACCUCAUAAUAAAAUAAUUAGAAGUAUAAUAGAUAUUUUAAAAUUGUUUUAUUGAAGAAUUUGAUAUGCAUAUGACAUAAUUUGAGAUAUUAGAUGUAAUUAUAUCAUGUCGAUCUAUAAGAAAUGUUAAUUUUGUACUUGUUCUCAUUAUGAAGUCACAUAAAAUACUUCAUUUCAUUAAAUAUCAAUAAUUUGUACACAUUACAUUGCAAUGUCCUUUUAGUACCAAAAUGAGGAUUGAUGUGGUUCAAUGGGAUUGAUAGAUGAAGGAACCUCGUCUUGCUGUUGGAGACAAUAUUGGUACCAACUCAAUGAGCCUCAAUAAUAUUGGUUAAAAAUUCUAACAUGCCAUGUAUAUAUCUCUUGAGUCCUGUCCACUGCCUCUACAUGGAUAGGAUACUCAAAGUUCACCCAUGUGUUAAUGCCAAAUCCUUCUUCCAUCUGAUAUGGAACUUGGUAUGGCAUUUGUGUGGAAGGGGAACAACGCGACAUACCAUACUCUUCAUUGAUUGAACUUGAAGGUUGACCAUAACUUAUCACAUGAGGAAGGUAGACAUUAGCCUCAUUCGAGGAGUCACUAAAUUGAGUCCCUAUACUCAUAGAUUCAAAACUCCUUGAAAGUAACUCCUCGUUAUAUGGUUCCAUUGUUCGUUCUCUUCAUCUAUAGGGCUUCCUAAUAGCUCUUAUGCUUGGACCAACUUUUCUAGAGCCAUGGUCUUCAUCAUGUGUGCAGUGUGUGAAAUCAUUUUCAUAGGUAAAUUGGUUGAUUGGAUAUUGACUAUGUUGACGUUCCCAAAUAUUUCCUCCCGCAUUAUCACUUCCAUCACCAGUUCCACCUCUUGGACCAUCGUAACCAGAAGCAGAAGUACCUACAACACUAGGUCUAUUAUUAUGGCUAGUACUUGUGGAAUCAAUCUCUUGGUGGGAAUUCAAUGCCGCUUGAAAUGAAUCAUCAGUACCUUUGCUAAAACUUUCAGAGUGAACUUCUUCAGACAACACACGUUCAACAUUAACUCCAAAUUCUCGAGCAUGAGCGACAAUUCGUGGAUCAAGAUUUCCAACUUCGUCAUCCAAGUGUAUAGGCCUAACCCAUUGUAACAAUUGAUUAUCUUCUUUUUUACCUACCUCGGUUGAAAUGUCAAAAAGAUCAAGGUAAUCUUUUUCAGCAACUCGAUCAUUUUCUGUCUCUAUAUCGUGUAACUUUAGCCUCAUAUUAUAGUAACAAAAAACUAUUUGCUCUAAUCGAGGGUAAGUUAAACGAUUUCGUUGCUUUGUGUGGAUGAGAGCAAACGUGCUCCAAUUUCACUCAUAGGCAAAGGAUGACGCAGUUUGUGAGAGAAUUUUGAUGGCUAACUUUCUCAAUAUAGGUGUUUGAUUCCUAUGUAUAAACCACCAUUCAACUGCAACCAAUUUGAUAAUCAUAUAAAUACUUAUGCGGUGAAUUUACAAUAAUGAUAAUCAAAUUUUUCCUAUAAAGACUCAUCGGGCACCAUGGUUGACCUUGCUGUAAGCGUCACUCGAUCACCAAAUCCUCUUUUUGCAUCUCGAAAAAACACAACUAUAUAUUCAACAUUUAAUUUGCUAAUAUCAUAUUUGUUAGUAAACGUUCAAAUAAAUUGAUGAAUGAAAUUAUUGUUUUAUUGACAAAAAACAUCAUGGACUGCUUGAAGUAGUUCCGGAUCACUACCAACUCCACGCCUAUAUUGAAAUCUUGGAUUCAAGAAGUAUGCUACAAUAAAAUUAAGUAGAGUUAGUAUUUUGUUAAAGAAAAUUAAAUACAUAGUAAAAACUUAUAAAAAUAGAUAGUACUUAAGUACCUAUUGCAUGAAGUGGAUGUUUUAGUGUUUUCUCCCAACGAUUUUUUAUUAUUUUGAAGAUCCAAUCUCCAGCUCCUUGACGAAUAAGGUUAUCUUUCAUCACGUGCAUAGGCUUGAACACAAAUGGCAGUGUGGGAACAACUUCAAAAUCCAUAAGUCAAAGCACCAUGUAUAAUGGCUCAUAUAAUGAAACUAUAUUUGUCACUCUGUCCUAAUACAUAUGGUCAAACAAUAAUUGCUCCAAAUCUUGUUCAAUUUUUGUUCGACUAAGCUUGUGUUGUGCCCAUUCAUCACUCAUAAACAAUUUUUUUAAAUCAACCAUUUUUUAAGAAGACUAUCAAGAGCAAUAUAAUUGGUAGCAAACCUUGUAUCUUCUAGUCGAACAAUGUCUCCACCACAAUACUUUCUCAUUUGUGCAAGUAACCAACCAUGGUUGUAAAUGAAGUUAGUUAUCUUGCGAGUAUUGUUUAUCACAUCUAUAACACUGGGUCUUUUACCAAUGUCUUCAAAGAUUAAGUUGAUGCAAUGUGCCGCACACAGAGUCUAAUAUAAGUUAAACCUUUUCAUCAAUUGUUUCCCUACUUUCAUGAAUGACGACCCAUUAUCUAUGACAAUUUGGACCACAUUUUCUUGACCGACUUAUUUGAUAAUAGUCUUCAAUAACUCAUAUAUAUACUUGUGAUCUUUGAUAUGGUUCAAUGCAUCGACUAACUUAAGGAACACCGUGGUCCUUUUUGAAUAAACCAUGAAAUUAAUAAUACUUAAUUUCGUGGGCCCUGUCCAUCCAUCUGACAUUAUUGUGCACCCAUAUGUCUUCUAUUUUUCUCUUUGCUAGUUCACAUAAGCUUCCAUUUCUUUGUACUCCAUUUCCAAGUACUUGUUCUUUAUUUCAUAUGGAGAUGGUGGUUCGAUUUCCAUUCCUACAUUUCAUAUAUAAAAAAUAUGUAAAACAUGUCACAAAAGACUAUACUUACUAAAAGUAUGAAACAAUAUAACAAUUCAAAAAUUAGUAAUUACCUGUUUGUUGUGCACUAAUAAUCAUAUUCUUGAAGUGACGAGACUUUGCUUUUUGGGGUGCGAUACUCUCAUAAACGAAGAAUUUGCUAAUUAAGUGUGUCAUCGUUUCUUUAAUUGAACCACCCUUCAAUAUAUCUUUGAUAUUUUUUUGUCUUGCUACAAAAGACUUGUAAAGCGAAGGGGCAACAGGGGGUGAUUGGUUUGAAUGUCGCAUACUUUGUGAUUUUCGCAUCGUCGUCGGUGUACCAGUAGACCAUGAAGAUUGCCAUUUUGCAUUUGCUACCUAUAAUAUCGUCAUGUUGUUGAGGUUCCCAUUUUGAUGAUUUCGAGGCACGGAAUGCAGAUCGAUAUGCAUUCUGCUCAUCUGAGUGCAUAUCUGUCGGAUACAUAUACACAUUUUCAUCCUUAGCAUCAUCAUCAUCAUCAUUGUCUAUCAAAUGUGUUUCAUGAGUCCCCAUUGUGCCAAGUAAUUGAGCACGAAUCUCUUGAAUAUCAACAACUUUCUUUGCUUUUGUUUCAUUUUUGUCAUGCACCAUCAAUUGUAUCUCUUCUUUCACUUCGGGAGGCACUCUCAGACACUUUUUGGUGAUUUAUGCGAGUCGUUAUGCGUUAAAUGGAACUUGAAUCGCGUGAUGCCUCCACUUUUCAUCAACAACCCACAAAAAUUAUAAAUUGUUCCAUUUCUGUUCCCCUCAACUGGUGAACAAUACUUCCAAGCUGGAUCUUGCCCUGGUAUGGUAGAACCACCUUCACUAGCCAUGCUAAAUCUAUUGCAAAAGAAAUACACUUGAAUGUGAUUUCAAUGUAAACAAAAAUUAAGUCAACAUUUAAAUUGAACAUAUUGCAAUGGAAUGUGAAAAGAAAAUUAAAUAAUAAUGUAAAAUGAGCAUAUUCCAAAUAUGCGAGUCGUUAUGCGUUAAAUGGAACUUGAAUCACGUGAUGCCUCCACUUUUCAUCAACAACCCACAAAAAUUACAAAUUGUUCCAUUUUUGUUCCCUUCAACUAGUGAACAAUACUUCCAAGCUGGAUCUUGCCCUGGUAUGGUAGAACCACCUUCACUAGCCAUGCCAAAUCUAUUGCAAAAGAAAUACACUUGAAUGUGAUUUCAAUGUAAACAAAAAUUAAGUCAACAUUUAAAUUGAACAUAUUGCAGUGGAAUGUGAAAAGAAAAUUAAAUAAUAAUGUAAAAUGAGCAUAUUCCAAAUAUACUAAUUUAUUAUCUAAAUUAAUUAAAUAAUUUAGCUAAGUUAGUUUACUAAAUCUAAAUCUAUGAGAAAUCUACAAAAUAAUCAUAAAGAAUGAACAUAUUUGACAUUCCAAAUAUACUAGUUCAUGUUAAUUAAAUUAAUUAAAUAAUUUAGCUAAGUUAAUUUUUUGAAUCUAAAUCUAAUUCUAGGAAAAAUUUACUAAAUAUAAAAAUUAAUCAUAAUUGAAUAUGAAAAUAAAUCACAAUAAUAAUAAAAAUGAACAUAUUUGAUAUUCCAAAUAUACUAGUUUAUAUUAAUUAAACUAAUUAAAUAAUUAGGCUAAUUUAAUUUUUUGAAUCUAAAUGUAAUUCUAUGAAAAAUUUACUAAAUAUAAAAAUUAAUCAUAAUUGAAAAUGAAAAUAAAUCACAAUAAUCAUAAAAAUGAACAUAUUUGAUAUUCCAAAUAUACUAGUUCAUGUUAAUUAAACUAAUUAAAUAAUUAAGCUAAGUUAAUUUUUUGAAUCUAAAUGUAAUUCUAUGAAAAAUUUACUAAAUAUAAAAAUUAACUAUAAUUGAAUGUGAAAAUAAAUCACAAUAAUCAUAAAAAAUUAACAUAUUUGAUAUUCCAAAUAUACUAGUUCAUGUUAAUUAAACUAAUUAAAUAAUUUAGCUAAGUUAAUUUUUUGAAUCUAAAUGUAAUUCUAUGAAAAAAUUACUAAAUAUAAAAAUUAAUUAUAAUUUAAUAUGAAAAUAAAUCACAAUAAUCAUAAAAAAUGAACAUAUUUGAUAUUCUAAAUAUACUAGUUCAUGUUAAUUAAAUUAAUUAAAUAAUUUAUUUAAGUUAACUAGUUGAAUCUAAUUCUAACUAGAUUGAAUGUGAAAAUAAAAUUAAAUAAUCAUUUAAAAUAAACAUGUCAAUUUAUAAUUAAAUAAUCAAACUAACUUAAGUUAAUUCAAUAAAAAUAUACAAAUUAAUUACAAUUGAAUGUAAAAAUAAUAUUAAAUCAUCCAUAUUGCAAAUAUACUAAUUAAUUGAAAAUACAUGAAUUAAUUACAAUUGAAAACAAAACUAACUACAAUUUAAAACAAACAUAUCUUAAAAUGAUUGAAUGUUUGAGUAGCCUUAGAAAAAUUUGGAGUAAUGAGAGAGCAAAUGAAAAAUGAAAUCAAAUGUGAAUGAAAUGGAUGCAAAAUGGGUUAUUUAUAGGAGAAAUUUGGGCCAAAAUAGUCGUUGGAAGACGAUUUUACCGUUGAAAAAGAAUUUUGGUUGUUAGAUCGAAAUCUUGGUGAAAUCUGACCAUUGGAUCGUAAUUUUAUCGUUGGAAUCUCAUCCUAACCAUUGGAUCAAACCUAGAUUCAAUCUAGGGUGUUGGAUAGAUGACUAUUGUAGGCAAACGUGGCGGGUAGGAUAUGGGCCUUUGGAUCAAUGCAUGUGUGAUCUAGACCAUCAGAUCACGCUGGAGAGAGGAGCAUAACUUUUGCCAAAAAAUUGAUGAUUUAUCGUCGAAAAAUAGUUAAAAUAUCGGUGAUUUUCUUUCGUCUGGGCCGAUUUUUUCAUUAAAUCGGUGAUAUAUUGCCUCUCGCUGAUAAAUCGACGAUAUAUCGAUGAUUUUUUUUAUCGAUUUUCAACGAUUUUUAUCCUCUCCGAUUUUUCUCUACAAAAUAUCGUGUCAGCGUCCUUCGAUGCACGAUAUAUUGACGAUAUAUCGUCGAUAUAUCUCGACAUUUUCUUCCAUGGGUACUACAUGUGACACAUGAAAAACAUUUGUUUGUGAUGGAACUUGAAAUAAAGGUGGUUGAGGUAGAAAUCUAGGUUGAAGUAGGCCACGCCUACUCCUCGUAACGGUUGGGGGAAAAUCUAACUAAGUAGAUGUGACAGUCUCUAUAGGUAAAAGGAAAAAUAUAGAUGGCUCUAGUGGUAGUAGAACUAAUGUCCUAAACUCAGGUCCAAGUGGAAUAGCAAAGGAAACAUUUAGGUGAAAUAAAAAAGAAUCGGCAUAUGAGGUAGCGAGCAAUGAAGGUGGGUAUAAAGUGAUAGGGGAUUGAACUGAUGGUGGGUUUGAAGAGGUAAGAGGUUAUAUUGAUGGUGAGUCUAAAGAGAUAAGGGGUUGUACUGAUGGUGGGUUUGAAGAGGUAAAGGGUUGUAUUAAAGAUGUGUUUGAAGAGGUAAGGGGUUGUAAUGAUGUUAACAUUGACAAGGUGAUGAGUUGACAACUAUUAUAUGUACUUUUCCCUCAAGAAGUCGAUCAACCUCGAAUAAGUGGCAAUUGAGCAACUGUUGAUUGAGUUGGUGGCUUACCUCUUCCAUGCUAUACAUGUGGGAUACGAUAAUCCUCCAGAAUAAAGCUCAUAACAUCACUGGCCAUGUGAAUAAUAUUAAUAAUACAAGUGCAACAAGCAUCACUAUCAGAGUCUUCUAAUGUAUGACCUCCUCGAGAUAUGAUCUAUGUCAGUCUCAAUCUGUCACAUAAAAUGAUAUAUAAUUAUUUGUUAGAAUAAAUGUUAUAUACAAUAUGUAUAUAGUAUUAAAGUGGUACAAACCAAUAAGUGGGUAGAUAAGGUAGUAGCUUGGUAUUGCAUAGGUCCAACAUCAUCCAUAGGUGUAAUAAAGCGAUGUGUAAUACGACAGUACCAUGUCAUGUAUGAAGCAUGGUAGUCCAUAUGAGGCUUUAUAGGCUCCACAAUGACAAUGUGACCCCCCUAGCAUCCUAUAAUGCCACAUAACGCUCAUGAUGGAACCUCCAAUCAUACUGGGCUUGACUGUGUUGAUCUAUGGAGUGAAAGUUAGUAUAUAUGGAGGAUGUUGAUGAAAUACCUUGCAUGAGUCCAAAAUGUCGCAACACAAGCUUAGGACAAUGACACUCGACAAUAUAAAAAAAAUAUAAAUGGCAACAUCGUCUACCAAAUAUUCUAAUAAGCUAAACAAAUGUCUGGAAACAAUGAUAGUAUAUCGUCUAUGUAAGGCUGUCAUAAUACCUGAUACAUUCAAAUCUUAGUAUGUAUAUAAUAAAGUUUAAAUUAUAAUAUUAAUACUAAUAAUCUUGUUAAACAAAAUUAGUAUUUAACUCAAACCUGAUCAGAUCGUUGUUUAUCAGACUCAUCUUUAUAUAUGACCAACACAUGGUGAGGAGUGUUUGUAUGAGAUAAGGGAACCCUUCACCUACUCCAUAGUGCAUUUAUCAAGAGUCUCUCAUCUAUAGGUAUUGGUACAUGGGGAAGUGAUCACUAGAAUGACCCACAUGUACUCACUCCCAUGACUAUAAUUAAAAAUUAAACAAAAUUAUGUUGAAAUGCACAUAAUUAUGGCGAAAUUACAUAAUUAAUAAGACUUGUUAUUAUACCUAUAACAACUGUAAUGGUUUUACAAUAAUUUAUGCACUAUCUAAACUAGCUCGACAUAACUCUCUAUAAAGAUGUGCUAGUGUUGCGUUUCCCUAACUAUAUUGUGCAAUGUCAUCAAAAUCUCUUAACAUGGGUAGAAUUGCUAAUCGAAGGAUGGUUCCCUCCUUAUAUGGACAUAAUGAACCACCCACUAACAAUAAAAGAUAUGCUCAACAUGGCACUAUAACAUGACCUCAUCUAAAACGUCUUAUGGUAAGUGAGAGAAAUGGGUAGUAAUAAAACAAAUUCUAAGGGAUGUUCCACAAAUUGAUUCUUUGUCAGUCAAACUUCGAAUGACUCCUCACAAAGUGCAUGCCAAUUGAUAUCUGUAGUACCAGUGACAAGAUGACCAUGUACAUGUAAUCUAAAUAAGAUGGUUACAUCAUGUAAUGUGAUGGUCAUCUCACCAACUGGCAUGUGGAAUGUGUGUGUCUCUAGGCAUCACCUCUCCACUAGUGCAGUAGUUAAAGGCUAAUCAAGCUAAACAUGACCCACUUGAUGAAAGACAAAAAAAUCCUGAAUGUAUAAUGUAUGACCAAAUAUGAUCAUCCAAAACCCACUCUCGAGGAAACUUAUGUUGACAAGUCAAAAUAGUACCCAUAUCUGGAUCAACAAGAAUGAUGGAUGAUUGAUGAUUGAUGUCGUUGACAGGUAAGCUCGUGUGGUGUAAUAACUUUGUACAAAUUAUCUAAAAUCAACUGAUCAAUAAUGAUAAGUAGCAAGAAUGUGCGAACAUGGGAAUCCUAACUAAAACAUUUUACUACAUGUGCAAGACCCUAUUUAAAGGUUAACAUGAUAUGUGCAAGGUUUUCUAUUACUAUUUCCAAUAGAGCAUCUAGUUUUAAUGUGAAAAUUUCCCUCCACAUGAUCAUACAAAACAACCUCAUGUGUACUCACCUUAACGACUUUAGCAUUUAUCUCAACGUCAAUAUAUGGAGUGAAUUCUUCACUUGAAACAAGUCGAUUUGCACCAUGCUCUUGCUUGACUAUGAAGUAAUUGCUAAUGCAAUAGAAAUUUAACUAAACUAAAGUUGUUAUUGGUAAGUUAUGAGUUCCUUUAAAGACACCAUUAAAAACUUCAGACAUUUUAGUUGUCAUAAUCUCAUAUCUCCACUUGCCAUCAUGUGAGAGUGCCCAUUUUUCAAGAAGAAUCUACUCUAACCAAUAUCUAGCCUAGACAUUUAUUCGCCCAAUUGUAUCCAUGUAAGAAAUAAAUUUUUUAACUUUACUCUCCAUAGCAGCCCUACAUAUGAGAUCCUUUAAAGUCUUAUCUUUGAACCUUGUAUUGAAGUUACUCGUUAAAUAACACAUGCAAAAUCUAUGAUAAGAAUCUGGCUCUAUCUAUCUUGAAUAAGUCUCAUUUAUAGUAGCUAUAAUGCCAGGAUGACGAUCAGAGAUCAGACACAAUCCUUUCCUUUGUGUCAUUCUAACUUUGAUACAUGCCAAAAACCAAUUCCAACUAUUUGUAUUCUUUCCUUCUAUAAUGACAAAGGUAAGAGGAAACAAUUGGUUAUUACCAUCACAUCCCAUAGCAAUCAUCAAAGUCCAUUUAUAUUUUCCAAACAAAUAUGUCCCAUCAAUACUAAUAAAUGGUAGAUAGUGAGUAAACUCUUUAAUAGAUGAAGAGAAUGCCCAAAAAACAGGCUAAAAUUUUUCUUCAUUCGGGGGUAACUUUGCAUAAGACUUGUACCAAUCACCAAAUAAUCAAGUCAUUGCUUUCCUUUUUGCCUUCGUUGCUUUUUGAUAAGAAAUUUGGUAACCAAAUUGUUUCACAACAAUAGCUUGAAUUGUAGCAAUUGUAAUGGUCAUUUGUGUCUUCACCAAUGUUUCAAUAUACUCUAACACAAAGCUAGAAUCCAACUAUGAAUGAUCUUGAUUAAUACAUAGAUUGACACGUGUAGGAGGACCUUUGUAUUUUACGAUUCUAAACAUACUCGUAUCUUUCACCACCAUUGCCCUUAGUCGCCAUUAACACUAUAGUUUUUUUUUUUUGUUUUUUUUGUUUUUUUUGCAUUUAAGAACUAACAUACUUGUAUUUUAUCUAUAAACAGUAAACUCUUGGUGUUACUUUAUGAAAUACAUCUUCACAGCAUGUUGCAAAUCUACUUUUAAGGGAAAUAUUUGGCCAAUUGAUAACUCCCCAUUAACAUUUCCUAAAGUUGGAUUUUUUCAUGGAGUCCAAUCACUUACAACACAAUUAAUUACUCCGUCUAAACUUAAAAGCUAUGGUAUAGGUGGCAUAUGGUAUGAAACGGGUACAAAUGUUGCCUCUUGGUUUUCAUUGGAGAUAUAAACUUGGGUAUCAUGUGAGGAGGCAACUAGUGAUAUGUUUUCAACCUCAAAUUCAACCUCGAGAUCAUUAGACUUAUCACCAACUUUAAGGUUCACAUAUCUUGUGUUUUCACAUUCCACAACUUGUUGGACCAUCACCAAAUCAAUAUUUUCUCUUUGACCUCAAUUUUAAUCAUCAUUAGGUAAAUGAAUCUCAUCUAUAUCGAUUGCAUCAUUUUUAUCAUCUUCCUCAUUAGACAUGUUCCUCGUCAACAUCAGUAUCACCUGCUGACAACCGUGUCAAAUGACCUAUUUCAUUACUCAAAUGAUAGUGAUUGGGAGCUUGCUCCAUGAAUAAUUGAACUGAAAACAUUCCAUACUUCAAUGACACUACUAGCAUACGUGCUAUUGUUCGAUCAUUUCUUUCCAUUAAUGGUUGAAAUUUAUUCAGUCCAAUUGGAUGUCGACAUUUCAAGACUAAUUGAUAGUCUGUCAACACCAAUGAUAUCAUAUAUCAUGUUCAAAAACUCUACAAAGGUCAUAUUGUAGACCCUCCAUUUUGUCUCCUUGGCACAUAUCUUGAUUAAGUACUCUUUCAAUACUUUAUAGCAGUUCUUGAAAGCCUAUUGUUACUCACAUAUCUUACCUCUUUGAGUCAUUCUAGACAUUAGAUACACAUUUAUAACAAUUUGUUUAGACUUAUUUCAGCACAUUAGGCACACCUGACCCAUUUAGGUACGCCUAAUCUUUUAAGGCUUGCUCUAGCACGCCUAAGUCAUUUGUAUAGCUUAUGUGGCUUGCAUGGCCUACAUGGCCUAUGUAGUUUGCAUGUUUUCUUUAUAAAUACAUGUUGUGCACUUAUGUAUAGUUAUCUAUUUAUUUAUUUAUUUGUUCAUUUUCAUAUCUACUUAUAUAUAUAUAUAUAUAUAUAGUCAUUGUAUAUUAUUAUUAUUAUUAUUAUUAUUAUUAUUAUUAUUGUCAUUGUAUUUUAUUUUUUUAAAUUAUCAUCAUUAGAAUUGUUUUUGUUACCAUUGUUUCUAUUAUCAUCAUUAUUAUUAAGAUUAUUAUUAUUUUACUGAUAUUAUUAAUAUUAUUCUUACUAUUAUAUUAUAUUAUAUUUUUAUUUUCAUUUCUAUUUCCAAAAUACUUUUUUAUUUAUUUUUAUUUUAUUUACUUGUUUAUUUAGAAAAAAAAAAAAGAAUUUUUAGUGAGGAAGUGGAAAUGAGCCUCCAUUGGGAAAAGGAGGUUGGGGGAUUACGAGACGUGAAAAUUGAGAAGAAAUGGGAGAAAGAAGGUCAACACAGGUGGGAUUUUUUGAGGAGGCAUUCUGGGAAUUUUCAAGAGGAUAAGCAGAUUUUGUUGUGGGGAUGAACACCAUUAAAAAUAGGGCAACAUCUGAGGAUUUUAGAAGCAUCAACUCGCGCCAUGAGAGGUGAGAGAAUGCCAUCAGAUUUGUCCUUGAAUAACAGUGUGCAUAAGAUUUGAGAACCAGAUUUUCUCUUGAAGAUUGAAAACAUGAUUUUGGAAGAGAAAGAUCAUUAGAUUAUAUUUUUUAGGAGAGAACACAAGCACCAGAAUUUUCUGGGUGGAGAUUAACACCAAAAUUUUCUAAGGAGAGGUUGAAGAGAUCAUAGGGAUUUGUGGCAGAAUUUUGGAGCAACAUAAGGGCAGUCUAAAACGAAGAAAUGGAGGAGCAUCUUGGAUGAGGGGAAUCAUGGACUAGUGAAAAAUGGAGAAGACUGCCACUCGGAGAUGAUAAUAAAAAGAGAAGUCUUUAGAGAUAUGAGGAUUUAAACAAUUUGUGAAGUGGGUCAACACCACAACCCUCGAUCAUCAUCAUCAUAUUCACCAUUGAUUGCAAUAAUUGGCAAAUGAGUUUUUGUGGGUUUGAUUCAAAUGUUGAUAUGUAAAUUUUGGAGGGGUCCCACAUGAUUUCUAACAUCUACUUUGAGAAGACCAGGGACGGUUCUUGAGUUUUGGAGGAAAGACCAGUUCAGGUUGUAGGAGGGAUUCCACUAUCACUCAAAUUUUGGAACUCCACUUUGGGGUGUGUGCAGGUCUUAGUUUUGAGAACAGAAACUAUACCUGUAUCACAUGAUUAACAAGAUCAUGAGUUCAUAGAGAAGAAAUCUGAUCAUCAUCCUGCAUGGUCUUUGGAGGAUGACACCAUUUUGCUCACAAUUAGUUCCAUUGAGAGAUCUCCAUCAAGGUCGCAUUUGUGGAUUUUUCACAGUAGGUUGCCACUCAAAAAGCCCAUCCACGCACAAAUUUUUGCACCACCAGAUUUUGUGAGAGGUAUCCACCACGCACUACUAGGAUGAGAAUAAGGUUGCCACUUUGAACCUCCACUACAUAUCAGUUUAUUCUUUGUAAAAAGAAAAAAAGGAUGCCACUUUAAGAAUAUGACACCACCAGAUUUUGUGAAAGAAACCCACACGUUUUGAUGAAUUUGGAGAGCAACCAUACCAUGCAAAGAAGAUGACAACAAGCUGCCACUUUAAGGACGUCUCAGGAUCUUCUUUUAGAACAUGCAACAUAUAAAGCAUCAUAUUGGAAGGAUUAAGAGCGUUCUAACAGCAACCCCUCUUACACGGUGGAAGGUAAGUUCUCUUUUUAAAUUAUUGUUUUAGUUUAGUUUAAUUUGUUCUAUUAGUUUAGGUCCAUUUAUGAUUUUUCAUCAUUAAUUUAAUCGAUCCUUGGUGUUAUAGUUCAUGCUUUGAUUUGGAUUGAUCUCAUUCUUUUAGUUUGAGUAUUUCUUAUAUUUUUGGUAAAUUGGCUUCUAGGUGAUGCAGUUUUUAUUUUGAAAUUUGUCUUGAUUUAUCUUAUUUCGUUGUAGUUAGUUUAGAAUUUUUCAUUAUAGUGCACUAUACUUCUACAUCUGUAAAUUGGAAUCUGACAACUUAGAAACCAUUUUAAAUUUUUAUAACUAUUCUAUGACAAUCUAGACUCCUUGAACUUAAUUUUAGAAUCUUUCUUGGCUCAAAUAUGGUUUUCCAGUUAGGAGAUAUAAAUCAAAUUUUUAGAAGGUUCAGUUUUCACUCUAUUUUUUAUACUCAGUCUUGUUUUACAAAAUUAAAUUACUAAACAAUCUCUUUAAUUUCUUUGAGCAUUUUUUUUAAUCUAGACUUCUCAAAUUUAAUUUUUGAUAUAUAAAAUAUUAAUAAAUAAUUUCUGAAAUAAAAGAUAUAAUUUUUUAUUCUUGCCUCCACUACAUGAGUGCUCUUCUAGAGCUGAGAUAUGUUUAUUUAUUUUUAAAUAUGUUAUGAAUGUGUUAUCUCUUGAGAUUAUUUUUAAUAUAAAUAAACACAUUAAGAUAGUAUUGUGAAUUUUUGUAUGAUUGAGGACAUCUAUAAGUUAAUUGUAAAAAUCAAUUGUUGAAUACCUUUAGAAGAUGCUCUAUUCUGGACCUAUUAUCAUCAUCAUGAAAUCUGGUACUAAAUGAGGGCUGGUUAAUUAAUUUGGUUACUUAGAUGAUAAACUAGACAUAUAGGAGAUGUCCUCUAAAAAUUUUCUUGAUAAAACUUAACUUCUAGGUAUUUUUUUUAGAUUUAUUUUGUACAGUCUUCUAUUCUAAUCGUUUGCUGAUUCUUUUCUGUGAAGUAACCUCUUUGUGAAUAAAUUUGUUAUUGAUUGGAAUAUAAUUGAUUAAUUUGGCCUAUUGGAUUUUUAUCUAGACAUGUUAAAGAUGUUACCUAAUUUUUAUUUUUGUGAGAUAACCUUUCUUGAUAUUUAUUUGGAGUUUAUUUUGUGAACCGAUAUUCUACCAUUUUAAUGAUAUUUCUUUGCCUUUUGAUAAUCUAGUCACUUUUGAACAUACUUGUGAACUUUCCUUGACUUGAGACAUGCUAAGUGUUAGCCCAAGGGUUCUCUUAAUCGGGUUUUGAUGAUAACAAACCAUGGCUAAGUGACUAAUUGGUUUAAUGAUUAAGAAUCUUAGGUAUAAACUCGAAAAUUCAUCAAAGGACCAAAUGGAUACAAGAUCGAGACGCUUAGAAGACUUGUGAUCAUAGGAAACUAAUGUAAGAUGAAUGCAUGAGUGCACUUAGGAUUUUCACACGUUUCAUGCAACUUAGAAAACUUGUUUUAUUCUUUAAAACUUCGAUUUCAUUAAAACCCAGGUUUUUAACUAAUGUACCUUAGGCAAAAUGUUUUAUAAUUGGCUUAAUAAUUCACCUAAAGACCUUACCUAAGUGUUAGAAAAGAAAGGAAUUAAAAAAUAGGUUUUCGGGGCCAAAAAGGCUCAACCGAUCGAGGCUAUGGCCAACUGGCUCAACCGAUUGAGGAACCGGUCGAGGGAUGCCAAAAAGUUUCUUUCUCUCCAAGUGGCCUUCUCUUCCCGAUCGAGGUGAUUCUCUUCCCGGUCGAGGUCCGGUCGAGGCAACGGUAACCUGUCAUGAAUUAAAUGCUCCAACGGCUAGUGAACCGGUCGACCCCUAGCUCGACUGGUAAAGGUUACUUUUUGCUGUUUUUGACUCUCGAGCUUAGAAACCUAUAAAUUGAGAGCUCUAAUUCAUUUAUUGACAAGAGAACACUUGCAAUCAAUUGUCUACCUACCUGUUCUUGACCACAAAGCUCUCAUUUCUUUCAUAGUGCAUUAAAUCAUCACUUGCAUAUCCUUUAGUGCACUCUUGUGUGUCAUCCUAGCUUUGUCUCGUGUUUGAGCUAUCCUUAAGCUAGGUUGAGGGAUUCUUUCUUGUAAAAAUCUGAGUGUUAAAGCCUUCAAGAGGUUUGAAUCUUGAAAAGAUUGUGUAAGAGUCCAUUGGAGCCGGAAUCCAAGUGUAAGAAGAUUGGAAGCUUGGUUGAAGCUUCAAGUUAGUGGAACCCUCACUCGGUUAGGAGAUUGAGGAAAGUGGACGUAGGCAAGGAAGUGCCAAACCACUAUAAAACCCGAGUUUGAAUUCUCUAGCUCUAUCUCUUUAUUUCGCUUAUAUUGUGUUUGAAUUUGUUGUGAUUGAAAAGAUUUUAAAAACCCAAUUCACCCCCCUCCCCCUCUUUUGGGUGUUUUUCUUAAUUAAGCAUAACCUUUGUUUUCUCAAUUGGUAUCAGAGCUAGACCUCUUGUUUUUUAAAGACUUAAUCGUCUAAGAGAAAAUGACUAUUCCAUCAAGCUCAUCCCAAGCUGAAAAUUUUUCAAAACAUAGAGCUCUAUUAUUUACGGGAACCGACUAUCCCUAUUGGAAAACUAGAAUGACUUGGUAUUUGCAAUCUACUGAUUUAGAUGUAUGGAAUGUCAUUGAAGAUGACCCAACUUUUCCCACUAAACUAGUCAAUGGAGUUUUGGUUCCAAAACCCAAGCAAGAAUGGAAUGAGCUUGAUAGAAGAAACUUUCAAUUAAAUGCUAAAGUCGUUUUUACUUUGCAAUGUGCUAUGGAUAGAAAUGAAUACAAUAGAAUAUGUCAAUGCAAAUCGGCUAAAGAAAUUUGGAGAUUGCUUGAAAUAACUCAUGAAGGAACUAAUCAAGUGAAAGAGUCAAAAAUUAAUUUACUUGUUCAUAACUAUAAAUUGUUUUCAAUGAAAGAAAAUGAGAUUAUUGUUGAGAUGAUUACUAAGUUCACCGACAUUGUCAAUGGUCUUGAAGCUUUGGGAAAAACCUACAAGGAAUCUGAGAAGGUGAUGAACAUAUUGAGGUCUCUCCCAUCAAAGUGGCAUACCAAGGUCACCGCAAUUCAAAAAGCAAAAGACUUGACUAAGCUACCUAUGGAAGAGCUCAUAGGGUCAUUAAUGACAUAUGAGAUCAAUUUGACAAAGAAGUUACAAGAGGGUGAAGACAAAAAGAAGAAGAGCAUAGCCCUCAAAGCUACAACCAAGGAAGAAGAAGAUGUUGAAGAGGAAAAACCAAGUGAUAAAGAUCAUGAUUUAGCCCUCAUCACAAGAAAGCUUAACAAAUACAUGAGAGGUGAAAGGUUUAGAGGAAGGAAGUUCACCUCUAGAAGAGAUCCUUCUAAAAAGGAAUCUUCAUCCCAUGGUGACAAGGAGAUAUUGGAAGAGAAAAGAGAUUUGAUAUGCUUCAAGUGCAAAAAACCGGGACACAUUAAAUAUGAUUGUCCUCUCUACAAGAGUGAAGCCAAGAGAAGAAUGAAGAAGACAAUGAUGGCCACUUGGAGUGAAAGUGAAGAAUCCUUCGAAGAAGAAAAGGAGAAGGAAGUGGCAAACAUGUGCUUCAUGGCAAUAGAUGAUCUUGAUGAGGUAAACUCUAACUUUAGUGAUGAAGAUAUGCAUGAUGUUUUUGAAGAAUAAUAUGAGGAUUUUGAAAAACUUAGUUUGAAAAAUAAUUCUCUUAAAAAGAAAAUUCAAGAACUUGAAAAGGAACUUGAAGAAAUAAAAGAAAAAUUUUCAAUUGUUGAAAUAUCUAAAACUCAUCUUGAAAAAGAAAAUGAGAUUUUGAGAAGUGAAAAUGAGAUUUUGAAAAAGAAAAAUGAAUGGUUGACCUCCUCUCUCUCAAUUUUCUCUUGUUGACAAAAAUAUUUUGAAAUGAUCUUAGCUAGCCAAAAAUGUGUCUUUGACAAAGAAGGGCUAGGAUUUAAAUCUUCAAAAAAUCAAAAGUAUUUUAAAAACUACUUUGUAAAAGAAUCUACAAGUGCAAGUCCUUCUACCACCUGCAACUUUUGUGGAAGAGGAGGGCACAUUAGUAGUACACGUCCCUUAAGAAAUGGUUCUCAAAGGAAUUCUAAUGCUAAAGCUAAAAAGGUUUGGGUUGAGAAAUCCAAGGUCACUAACCCUCAAGGACCCAAAAAAAUAUGGGUACCUAAAUCAACUUAAAUUUUAUUUUGUAGGGAUCAAAAAAGGAUAAGUGGUUCUUAGAUAGUGGAUGCUCAAGACACAUGACCAGGGAUGAAUCCAAGUUUGUUUUUCUUACAAAGAGGAAGGGAGGAUACGUUACCUUUGGAGACAAUGCAAAAUGAAGGAUCAUUGGUUAAGGCAACAUUGGUAAUGACACAUCCUCUCUUAUUGAAAGUGUUUUAUUAGUGGAUGGUUUAAAACAUAAUCUUUUGAGCAUAAGUCAACUUUGUGACAAAGGUUUUAAAGUGAUUUUUGAAGCAUCUCAUUGCAUCAUCAAAGAUAUUCAAAAUGAUAAAACCAUCUUCAUGGGCCAUAGAUGUGAUAAUGUUUAUGCAAUAAAUAUUUCAAAAUAUGAUGGCCAUGAUAGAUGCUUUUCAAGCAUGCAUGAUCAAAGUUGGUUGUGACAUAGGAGGUUGGGACAUGCUAACAUGGACCUCAUUUCCCAACUCAACAAAGAUGAACUUGUUAGAGGCCUUCCCAAAAUAAAUUUUCAAAAAGACAAAGUUUGUGAAGCUUGUCAAAUGGGAAAGCAAAUAAAAAACUCUCUUAAAAACAAAAAUUUCAUUUCAACAACUAAGCCUCUUGAAUUGUUGCAUAUGGAUUUAUUUGGUCCCUUUAGGACACCAAGCCUUGGAGGAAAAUCUUAUGCAUUUGUUAUUGUGGAUGACUUCUCUAGAUACACUUGAGUCUUAUUUUUAAGUCAAAAGAAUGAAGCCUUUUAUGAGUUUUCAAAGUUUUGCAACAAGGUUUAAAAUGAAAAAGGUUUUACAAUUACUUGUAUAAGAAGUGAUCAUGGGAAAGAAUUUGAAAAUAUUGAUUUUGAAGACUAUUGCAAUGAGCAUGGUAUUAACCACAAUUUUUUAGCUCCUAGAACUCCUCAACAAAAUGGGGUAGUUGAAAGGAAAAAUAGAACUCUUCAAGAAAUGGCUAGAACCAUGCUAAAUGAAAACAAUUUACUAAAAUACUUUGGGGCCGAAGCGGUUAACACUUCUUGUUAUAUUUUAAAUAGAAUUUUAUUAAAGCUUAUUCUUAAGAAAACUCCCUAUGAGCUUUGGAAAAACAAGAAACCCAACAUUAUCUAUUUCAAAGUCUUUGGGUCAAAAUGCUUUAUAUUAAACACCAAAGACAAUCUUGAAAAAUUUGAUGCAAAAUCGGAUGUUGGAAUUUUUCUUGGUUACUUAACUUCAAGUAAAGCCUUUAGAGUUUUUAACAAAAGAACCAUGGUUGUUGAGGAGUCCAUCCAUGUUAUUUUUUAUGAAUCUAACAAUUCUCUCCAAGAAAGAGAGAGCUUUGAUGAUGAUUUAGGCUUGGAGACCUCCAUGGGAAAAUUACAAAUUGAAGAUAGAAGGCAACAAGAAGAAAUUGUAGAGGAUCCCAAGAAAGAAGAAUCACAUUUGACACUACCUCCUCCUCAACAAGUGCAAGGUGAAUCAAGCCAAGACCUUCCUAAAGAUUGGAAGUUUGUCAUCAACCACCCACAAGAUCAAAUUAUAGGUAAUCCAUCUAGUGGGGUAAGAACUAGAUCAUCUCUUAGAAAUAUUUGCAAUAAUCUUACUUUUAUCUCUCAAAUUGAACCUAAAAAUAUAAAAGAUUCUCUAAUUGACGAAAAUUGGAUGAUUGCUAUGCAAGAAGAGUUAAACCAACUUGAAAGAAGUGAAGUAUGGGAAUUAGUGCCAAGACCUCAAAAUCUAAGUGUUAUUGGAACUAGAUGGGUCUUUAGAAACAAAACGGAUAAAAAUGGCAUAAUUAUAAGGAAUAAAGCAAGAUUGGCAGCCCAAGGUUUUAAUAAAGAAGAAGGGAUAGAUUAUGAAGAAACCUUUGCUCCUGUAGCUAGAUUGGAAGCCACUAGGAUGCUACUUGCCUUUGCAUGUUUUAAAAACUUUGUUUUAUAUUAAAUGGAUGUGAAAAGUGCUUUCUUAAAUGGCUUUAUAAAUGAAGAGGUAUAAGUUGAACAACCACCCGACUUGCAAAGUUUUAACUUUCCCAAUAAUGUUUUUAAACUUAAAAAGGCACUUUAUGGUUUGAAACAAGCACCUAGAGCAUGGUAUGAAAGAUUGAGUAAAUUUCUUUUGAAAAAGGGUUUUAAAAUGGGAAAAAUUGACACAACUCUUUUCAUAAAAACCAAAGAAAAUAACAUGCUCUUAGUGCAAAUAUACGUUGAUGAUAUCAUUUUUGGAGCUACUAAUGUCUCUCUUUGUGAAGAAUUUUCUAAAUGCAUGCAUAGUGAGUUCGAAAUGAGCAUGAUGGGAGAACUUAACUUCUUCCUUGGACUUCAAAUCAAGCAACUAAAGGAAAAAACCUUCAUCAAUCAAGCAAAGUAUAUAAGAGAUCUCCUCAAAAGGUUCAAUAUGGAGGAAGCUAAAACAAUGAAGACUCCAAUGAGUUCAUCCAUCAAGCUUGACAAGGAUGAAAAAGGUAAGUCCGUCAACUCAAUUAUGUAUAGAGGCAUGAUAGGUUCAUUGCUAUAUUUGACCGCUAGUAGACCCGACAUCAUGUAUAGUGUAUGCUUAUGUGCUAGAUUUCAAUCUUGUCCUAAAGAAUCUCAUUUAAGUGUUGUAAAAUGAAUUCUUAGAUAUUUAAAAGGGACAAUGGACAUAGGCUUAUGGUAUCCUAAGGGUGAUAACUUUGAAUUAAUUGGAUUCUCGGAUGCUGACUUUGCCGGUUGUAAAGUUGAAAGGAAAAGCACUAGUGGCACUUAUCAUUUCCUAGGACACUCAUUUGUUUCAUGGCAUAGUAAGAAGCAAAAUUCGAUAGCUUUGUCUAUGGCGGAAGUCGAAUACAUAGCAGCCGGUUUAUGUUGUGCACAAAUCCUUUGGAUGAAACAAACACUUAGUGAUUUCAAUUUGAUUUUUGAGCAUGUUCCUAUUAAAUGUGAUAAAACUAGUGCCAUAAACAUUUCAAAAAAUCCGGUGCAACACUCUGGGACUAAGCAUAUAGAGAUUAGACACCAUUUUCUUAGAGACCAUGCACCAAAGGGUGACAUUACACUUGAAUUUGUAAGUACCAAAGAUCAACUUGCCGAUAUUUUUACAAAACCUCUAAGUGAAGAGCAAUUUUUUGAUAUUAGAAGACAACUAGGGGUGAUUUCUUUAUGAUCAAAUGAUUGCUUGAUGAAUUCUUGAUUGAAUACCUUAUGAUUGUGUGAAUUUCAUAUCAUAUGCAUCAUAUAGAAAUAAUCUUAGGAAAAAGGUCAAAUUUUGACCAAAAAUCAAAAUUCCCUUAGCAUUGGACAUAAAAAAUUGGGGAUUUCAAUUGAAAAGGGCAGGGGGAGGGUUACGAAAUGAGAAAAUGCAAAAAAUUGGAUUGUUGACCGUUGAUCGUUGACCAAGCGGUCGACCGGUUGAAGAACCGAUCGAUCGGUUUGUCGAGGCUGGGAAUUUAAAAAGACCCAUCGCACUUCAUUUUUCACCUGUUCUCCUCCACACCUUGAAGAUUCUUCACAUCCCUACCUCCAGAAAUCAGUUUGGGCAAGAUCUUGGACUAUUUGCAGGCUUUGGAGUGGAUUUUAGGACGCAUUUGAGGCUAGGGUUUCAAUCUAAAACCUAGGGUUUUCAGUUUUGGGAUCUUUUUCUCUCUGACCGCGUGCCUUAAGCUUGGAUUCAGCCUCAUCUCAAUGCGUAUAGGGCUUCAGGUUGGACUUCAUCCUCUCUCAUUUGGUUUCAGCCUCAUCUCUGUGCGUUUUUCUUUAUUUUUCCGUUAUUUGGAUGGCACCUAGGUGAGAGACGGACACCUCUAGGGCUCAGGGCAAACGCCCUGCUGAGCCAUCUCAGCCUGAGCAGACAGAGGCUCACCGAAAGGCGAGGUAUGACACGGCCCUAUUCAGUUCCGUCAAAGAUUAUUAGCGAUACAAACAAAAAUUCGCCCAAAGGAAAGUCGUUCCAGGGAAAAGUAUCAAUUUCUCCCAACUUCAGCACUUCAAGUUUGAGGGACUCUUCAGUCGGAUGGGAUAGCUGCCCGUUGUGACGAUUUUCGAGCCGAUCUUCCCGACUCUAGUGAGGACAUUUUAUUCAUGGGUGACCUAUGGGCUUAGAGGAUCGGUCAUGUCCACGGUUAGAGGAGUUGAGAUUAGAUUUAGCCCGGAGAGUAUCUGCCGCAUUCUCGACAUCCCUUCAGUUGGACUCCAAGUAUAUGAGGCCAGGGCAUGGCCCACUGUGCUGAGAUUUGAGCCUAGAGAGGCUAUUCAGAGGUUGUGCGGACUUGCAGAUGCCCAGGGGAUGGGCAACCAUCGGCACAUAGCCUGACCGUGUCCAGCCAAGUCAUUCAUCAUAUGAUUUGCUCCAUCUUAUAGCCACGAGGUGGACAUCAGGACGAGGUCUCCUACCUUGUGGCCUUCAUUGUGAACUCGAUUCUGACAGGAAGACGGAUUCACAUGGGGUAUCUGAUGAUGAUGCAUAUGAUAUCCUGCGUUGAGAGCACGACCCAAGGAUUCCCCCAUGACCGCUUCCUUACCCGAGUAUUCAAGGAUGUCGGGGUUAACUUGAGUAGAGAGACUGAAUUCGAGGCCCCUACUAGUUAUGACACUUACGAUGAGCAGUCCUUGGGGCAAAUGAAGUUCGAGAAAGCACCCAAUGGCUCCUGGAUUAGGAGAGUUGAGCGACAGGUCUAGGAACAGGGACAAAUGUAUCCCGGAGCAGAGGAGGAGGCCGAGAUCAGAGAGAUGGAGGAUGGGUUAGACCCUCAAAGGGAUUUUGAGCAGAAAGGGCUCGAGCUUGACAUUCCGCCUCCACCUCAGUCAGAGGGUAUUCAUGUUAAGGCCACUUUCUCAGAGCCUAUAAUGAUUGAGCCGUCUUACACAACAGGACCAUCAUCUCAGCCAUCAUUUAUCGAGUUUUCUCACACAGAGAUACCAUCUCAGGCACCUCAUGCUCCAAAUCAUGCGCCUUAGAUUGAUGUAUCAGCUUAGAUCAGCUCCCUUGGGACUCAUAUGGAGGAGCUUGCUUUAGUCCAUGACACUCGUUUCUACUCUAUGGAGAAGUGCAUAAAGGAGCGUAUGGAUCAGCAGCAGGCUAUAUUCGAGCAUCUCCAGCAGAGUAUUGAUCGCAUUGAGAGUCGUUAGGUGAGUCAGCAUGACGAGAUGAUGGCUUACCUCCGCUCUGUGUUUCCUCAGCCUUGAGUUUAUCUAGAGUUCCCCCUCAAUUUCUUUUUUAUGUUGCCAAAGGGGGAGAAAUAUCUAGGAUCUAGGAGACCCUCAUGCAUAUCAUUGUCAUCAUUGUCAUAUCUAUCUUGUUUAGCGUAUGUUUUCGUGUACAUGUGAGGUUACCAUAUAUAUAUGAUAUGAUAUUUUCAUGAUCCAUUGUUUCCUAUUCAAAUUUUCGUGAUUUACAUUGUUUCCUAUUAAAAAUUGUUUGAUUGAUCCAUGAUUGGUUUGAGGGGGAGAUUUUUUUCUCUUCUAGAUAACCAAGGUUUGUCAUCAUAAAAAAGAGGGAGAUUGUUAGCCCAAGGGUUCUCCUAAUCAGGUUUUGAUGAUAACAAACCAUGGUUAAGUGACUAAUUGGUUUAAUGAUUAAGAAUCUCAGGCAUAAACUCGAAAAUUCAUCAAAGGACCAAAUGGAUACAAGAUCGAAAAUCUUGGAAGACUUGUGAUCAUAAGAAACUAAUGUAAGAUGAAUGCAUGAGUGCACUUAGGAUUUUCAUGCAACUUAGAAAACUCGGUUUAUCCUUUAAAACUUCGAUUUCAUUAAAACCCGAGUUUUUAACUAAUGUACCUUAGGCAAAAUGUUUUAUAAUUGACUUAAUAAUUCACCUAAAGACCUCACCUAAGUGUUAGAAAAGAAAGGAAUUAAAAAAAAUAGGUUUUCGGGGCCAAAAAGGCUCAAGCGGUCAAGACUAUGGCCAACCGGCUCAACCGAUUGGGGAAUUGGUCGAGGGAUGCCAAAAAGUUUAUUUAUCUCCCAGUGGCCUUCUCUUCCCGGUCGAGCUCCGAUCGAGGCAACGGUAACCUGUCAUGCAUUAAAUGCUCCAACGGCUAGUGAACCGGUCGACCCCUAGCUCGACCGGUCGAGGUUACCUUUUGCUGUUUUUGACUCCCGAGCUUAGAAACCUAUAACUUGAGAGCUCCACUUCAUUUAUUGACAAGAGAACACUUGCAAUCAAUUGUCUACCUACCUGUUCUUGACCACAAAGCUCUCAUUUCUUUCAUAGUGCAUUAAAUCAUCACUUGCAUAUCCUUUAGUGCACUCUUGUGUGUCAUCCUAGUUUUGUCUUGUAUUUGAGCUAUCCUUAAGCUAGGUUGAGGGAUUCUUUCUUGUAAAAAUCUGAGUGUUAAAGCCUUCAAAAGGUUUGAAUCUUGAAGAGAUUGUGUAAGAGCCCAUUAGAGCCGGAAUCCAAGUGUAAGAAGAUUGAAAGCUUGGUUGAAGCUUCAAGUUAGUGGAACCCUCACUCGGUUAGGAGAUUGAGGAGGGUGGACGUAGGCAAGAAAGUGUCGAACCACUAUAAAACCCGAGUUUGAAUUCUCUAACUUUAUCUCUUUAUUUCGUUUAUAUUGUGUUUGAAUUUGUUGUGAUUGAAAAGAUUUUAAAAACCCAAUUCACCCCCCUCCCUCCCCCCAUUUUGGGUGUUUUUCUUAAUUAAACAUAGCCUUUGUUUUCUAACUAAGUGUAUAUAUAUAUAUAUAUAUAUAUAUAUAUAUAUAUAUAUGUUUAGUUAUUUUUUUUUAUUUAUUAUUCUUUAAUCUUAUCAUUAUUAUUGGUGAAUUAACCUCAUUUUUAUAGAAUCAUUGACGCUUGCUACACAGGUACGCUAUCUAUUUUCCCAUUUUAAAGUUCCAUGAAUAUGUAUGUCAUUAAGAACUAUAUCCUUGUUUGAUAUUAACUUUGGGUACCUUGAUGUUCAUUUGGUUUCCUUUGAUAAAAUGCAUGUUGAGUAAUAUAAUACUUGAACUAACUUUGGUGUUUUAUGAUAGCAUUUAAGUUAUAGAUCUAGGUAUGCAUAUUAUCCUUUCUUUAUGAUAGUGGUUUGAAUCCUUGUUUGGCAUGUUAGAAUUAGUAUAGUUUUUGAAAUCACCUUAACUUAUCUAAGUAUUCAUUAUUAAGUAAUUAAUUGUCAUAUUUCCCUUAACUAAGUUAGUAGAGACCUUGUUAGGGCUUAGAGGGGUGCUACCUCUUUGGAGGUACCUUCCUGAUAGGUAACCUAAUCCCCAGACCCAAACUCAGGUUUUUCGUAGACAACUUUUCCAAAAAAAAAAAUCAGGAGUUCUUUUAGGGGUUUUGUUCUUACUUGUUUUCCCCUUUAAAAAUAAAUAAAAGUAAGUGGUGACUCCAACUUUUUAUAAAAAUCCAUUUUUCACUUUAAUCAAAAGUGAGUCUCGCCAAUUGAGUGGGAAUGCAUCGUGAAAAAUGUGGAUCCACACAUAUGAAUAGGCAUAUCUAUAGACUCAAUCUCUACAUUAUUUCCAAUAUAUCUCAAAUUUUUUUUUGUCCACAAAAUUGUUUCAUUCAAAUAACAUAACACUUCUAUUGUGGAAUCAGUCAUAAUUGUCUUCACAGACAUAAUAAUAAAAGGUUAUUACAUCACAAAUAAUAUUCAUUCAAGUAAAAAAUUAUACUUUAUAGUCAGUUAUUCAUAAAAGAAAAGAAUAAGCCAAAUAAAUAUUGAAAUGGGACAAAGCUUCAUGUCUAAAUACCAAGUUCAACUCAAAUGAAAGCAAUUUAAGUAUGGACAUUUUCAUAAAAUUUAUAGGAAAUUUAUGUCCUUAACCAACACAAUCAAUAAUAAGAUCAACAAAAAACUAAUAACAACAAGUUUUUUAUUCUUUUACUUUUAGGAACAUUUGUAAAAAGGAAAACCAUACAUCAAAAUAACCAUACAAUAAUGAACAUUUAGGAUUAUCAAUUAUUUGUUUGUCAAAGCAUAUUUUUAUGGUGACAUUGAACCUAAAUCAAAGUGUGAAUAACAUUUUUUUCAACUAAGGAAAACCAAGUUCACUAGCAUCAACUCCAUCAAUUUCAUCAAAUUUAAUAAGUUUAAAGAAUUUUAAAACUUGAAUUAAAAGCAAUGAAUUAAAAAAAACAAAACUUAAUUAAUUUAAUUGUAAUAAAAUACUUUUUUUUAUAUGAUAAGAAGGAAUUAAAAAUAAACAACCAUCAACUCCAUCAAUUUCAUCAAAUUUAAUCAUUUUAAAAAGAAAUAAAAAUUUAAUUAAAAGCAACAAACUAAAAAAGAACAAAACUUAAUUAAUUUAAUUAUAAUAAAAUACUUAAUUUUAUAUGAUAAAAAGGAAUUAAAAAUAAACAAUCAUUACACUGCAAUCCCACUUUACCCGUUGAAUAGCUAUUUAAUAAUAUUUAAAAUGAAAUCUUUUUUAAAACUCCAUGAAAUUUUUGUUAAAAUUCACUUAGUGAUAUUAAAUAUAAUUUAUUAAUUCCAUUAUAUUUCAUACCCAUGUAAAAUAACCUUAGUUAUUUGAAUUUAUUGUGACUAGCAAUAAACCUUUUCUAAGUUAUUAAAUGGUUAAAAUCAUUCAAUUGAGGGAAAAUUAGUACAAACUCAAAUUUAGUUAUGGAAUGAUUUGUGAUCAAAUUAGCCCAAGGUAGAGUUUUUCAUUAUUAAAUUAUACUAAUAAAGAGAGAAUUAGAGACUCAAUCCCUCACCCACACUGACAGUCUUAGAAUAUAUUUGUUUCUUUUUCACACCCAAUACUUUUUGUCUACAUGUUUACAUUAAACAAGGAAGUUGUUGGACCACUUAAUGACUUUAAAUAAUUUAAUUUCUCGUAUUAUGAAAAAGACAAGAGAAAAUUAUUUAGUUAAGUGAGUCCAAGACCAAAAAAAUUUUGGUGUGUUAUGUACCAAAAAACAUGUGUAGACAUGUGACCCAAAAUCCUCCAAAAAUAUUAAAAUACCAUUUGCCAUAAACACCAAUAUACAAACUUACAAUAAAUAAUAAACAUUACAAAGAAUACAAAUUUAAGCAGAGAGAAAUAGAAUGAGAGAGACAACAACCUAGCACUUUAUGGAUCCAAUAAAAAAAUAACCCAGAAAUUCACAAAGACAAUGAUGAUAACAGUAAAAUGAUUAUUUCUAUUUGUUUUUCAUCUCUAACCUGUAGGUUGCAGUCUUCACCCUAUCUAUAGGUGAAGACCUGAACCAUGAAAUUCUAAAUCUAAAAUGAAGGAAAAGUGAACCUGAAAAUGUGUUUGGUCAUCAUUUUAAGGAAAAACCCAAGUGUUGUUGUUUGGUUACAGAGAAAACUUUACAUAAUAACAAGCCAAAAAGAAGAUUGGGACCAACCUAAAGCUUCAUACUUUGCAGCUCCCACAAUAUCUCUCUCAUAGUGGGCUAAUGGUGGGGCUAGGGUUUAAAGAAAAAAAGUUGAGAUAGUGAGAAUGGGAUGGUGAAAGGGAAGAAAAAGUGAUUGGAGCCAAAAUAUGUGCUCUAAUGGCACAUAUUCGAUAUGAUUUGUGCACCAAAGGACAUUCAAAUCACCGAACUUCGCCUAAAUCGAUGCUAAGGCCUUAGCCAUAAGUUUAAUUUGUACUUUGGAGACUUAUCUCAGGUUCAAGGGAAGAAAAGGGUGCAAGUUGAAUUACUUUGGAUUUUGAAAGAUCAAGAAAGGGCUAAAUGAGGAAAUAAGUGAGUCAAGACUCAUGGACAAUAAAGAAAGGCAAGAAGAGGAUAUCAUGAGUUUGGAAGAUGAGAAAUGACCAUUAUAGAGUAAGAAAUAAGGCAAGAAAACAUGGGAAAUGAGGCAUGAAGCAAGAUUCAGCUGCAUGGAAAUUUAGAACUCAAAAAUCUGAUGGUAAUAUAUACUUUGACUUUGAGGACAAAUUUAGAGAACUUUCCGGACUCCAUUUUAUACAUACUAUAUAUCGUUUUGAAGCUCGGGAAGUCAGAAGUCUCAACGCUUCAAACGGUGUACAAAUGGAGCUGAAAUGAAGAAGUUAUGACCAUUUGAAGAUAAUUGCACCAAGUUGAAGGGUCAUUUCGAAAUGAUUUCGAAAUUCAACUUAUGAAUUUGAAAUCCACUUUGAAAUGACACCAAUUUCGAAUUCACCCAUUGCCACUUUGAUGUUUCAUCUUCCCUACCUCAGGAAUUGCAUCUAGGGCACUCCAUCCCCCUAAGUGGACCCCACACGACUAGAAAUCACCAUUUUAUUAUUUUUAAUUAUUUUUAGGAAAUUAUUUUGUAAUAAGUAGCCAAUGAGAGUGUGCCACAUGUUAGGUAAUUGAUGAUAUUAUAUAAACUCUCUUAAUUCUAGGUUUUAGGGAUCUUGGAUCUUUUUCCGAAGAGUUUGACAUUGAAGGUGGAAGAAGAUGAGAACUUUGGUUUGUUUUCUUUUUCUUUUUUAUUAAAUAUAUUGUUUUAGGUUCUUUUGAUUCAAAUUAUGGAUUUUUACCCUAUUAUGGAUUGUGAAUGUGACAUCACCCCCAUGAGAGGCUAAAAGCCAACUUGGGGCUUGAAGCAUGAAAACCUAAGGGUUAGGAAACCUAUAGGGACAAUGGGUAAAUUAUUAUAACAAUGAGAUUAAUUAUUGGUUGGAUUACAAUUUAUCAAUUUUUUUUAUCCUAUCCUUAUGAGUUAGUUUAGGGAAUGAUACGGUAGGUUAUUACCUCAUACUAGUGAUUCUUGGUAAUUCUUGAUCAUUAGUUGUCCUUGUCUUCCCUAUCGUUAUUUGCCCCAAAACAAAGCUAUAAGGAGUAGGAAGGGUUAAAAAGCCAAAUCUUAAACUGGUAAUCAAUCUCAUUCUUUUGAUGGUUUUAGGAAUCUGUUUUAAAAAUGAAAAAUUAGAUUUCGGAUGCAAUUUUGAGUUAUAGAAUUCAACUUGAUUGCGAGCAACCAAGGAUCCCAAAACCCUAAGAUCAUAUUACUUAAAAGACCCUUGUUUUCUUUCAUUUCUAUACCCUAGGUUAGAUUGUGGAAAGCCCAAAACUUGAAUCAAUUGAAUUUAAAAUCAAUAUUCAUUUUGUUAUUAAUUUAAUUUCUUUUACUUAGUUUUACAUUAUUCUCAUAUUGUUUUUCACUUUAGGAUUUAAACGAAAGCAAUUAAUUUAUUCUAGUGUUGACAAUUUCCAUAAGCCAGUCCUUGAGGACGAUACCCGGAAUACUAUAAAAGUCGUAGUGACUCUUUCUCUAGUUUUUCUUGACCAGAGUUGCUACGUAAAAAGGCUAAGUAUUUUGGUACAACAAAGAAGUCUAGUCAGAAAGUGAACUAGAAAAAAAAAAAAAAAACCUUUGUGCCAAUGUGGAAAAAGGAGUGCCAUUUUGAAUAAUAGUUUCACAUAGAGCCCAAACUUAACUUUAUACAUGGAUAGAAGCUCAUUUUGGCUCAAAACUCAUUCUUAUCUCCCAAAGACAUGAAAACAAUGGUUUGUCACAAUUCUUUCCAUUUCUUCAUAGUUUUUUUUUUUAUUUUUUUAUAUUUUAAAGUAAACUCCCUAUAUUUCUCCAUUGUUACAUUUUUACAUCUCUAUAUCAAGCUCGCGAAGUGGCAUGCCUAAGUAUUCUUCCAUUGUUACAUAGAGGAAGUGAGCAAAUAAUUAAGCAGCCUAAUAUAGAUUAAGGUGGCACUUGUGUUUUGACUAAAUAAAAGAAACUAAAAUAUUUGACUUUUUUUCUUUAAUUAAAAGUAAUCAGUUGAUAUCAAUCAAUAUAACUAAAAUAAACUUGUUAUCAAUUACAUCAAUUUAGUUAUGGUAAUUGAUAUUUAAUAGGUUACUUUUAACUUAAUAAAAAAUUCAAAUAUUUUACUUUUUUAUAUUAAGUCAAAAAACAAAUAUCACCUAAGCUAGUUUAAACAUUAAUAAAAUUUAUGGGUCCACAAUGUAUAGUGAAACUUACACACAAAAUUUUAGUAUAUGCAUGUUUAGGUUAUGAUAUUUAGUUGUCCUUUUUUUUUUUUUUCUUUUAAUAAUAUUCCAACCAAUGAUACGGAGCUUUCAUUAUUACAACUUUUUACACUGUAAAAAAUGAAAAAGAAACAAGGGGGGUCUUUUCUUCCAUGUGGGGUAUAGUUUGGUCAUUUCUGUCUCUGAAGAGGAGCUGUCUCGGGUAUCCUCAUUGGCUUAAAAUUUGAACACAUCAAGUCUCCAUACCUUAUUGCAAUGUUUGGUUUUAUAAAUUUUGAGGGAAAAUGGAAGAGAAAGAAAAUAUAAAAGAAAAGUAGAAAGAAAGAAAAAGUGAAAGAAAAUAAAAAAUAGAUUAAAAGUUGAUAAGCUAUUUUUUUUUGUCACUUCAAACUUUUUUUAUUUAUUUUAACUCAUCAAUAUAAAAAUUAAAUAAUUUAAAAAUACAUAAAAUUUUAAUUAAUUUUAAUUAUAUUUUAUUUUCUUUUAUAUUUUUCAUAGACCAACCAAACAUGAAAAAAAUCAUUUUUUUUAAUAUUUUUUUUCUUUCCUUAAUAUUAUUUUCUAGUAACCAAACAUAACCUAUAUGCAUCUCACCAUUUGAUGCGCUCCCAUCACUACAUUGAGCCAAAUCCAAUGGGAACAAACUUGGUGAUGUUUAGUGCAACCGUUAUUCCUUCAAAGUGGAGCCCACUAUUUUUUUUUCUUUUUAGGUUGAUGAAUGUAUGUUCAACAACCAGUCACACUCAACGUGUGUAAUGAAAUAUAAUCUGUUGGAAUAAACAUGGAAAGAUAUACCAUAUGGGUAAUUAAAAAAAAAAAAUCCGAUUUGGGUAAAAAAUAUAUAUUAUUAUUGGGGUAAGUUUGAAAUUUUGUUUUGUUGAUGAAGAUUAAACUUUGGUUACUUUCCUAUGAUUUACACUAUUUUUAAAAAUUUAAGAUUGAUGGAAUCUUAACUAAGUAAAUAGAUAAAUAUAAUUAUGUUAGGUGAGAAGUGGGUUAUGUAUAUUACAAAUAAAAUUAAUUGAAAAAGAAUUUUAAAUCAAAAAUUUAAAAAGAUAAUCUUUUUAUAUAAUAAAAUUAAUUCAAAAAAGAAUUUUUUCUAAAUAUUUUUAAUUUAAAAAAGAAGAAAAAGCAUUUUCAAAUCUUUCUAAGAUUCUUAAGUGUGCUAAAUGAUUUUUUUUUAUUUUUUAUUUAUAAAAUAUGAUUUUAAAAUUGAUUUCAAGUCACUAGAUUUUUUCUAAUUUAUUCUUAUUGUGAGAGUUCUUUAAAAAAUUCAUAUGUUUAAACUUUAAAUUAUUAUUCUUUUAUUUAACUUGGAACUCUAAGAUUGUUCAUGAUUUUUUUCUUGGAUUCAUGAAUUUGUAUCUCUUCAAGGCAUUGAAGAGUCCAUGAAAGAGCAUAGUGACAAGAAUCAAAUUAGGUGUAAAUUUUAAAAUGUAAAUCUCAAAUAUAGAAACCAUAAAAUAAAUAUGUACUUCUUCUCCAUAUUUAAUGGAUUGUAACUCUAUUAUUUCUAAUCUAAUGGUUUUUACUUUCACAUAGAUUUUGUGAGUGAUUUUUCAUGCAAAUUACUAUCUCCUUGUCCGAUUGAAUUUCUCUUCCAAUUGUACAAUUCUUAAAGAAAAAUUAAAAUCUUACCUUAUAUAUAUAGACACACGUGACGUUUAUUUGAUUUUACUCCCGUGAUAGGAAGAUAUAAGAGAAGUUUUUUAUUUAAAAAAAAAAAAAUUGGAAAAACCGCUUUCAUUUAUAGGGAGGAUUAUUCGCGGAUCAGGACAUUUGAAUCCUAGGCCUAUUUGUGGGCUGGGUUGAACAUUAGUUAAAUAAAUGUAUAUUGACAUUAGAAUAUGAUUGAAAGUUGGGUUGCAAGCAGCCACGGGUGCUAUAUAUAUCUCCUAUAUUUAUAAGGUGCUGCAAAUCGCUUAUCCUAUCCAAGUUAUUUCUCCGGGUUAGGGUGUCUCUCUCCAGAAAAAGAAAAAAAAUGGUGAAAUUGAUGGCUACUUACACGGUGAGACCAGCCAAGGAGACACCGGGAGGCUACAGGUGUUUAUCAGACAGUGAUCAAGUUAGAGCUCUCACUCACGCACCCAUCAUCUACUUUUACCCACCUGUAAAUGUGUCCCUUGAAUCGGCCAUCGAGAUUCUGAGGCACUCUCUGAGUGAGGCAUUGGUGAUUUUCUAUCCACUAGCGGGAUGGUUGCGUAGGGACCCCUCCCCACACGUGGCACACAUCUCCUGAUGACAUGUAGCACACAUUCUCAUCCGGAUUUUCCCAAGAGUACACGUGACGCGCUUCUCCUAUCCGGACUCCCUCAAGAAGAGGCACACGACACUCACAAACAUAACAUCCGAACGCCUGCCACAACGCACCCGGAUGACUGACAUAUACUAUCCGGAUAUGUUUGUCCGGAUCAUUAACUGAAGUAAGCAAGUCUUGCACGUUAUCACAACAGUCUGCCAUGACCCACGUUCCGCCACCUGCAGAGUGAAAGGACAAGAAUGAAGUGACGGCAAGUCACUUCCCACGAUCACUUCCCACGAUCUCUGACAAUCUCAUAGCCUUCCACGAUCUCUGUUAGCCGCCCGUAGGGUAAUGAUGGCCCUGCCACCACCUAGUGGCAUUAUGACAAACCCAAAAUAUCUCCCUACCAUUAAAGAGGGAAACAAAGCUUCUGGUACUAUAUAUAUGAACCUUCACACAAAGGGGAAGGUAAGCUUGUUAUACCUAAUAAAAGGCCAACUGAUUUAUCUCUCUCUAACCAUGGCUGACAAAACCAUCGGAGGGUGCGUCCGGAUACCCUGUCUGGACGCCUUUUGCAGGUAGUACGAUUGAAUCAAGAAUCUAUAUUGGUUGAGAUCGUGCGUCCACUCAUUUGGCAACUACGUGAAUCACCAGGGACGCGAGGCCUCAAUAGGUUGCACUGGAUUGGUGGAGGCCGCCUUGUGCUCGAGUGCAAUGCCUUGGGGGCUCUGCUCAUUGCAGUAGAGUCCGAUGCCAAAAUCGAUGACUUUGGAGACUUCGGACCAACCCAAGAGAUCCGAGCUCUUAUCCCUUCUGUGGAUUAUGACAAGCCAAUCCAUGAACUACCAUUGCUUUUGGUGCAAGUCACCAAAUUUAGCUGUGGUGGCAUAAGUCUGGGCUUGGGAGCAUUGCAUAUCAUGACUGAUGGCCUUAGUGCAUCACACUUCAUCUCGGAGUGGGCUAAAAUCGCCCGUGGCGAGCAACCUAAUAGCUCACCAUUUCUGGAUCGGUCAAUUUUGCUAGCCCCGGAGCAUUUGAGUGCACCAGUGUUUGAUCAUCCAGAGUAUAGUCCUCAGCCCCUCUUGAUUGGGAAGCAAGAUCACAUGGAAGAGCGAAAGAGAGAAAGCGCUACACUCACGUUAAAAUUAAGCAAAGAUCAAGUUGAGAAACUGAAGGACAAAGCCAAUAAGGAUCGGAGUGCUUCCAACAACAAGCGCCCCUACACCAGGUAUGAGGCUGUUGCUGGACACAUCUGGAGGAGUGCGUGCAAGGCACGUCAGCAUGAAAGCCAGCAGCCAACAACAUUGUCUAUCAUCGUUGAUGCUCGCAAUCGCAUGGAGCCACCAUUGCCACCCAGAUAUUUCGGAAAUGCUACUUUUCGGGUAACUGCUGAAAGCACGUCAGGGGAGCUAGUCUCCAAGCCAUUAGGCUAUGCUUCAGGUAAAGCACGACAGGCAAUAGAGAAGGCAACGCAUGAAUAUUUACAAUCAUCUCUUAUGUAUGUGAAAUGUCAGGAGGAUGUAACUCCGUUCAGGAAUUUCAACACCGUUGGAUGCGCCAAAGGAGCUUUCUAUGGGAACCCUAAUCUUGAGAUCACUAGCUGGGCCAGACUGCCCAUUUAUGGGGCGGAUUUCGGGUGGGGCGAGGAAAUUUACAUGGGUCCAGGAGAAAUUGGCUACGAUGGGAAGGUUUUCGUAUUUCCGGGCCAGGGCCUAGACGGAUCAUUCCUUGUUGCAUUGAGGCUGCAAGUACGCCACAUUGACGCUUUCCAGAAAUUCUUCAACGAAGAUAUUUGUAGUCAAAAACCACUUUCAAUUAAUCCUUCAUUAUAAAAUAAAGAUAAUGUUGGAAUUUCCCUUGAUCAGUUUUUCUUUGGUAGAUCUUGUUCAAUAAAGCUACUCUUUCUUUUAUUUUCAAUCUGAUUUUCCAGACACUUUCUCUCUUUAUACAAAAAAUGAAAAAAUGUUGUGUCUUCAGAAUUACGCUCUUCACUCUGCUCUCUCUUUCCCGUUAGAAGAGAAUAUAAUAGAAAAAGAAACUAACUAAUCAUUUCAGAUAACUAAGUGGCAGAAAUUAAUGAGUCAUACUUAUAACAGAUAAAUACAAAUAACUCAAAGAUAAGAUGGUAUAUAAGAAAAAACUAAAAUGUUAACAAGGCUACAAGCUUGAGAUCAACUGUGUGAUAUAUUUUCAAACAUGCGCUCACAGGCUGUGGUUGACUAAUUCUAUAUACACAAAUUUUAUCUUUUACAAAAUCAAUGAAUAAAAUUAAUUAUAUAUACACCGAAUGCAAUUUUACAUGUACAUCCAUAUGUUGUACGUGCAGUACAAUGGAGAGUUAUUUCCUAGCCCAAUUAUUGUUAUUUUUUUAAGAGUUUCUUCAAAAAAAAAAAAAAAAACUCUAGAUUUUGGUUGUAGAACGCGGGCAAAGUUGGUCCUUUCUAUGUAUGGGUCGUUUCCAUGCAUGUCUACGUCAAAGUCAGGCUGUCUAUGACUCUGGUAUUUUGAUUUGCCAAUUACCUGUGGCUGAAUUAGAACAGCCCAGCGUCCGGCCCCGUUCCUUAUCCUGGCCCAGCCCAGCAGAAAUUUGUCUGUCUUUUAAGGGAGAGUGCGCUACCAUCACUGCACUAAGGGCCACCCACAUGCCGUGUACUCCCUUUUUUUUUUCUUCUCUUUCUUUUUUCUUUUUUGAGGGCAGUAUCGAAAAACACCUUCGUUGCCUUACAAUUUUCCCAAUAAUGCAAGUAGUACAACUCAACGAGACCAAAUAGAAAGUACUGAUGUUAAGUGCCAAUAAUGCAAGUAGUGCAACUCAAUGACACCAAAUAGUGUCAAGUGCAACAGUUGUUCCUUGAUGGCCACUAUGUUCAACCGUAGAUUGAAAAAUCGGUUUUUUUUUUUUUAAAUUUUUUUAUUUAUCAAAAUUGGUUUUUAUCAACUAUAUUUAAUCGAUAUAUUGGAUAUUUGACAGUCCCGAAAGGAUAUUGAGUAUCGAUUAUCGAAUGAAAGGAAUAUCAAAAAAAUAUCAGCUUGAUUUUUGAACCGAUAAAUCGAUAGAAACUUGUCAAAAUAAAUCAGAUCGAUGGAGGCCUGUCAAAAUAUCAAAUAUAUAUGGGUGAUAUAUCGGAUAUAUCAGCAAAUAUAUCAAACAUAUCUCUGAUAUAUCUAGGAAAUAUCGAAUAUUUUUUUGAAAGUUUUUUUUUAAAAAGUAUUUAUCAUUUUUUUAUUUUUCAAUUAUUCAUUUUUAAUUUAUUUUUUAUUUUAAAUUUAUAUUAUCAUUUUAUUUAACUAAUUUUAUAUUUAUCUCAUUAAUGCUAUUUUAAAAAAUUACUAUCACUUCAUUUUUUUUAUCCGUUUAAAUUUAUUUAAUUUUAAAUAUUUUUAUUUUAAAAUAUUAAAAAUAUAAUUUUACUAAAAAAUUGAUACAAUAUAAAAAAAUUAAUGAAUUCCUAAUAUUCUAUAAAUUAAAAUUAAUUUGAUAAGAUAAAUUAGUAAUAAUUUUAAUUAUUUAAAUAAAUUAAUGUUAAUAGAAAAUUUGUCACUUGUAAUAAAUUUUUAGAAAUCAAAUCUCAAAUAAAAUAUUUUAUAUAAAUAAAUUUAAUUUUUUAUUUAAAAUGUAAUAAAAUAUAUUUUAAUAAAAGUAUUUUAAUUUUUAAAAUAAAUGAAUAUAAAUUUAUUAAAGGAAUUUAUGCUAUUUUUUUUAUAAAAAUUUGAUAAAUAUUAUAUGUAAGAUUAAAGAUAAUAUUUAUCAAAUUUUUAUUAAAAAAAAUUAGCAUUACUUACUUAUUUUAUCAUUUUGUUUUUUGGAGUUUUUUCAAGCAUUAUUGUGAAUUUUGAAUAAUUUUCGCAUCAUCGAUAAUUUUGUCAAAAUAUCCAUUGAUAUUUCUUCGAUAUUUUUGUAAAAUCAAGUACUGAUAUAUUUGUAUUUACUGAUAUUUUAAUCCUUGUGUUCAACAACUAGUCUCAGGCCUUUACAUGUGAAAUUUAAUUCCAACUUUUAAAUAAAGAAAUAAAUAUGCUAUGGUAUAUAUAUAAAAAAUUAUGUAUAAAGAAAGACUUAAACAUAAAUGAAUGGAUCAACUAAUAUUCUGUUAAAGAAUUAAAAAGAAAGAAAUUUUUAGAUAGAUGAAUUGAUUUUCAUUGAUUGAUUGUGAUAAUAUAAAGGAGUUUCAAUCAGCGACAAAAAUAUCAUGAUAUAUCGUGUAUUGAGAAGUUCUAACACGAUAUUUUCAACUAAUAUAUCGGGGAGGAGAAAUAUAGCAACAUAUCGCCAAAAUAUCGGUGAUAUAUAGGUUGUAGUCAAUAUAUUAACAAUUUAGAAAAAAAAAACGCCUAUGAAUGCAAAAAAUCAUUAAUAUUUCAACAAUAAAUCGCCAAUUUUUGGGCGAAAAAUCAUCUUACACUAUGAGCAUGAUCUAACGGCCCAAAUCACACCCGUGUUGAUCUGACGCCCCAGAUCACGCUCGUGUGCAACAAUCAGCUUCCUCAUUUGAUCCAAUGGUUGGGAUGACAAUCCAACAACUAUUUCAUGAUUUAACGGUCAGAUUUCGCCUAAAUUUUGAUCUAACAACCAAAAAUAUUUUCCAACGAUAAAAUGAUGCUUGAACAACUUUUUUGACCUAAUUUUUUUUAUUUAUAAAUAGUUCAUUUUGGAUCCAUUUGAUCCACAUUUCAUUGCAUUUGAUCUCUCAUUGCUCAUAAAUUUUUUUAUCAUUAUCAAAUUAUUAUAAAUUUGGGAAAUUAUUAUAAAGAAAGAAAUAUGAUAUGGUAAAAUAAAAUAAAAUAAAAUAAAAUAAAAUAAUGUAUAAAGAAAGACUUAAACAUAAAUGAAUGGAUCAACUAGUGUUAUGUUAAAUAAUUAAGAAGAAAGAAAUUUCUAGAAAGAUGAAUUGAUUUUCAUUAAUUGAUUGUGAUAAUAUAAAGGAGUUUCAAUCAGGAAUGAAAAUAUCGCGAUAUAUCGUGUAUUUGGAGGUUUUGACACGAUAUUUCUAGCUAAUAUAUCGGGGAGGAGAAAUAUCGCAAAAUACCACUAAUAUAUCGACGAUAUAUAGGUUGUAGUUAAUAAAUCAACGAUUAAUGAAAAAAAUCACCUAUGAAAGAGAAAAAUCUCUGAUAUUUUGGCAAAAAAUCGCCUUACAUUUUAAGCGUGAUCUAACGGUCCAAAUCAUGCCCGUAUUAAUUUAAGUUAAUAAGUAAAUUAAGUUUAUUUGGUAAAAUGACUUAAUAAUACGAUUUAAAGUAAAAAACAACUUUAAAUAAUAAGUAAAAAUAAUUAAUUUAUUCUUAAAUUUAUAUUUUCAUUUUUACCUUUUUAUCCUCAUGUGUCCUAGUUACUAUUACAAUUUUUUUUGCUAUUCUAUAACCUCCAUUAUUACUUAACCUCUUUUACCCUAAUUAUAAUUUAUGAGGAUAAAUAUAUCAAUUUGAUGAUUUAGAAUAAAUUUUAAAUUAAUUUUAUCAAACAACCUUAAUAUUUAAAAAGUAAGAGUUAAAUAAUAAGUUCUAAGUCAACAACUUAAGUAUGACAUAACUUAAAGUCAGCUUAAAUAAUUAAGUAAUAAGUUUUAAGUUUUACCAAAUACCUAUAGAACUUUAUUUCAAGAGUAAAAAUCUGAAAUGAAUUACUUGAAUUUGAGUGCAAGCAAAAUAAUUUUUUUUUUCCAUUUUUAAACAUAUAUAACAUGAAAGUGAUAAGUUUGACUUUUCAUAAAAAUAAAACAAAAAAUAAUACUUAGAUGAUUUAGUUUUUUUUUUUAAAAAAAAAUUAGAAAUUUUAGAAACUUUAUGUAAAAGUUAUGUUUGCAUUAUCUACUUAAAAAUUAUUUUGAUAAUAAAAAAAAAAUAAUACCUUAAUUUUUUUAAUUAAUUUUAAAAAUCAUUAUAUUUUUAAUUUAAGCUCUAAAUUUUUUUGUAUUUGUAUAUAAAAAUUAGGGUUAUUUGAUUAAAGGGUUAUUAAAAACUCAAUUUUGAAUAUUUAACCAUUUAUCUUUUUUGACCUCAUUUUGAUAAAAAUAUCCUCAUUCUUUUUUUAAAUAAAUAAUAAUUUAAAAAAAAAUUAUAUAUAAUUACUUGAAAUGAUAAAGGAUAAUUAUAUAUAUAAAAAAAAUAGGUUACAUUUUAAAUAAAAAUAUAAAAAGGAUUAGAUUUACAAAUUUGGAGAUUAUUUUAUCUAUUUUAACCAGUGUUUUAAAAACCUAACGAUCCAAUCGUUCCAACCUAUCACCAAUCCAAUCUAGUUCGGUCUUUUAAGCCGGAUAGCUGUUGAACCGGCGUCAAACUGUCGAAACCGAAAGUCGGACCAGUGAAUCGGCCGACCCGACCGAUUUGGGGUGAAUCGAAUAGUUCGAAAAAAGGAAAAUCAUCUAACCAUACACCAACUACAAAAAAAUAUGAGAUUUUGGAACUUUACUUUUUUCUUUUUAAUUUUGGUGUAAAAUGGGAAAAAAUAUUGUCUAUUCAUGCACUCCAAUAGUGCUUUCAAAUUUGUUCUACAAUUAUCCUCGAAAGUAAAGGACAAAGAACACACCAAUUUAAUACCACCUGUUAACCAGUAAAUGUGUCAUUUAUUUUUAUUAUUUCUCUUACAUCAACAUAUCUUCCUUACCACUUGCCACGUUUCCACUUUUUUUUUUCCUCUCUUGCCACCAUAAUCCAUUGUCACCUAUUAGUUAUUAUUAUUAUUUUUCUUUUCUUUUUCCUUUAUAUUUUUUUUAAUAUGCUCGUGCAUUUUCUCAUAAAACUUCUUUAAUUUUAAUUUUUUUUACUCUCUAAUUUCUCCAUAUUUAUUGCUUUUAAUCAUUUUUGACAUAUUAAACUUAAAAUGAUAAUAUAUAAUAAAUAAUUAAUAUAAAAAAUUAAAUAAAAACAAAAUAUAUAAUGGACAAAAAUGAAAAUAUUAUCCCACAAAUAAUAAUGAUUUUAAAUAUUAAUUAUAAUAAUACUUUUUAUAAAUUAAGGUUUAAAUUUAAAAAUUCCAUUUUAUUAUUUAGAAGUUUAUGAUAUAAGAUUUUUUAUAUUAAUACUAAACAAAAAAUUUAUUUAUUUUGUAAAUUCUAUCACAUGUAAAAGUAAAAAUAUCAUUGUAAUACUAUUUUAUUAUUUACAUUAUUUUUCUUUUAAUUUUCAUUUUAAAUUUAUCAUAUCAAAAUCACAAUAAGUGGCGGUGCUUUUAUCAUUUUUCUUAUGAUUUUAAAUUGAUUGUGGAUCUAACUUUUUUUUUGGUUAAAAUCUUUAAUUUUUAAUUAAAAUAAAAUAUAAAAGAAAAUAUGUUUUUCAUAAAAAAUUGCAUUUAACCUUUUAUAUUAAUUUCAUAAAAAAAAUAGGUACAUUCUUAAAAAAAUAGGUAAAUUAAUGCUUAGGAGAACAUGAAAUACUAUCAUACUUAUCAUGGUGUAUAUAUUCUUUUGGGACCCUCGAUAAGUAAUUGGAGGUCUUUGCCCACCCUAAAAAGAACUUUGGGAUCCUAGGUAUAUCCAUUCUUAGGGAAACCAAGAACCUUAUUUUCAUUUUCAUGGUUCAUAUAUUCCUUUAGGGACUCUUGAGAAGGAAUUAGAGGUUAUUCCCCACCCUAAAACAGACAUUGGAACCCAGUGUACAUCCUAAAGAUAAUUUAGUACAUCAUUUACAAAAUUUGGUACAUAUUUCAUAAAAUUUGGCACAUCCUUAAAACAAUUUUGUACAUCCAAUAUGUGAGCUACCAGGACCUCUAUAUUAUUACCCGUGGUUCGUUUAUUUCUUUAGGGAUCUUUAGGAAGUAAUUAGAGGUCGUUCCCUACUCCGAAACGAACUUUGGAACCCUAGGUACAUCCUUAAGGAAAUUUGGUAUAUCGUUAGGAAAUUUUGGUAUAUCUAAUCCUCGGGCUAUCAAGACCCCUAUCUAUCUUCCCAUGGUCCAUAUUAUCAUUUGAGGACCCUUAGGUAGUGAUUGAAGGUCAUUCCCCACAUCGGAAUGAACUUUGGCACUCUUAGUACAUCCUUUACAAAAUUUAGUACAUCCUUAAAAAUAUUUGGUACAUACUUGAGCUAUUAAAACCUCUAUUUUAUUACCCAUGGUCCGUUUAUUCCUUUAGGGAUCUUUGGGAAGUGAUUGGAGAUCGUUCCCUACUCUAAAAUGGACUUUGGAACCCUAGGUACAUCAUUGAGAAAAUUUGAUACAUCCAAUCCUUGAGCUAACGAGACACUUAUCUCCAUUUCCAUAGUCCAUUUCUUCCUUUAGAGACCCUCGAGAAGUUAUUAAAGGUCGUUCACCAACUCAUAACAGACUUUGGCAACAUUGGUACAUCAUUUACAAAAUUUGUUACAUCCUUCACAAAAUUUGGUACAUCAUUCACAAAAUUUGGUACAUUAUGAAGGAUGUACCAAGGGUGCCAAACUACAUUCUGAGAUGAUCAGCCCACAAUCACUUCCUUAUGGGUUCCAAAAUGAAAUCAUGGACCAUCCAUGUUUAGAUGGGGGUCCUGAAAGCAAUAGGAUCAGAUGUACCAAAUUUAAUGAAGGAUGUACCAAAUUUUCUAAAGGAUGUACCAAAUUUUGUGAAGGAUGUACCAAAUUUUGUGAAGGAUGUACCAAGGAUUCCAAAGUGCAUUCCGAGGUGGGGAUCGACCCUCAAUCACUUCCUUAUGGGUUCCAAAAUGAAAUCAUGGACCAUCCAUGUUCAGAUGGGGACCUCGGAAACAAUAGGAUCAGAUGUACCAAAUUUAAUGAAAGAUGUACCAAAUUUUGUGAAGGAUGUACCAAAUUUGUGAAGGAUGUAGAAAACAUUCCAAAGUACGUUCUGAGGUGGGGAUCGGCUCCCAAUCACUUCCUUAUGGGUUCCAAAAUGAAAUCAUAGACCAUCCAUGUUGACAACCCGACUCUUGGUAGCUUGGCAUGUAAGGGUAUCAACAAAAUUUAUACCUAAGGUCCUUACACUAAAGUAGCAAAGCUACUAUAGCAUAGUGGCUCUAGGAUCGAACACUGGGAAGGGUUUUUACUUUAACUGGUGAAUUUCGGAGAAUGGAGUGAACUUUUCUUAAUAAAAAUUAGGUUAAGAUGAAAACAUAAAAAGAUGAAGGUGUGUAAACUAAACUAACAUGAAAAUAGGUUAAAAGAUGGAAAAAGAAGUUUCUCAAAGCUUUGGAUAGCCAUGCUUAACUCAUUGUGUAAAAAUGGAGAUUUUGGGACUCUUCACCUCGAGUUGGGGAAGCAACUAAGGUGAUGCUUACUUCCCGAACCGGUAUGAGUUUAACAACUGAGUUUUAGUCCUUGAAAACUUACAAAAAGGGUAGCUGAACCUCACAAAUGCUCUUUUAUUGGUAUAGGUCAUCUCCUCGACUUGCAAUACAAUGGCUCGUAGGAGAUAACUAACGAACGUCAGUGGAUCUAACAAUAAGAAUCCACUGAGACCAAAAGCUUAUCAAGUAUUGGCCAUUCAAAGCAAGUCAGAGGGAUUAAAAGCUUUACUUUGAACGAAAACAUUUAUGACGCUCAGCUACUUACAUUCAUGGCUUGGAAAUCUCCAUCCUGACACGGGAGCUUCACAUGGCAUCCAUUACUUCAAGAAACUAAAAGGUUUUAGCCUCUCAUCCUUGGGGAUUUCAUCCUCCAAGGAUGUUUGGCUACUAAGAAAAUGAGAAAGAAAAGAGAAAAGAAACUUAUGAACAAAAGUGCUCUUAUAACUUAUAAAGUUACAGGUUACAAGAUUAGAUGAUCUGAGGCUCUUCACCUCUAUUUAAAGACAAUAACAAGCUAAAUUACAAGAGCUAUUACAAAAGCAACCUAUUCAUUGGUUGAUUACAAGGGUAAAAUAGGUAUUUACAAAGCUAAAAAUCAAGCAAAAUAUCUUGGAGAACCGGUAGUGGAAUAACAUCAACAACGUCUCAAAACAGGGGAUUCAAAGGAAUUUCGCAAUGUGCCUAAAUCCUCCUUGCGAAAUUUUCGCAAGGUGUUUCUUCAUGGUGCGAAGUGGCAAAAUUUCGCACCAUGAAGAAAAUCUCCUUGCGAAAUUGGUCAUUUGACAUGAUGCAGUUGCCUUCUGAAGGCCAUAUCUUCCUCAUUUCAGCUCCAAAUCAUACACGGUUUGAAGCUUUGGAUUCUUGACUUCCUAAGAUUUCAAAUGGUAUAUAGCAUGCAAAAAAUGGACUUUGGGAAGUGCUUCAAAAGUGCGAAAGAAGACUGCAGCUGUUUUCUUCACUCUGUUUUCUUCACUCUGUUCUCUUCACUCUGUUUUCGUCUUCUCCAUUGCUUGUGCUCGUGUUUCCACUUGAAAUUCAAGCCUGUAAUCAUCCAAAAUCCUUGCUUAACUCGCCCAAAUAGCUCCUCCAUCAAUUGGCAUGCUUGAAUCGAUUCAUAAGCUGAUAAAAACAUGUAAACUUGCCAUAAAAUGGUUAAAACCAAUUACUAAGGACCUUAAUGAAUUAAUUGGGUUAAAUGAAUAUGAUUACUACUUAAAGGUGCUUAAAACCAUUAUAAUUAGAUCUACAAAAUAGCACUUUUUGGUAGUAAUCACAUGUUCAGAUGGGGGUCAUGGAAAUAAUAGGAUCAGAUGUACCAAAUUUAAUGAAGGAUGUACCAAAUUUUGUGAAGGAUGUACCAAGGGUUCCAAACUGCGUUCUGAGGUGGGGAUCGACCCCUAAUCACUUCCUUAUGGGUUCCAAAAUGAAAUCAUGGACUAAAUGGGGGACCCAAAAAUAAUAGGAUCGGAUGUACCAAAUUUAAUGAAGGAUGUAGCAAACGUUCCAAAGUGCGUUCUGAGGUGGGGAUCGGCUCCCAAUCACUUCCUUAUGGGUUCCAAAAUGAAAUCAUGGACCAUCCAUGUUCAGAUGGAGGUCGUGGAAACAAUAGGAUCGGAUGUACCAAAUUUAAUGAAGGAUGUACCAAAUUUUGUGAAGGAUGUACCAAGGGUUCCAAACUGCGUUCCGAGGUGGGGAUCGACCCCCAAUCACUUUCUUAUGAGUUCCAAAAUGAAAUCAUGGACCAACCAUGUUUAGAUGGGGGACCCAGAAGCAAUAGGAUCUGAUGUACCAAAAUUAAUGAAAGAUCUACCAAAUUUUGUGAAUGAUGUACCAAAUUUAGUGAAAGAUGUACCAAGGGUUCCAAAGUGUGUUCCGAUGUGGGAAUCGGCCCCCAAUCACUUCCUUAUGGGUUCCAAAAUGAAAUCAUGGACCAUUCAUGUUCAGAUGGGAGACCCGAAAGUAAUAGGAUCGAAUGUACCAAAUUUUAUGAAGUAUGUACCAAAUUUUGUGAAUGAUGUACCAAGGGUUCCAAACUACUUUUCGAGGCGGGGAUGGGUCCCCAAUCACUUCCUUAUAGGCUUCAAAAUGAAAUCAUGGACCAUUCAUGUUUAGAUGGAGGACCCGAAAGUAAUAGGAUCGGAUGUACCAAAUUUAAUGAAGGAUGUACCAAAUUUUGUGAAAGAUGUACCAAGGGUUCCAAAUCGCGAUCCGAGGUGGGGAUUGGCCCCCAAUCACUUCCUUAUGGGUUCCAAAAUGAAAUCAUGGACCAGCCAUGUUUAGAUGGGGGUCUCGAAAACAAUAGGAUCGGAUGUACCAAAUUUAAUGAAAGACGUACCAAAUUUUAUGAAAGAUGUACCAAAUUUUGUGAAGGAUGUACCAAGGGUUCCAAACUGCGUUCCAAGGUGGGGAUGGACCCCUAAUCACUUCCUUAUGGGUUCCAAAAUGAAAUCAUGGACCAUCCAUGUUUAGAUGGGGGACCUGGAAGCAAUAGGAUCGGAUGUACCAAAUUUUGUGAAGAAUGUACCAAGGGUUCCAAACUACGUUUCGAGGUGGGGAUCAGCCCCUAAUCACUUCCUUAUGGGUUCCAAAAUGAAAUCAUGGACCAUCCAUGUUCAGAUGGGGGUCCCAAAAGCAAUAAGAUCAAAUGUAACAAAUUUAAUGAUGGAUGUACCAAAUUUUGUGAAGGAUGUACCAAAGGUUCUAAAGUGCGUUCUGAGGUGGGGAUCGGCCCCAAAUCACUUCCUUAUGGGUUCCAAAAUGAAAUCAUGGACCAUCCAUGUUUAAAUGGGGGACCUGAAACAAUAGGAUCGGAUGUAUCAAAUUUAAUGAAGGAUGUACCAAAUUUUGUGAAGGAUGUACCAAGCAUUCCAAAGUGCAUUCUGAGGUGGAGAUCGGCGCCCAAUCACUUCCUUAUGAGUUUGAAAAUGAAAUCAUGGACCAUCCAUGUUCAGAUGGGGGUCCCGAAAACAUUAGGAUCGGAUGUACCAAAUUUUGUGAAGGAUGUAUCAAGGGUUCCUAAGUGCAUUUUGAGGUGAAGAUCGGCCCCCAAUCACUUCCUUAUGAGUUCCAAAAUGAAAUCAUGGACCAUCCAUGUUCAGAUGGGGGUCCCGGAAACAAUAGGAUCAGAUGUACCAAAUUUAAUGAACGAUGUACCAAAUUUUUUGAAGAAUGUGCCAAAUUCUUGAGGUGGGGAUUGGCUUCGUGUUAUGUGAGGAGUUAGUAAAAGGGAGGUUCACCCAUUAACACCAUGGGAAGACAUUCAAACAUUUACACUGUACCCUUAGAAUCAAUGGAAAUUUUUUUUAUGCAAUAACAUUAGUUUGGUAUGUUAUGUGUAGAAGGCAAUCUAGGAGUGCACCUUCCAUUUGAAAGGCAUGCCUAUGUGUGAAUGACAUUAUAUUUCUGUGCUUCAUGUAGAAGGCAAAGUAGAGGUGCACCCUUUGUUGCAUAGGCAUGCCCAUGGGUAUGAUAACAUUAUUUUGGUAUACUAUAUACCAGUAUGCAAACUAGUGGCACACCCUUUAUUUUAGAGGCAUACAUAUUGCUGAAACCAUUAUAUUGGUAGGCUAUCUGCACUAGUCAACCUAAGACCAUAACCUUCAUGGAAGACGCAUGAAUGUGGGUGAAAAACUUAUUUUUGUUAAACUAUGUGCAGUAGGAAAAAGAUAGGCAUGACUCUCUGUUAGAGGCAUGCCUUUAGGAUGACUAGAUUUGAGGUGUGGGUUGGGCAGUAAGGCAAAUGGAGGCAUGCUGAUAGCUUGAAAAGUUGGCCCUUGACGUUCAUAUGAAAUAAGCGAUGGAAAUGAUUCCUUAUUGAUUUAAAAUCAUAGAUUUUUUCGAAAGAUUUUUUUUUAAAUAAAUAUUUAUCAUUUUAAAUUUUUUAUAAUUGUUCAUUUUUAUUUUUUAUUUUUUAAAAAAUCUAUAUUAUCAUUUUAUUUUAUAUUAUCUUUUUAUUUUUAACUAAUUUUUUAUUUAGCUCAUUAUAGGAAACUAGCUAGUAUAUUUUGUUUCAUUUACAUAAAUUUCAAUCUGCAUUAUAAAAUGGUACCAGUUGAAUCUCUAUACCAAAAAUUUGGUACAUCUAAUCCUUGAGCUACCAGGACCCCUAUCUUAUUACCCAUGGUCCGUUAAUUCCUUUAAGGAUCUUUGGAAAGUGAUUGGAGGUUGUUCCCUACUCUGAAACAAACUUUGGAACCCUAGGUACAUUCUUAAGAAAAUUUGAUAUAUCCAAUCCUUGAGCUAAUGGGACACCUAACUUCAUUCCCAUGGUUCAUUUAUUUCUUUGUACAACCUUAGAAAGUGAUUGGAGGUCGUUCCCCACUUCGGAAUGGAUUUUGGGCCCUUUGGUACAUCCUUUACAAAAUUUGAUACAUCCUUAAAAAAAUUUGGUACAUCCAAUCCUUGAGCUAUCAAAACCUCUAUCUUAUUACCCAUGGUUUGUUUAUUCCUUUAGGGAUUUUUGAGAAGUGAUUGGAGAUCGUUCCUUUCUUUGAAAUAGACUUUGGAACCCCAGGUACAUUCUUGAGAAAAUUUGAUACAUCUAAUCCUUAAGCUAAUGGGACACCUAUCUCCCUUCUCAUGAUUCAUUUAUUCCUUUGCAGUCCCUUGGGAAGUGAUUGGAGGUCGUUCCCCACCUCAGAAUGGACUUUGGUAACCUUGGUACAUCAUUUACAAAAUUUGGUACACCCUUCACAAAAUUUGGUACACCUUUCACAAAAUUUGGUACAUCCUUAAAAGAAAUUGGUACAUCUAAUCCUUGAGCUACCGGGACCCCUAUCUUAUUACCCAUGGUUCGUUCAUUCCUUUAGGGAUCUUUGGAAAAUGAUUGGAGGUCAUUCCCUACUCUGAAACAGACUUUGGAACCCUAGGUUUCGAUAGCUCAAGGAUUGGAUGUACCAAAUUUUGUGAANNNNNNNNNNNNNNNNNNNNNNNNNNNNNNNNNNNNNNNNNNNNNNNNNNNNNNNNNNNNNNNNNNNNNNNNNNNNNNNNNNNNNNNNNNNNNNNNNNNNAAGUGGUCCAAAGUCCGUUCAAAGUGGGGAACGACCUCUAAUCACUUCUUAAGGCUGUCCAAAGGAAUAAAUGGACCAUGGGAAGAAAGAUAGGUGUUUUGUUAGCUCAAGGAUUUGAGGUAUCAAAUUUUCUUAAGGAUGUACCUAGGGUUCCAAAGUCUGUUUCAAAGUAGGGAACAACCUCCAAUCACUUUUUGAAGAUCCUUAAAAGAAUGAACGGACCAUGGUAAAUAAGAUAAGGGUCACGGUAGCUCAAGGAUUGGAUGUACCAUUUUUUUUAGGGACGUACCAAAUUUUGUAAAAGAUAUACCAAAAUAUGUAAAUGAUGUACCAAGGUUGCCAAAGUCCAUUCCGAGGUGGGGAACAACCUCCAAUCACUUCCCAAGGGUCUCCAAAGAAAGAAAUGGACCAUGGGAAGAGAGAUAGGUGUCCCGUUAGCUCAAGGAUUGGAUGUAUCAAAUUUUCUCAAAGAUGUACCUAGGGUUCCAAAGUCCGUUUCAGAGUAGGGAACAACCUCCAAUCACUUCCCAAAGAUCCCUAAAGGAAUAAAUGGACCAUGGGUAAUAAGAUAGAGGUUUCGAUAGUUCAAGGAUUGUAUAUACCAAAUAUUUUUAAAGAUGUACCAAAUUUGUUGAAUGGUGUACCAAAUUUUGUGAAGGAUGUACCAAAUUUUGUAAAUGACGUAUCAAAUUUUGUAAAGGAUGUGCCAAGAGUGCCAAAGUUUGUUUCGAGGUAGAGAAUGACCUUUAAUCACUACUUGAGGGUCCUCAAAGGAUAAUAUGGACCAUGAGAAGAUAGAUAAGGGUCUCGAUAGCCCGAGGAUUGAAUGUACCAAAAUUUCUUAACGAUGUACCAAAUUUCCUUAAGGAUGUACCUAUGGUUCCAAAGUUCAUUUCAGAGUAGGGCAUGACCUCUAAUUACUUCCUAAAGAUCCCUAAAGAAAUAAACAAACCAUGAGUAAUAAUAUAGAGGUCCCGGUAGCUCAUGGAUUGGAUGUACCAAAUUGUUUUAAGGAUAUGCCAAAUUUUAUGAAAUAUAUACCAAAUUUUGUAAAGGAUGUACCAAAUUGUCUUUAGGAUGUACCUUGGGUUCCAAUGUCCAUUCCAAGGUGGGGAACAACCUGCAAUUCUUUCUCGAGGGUCCCCAAAGGAAUAUAUGAACCAUGAGAAUGGAGAUAGGGGUCUUGGUUCCUCUAAGUAGGGACAUACUUAGGGUUCCAAAGUUCCUUUUGGGGUGGGUGGGACCUCUAAUUUCUUAUCGAGGGUUUUAAAGGAAUAUAUACACCAUGAUAAGUAUGAUGGUGUUUCUGGUUCCCCUAAGCAUGAAUUUACCUAUUUCUUUUAAGGAUGUACCUAUUUUUUUUUAUGAAAUUAAUAUAAAAGGUUACAUACAUUUUUUUUAUGAAAAAUAUAUUUUCUUUUAUAUUUUAUUUUAAUUAAAAAUUAAAGAUUUUAACCAAAAAAAAAAAGUUAGAUCUAGAAUCAAGUUAAAAUCAUAAGAAAAAUGAUAAAAGUACCAUCACUUAUUGUGAUUUUGAUAUGAUAAAUUUAAAAUAAAAAUUAAAAGAAAAAUAAUAUAAAUAAUAAAAUAGUAUUACAAAGAUAUUUUUACUUUUACAUGUGAUAUAAUUUACAAAAUAAAUAAAUCUUUUGUUUAGUAUUAAUAUAAAAAAUCUUAUAUCAUAAACUUCUAAAUAAUAAAAUAGAAAUUUUAAAUUUAAACCUUAACUUAUAAAAUGUAUUAUUAUAAUUAAUAUUUAAAAUCAUAGAAUAUAUUAUUUGUGGGAUAAUAUUUUCAUUUUUGUCCAUUAUAUAUUUUGUUUUUAUUUAAUUUUUUAUAUUAACUAUUUAUUAUAUAUUAUCAUUUUAAGUUUAAUAUGUCAAAAAAAUAAUUACAAUCAAUAAAUAUGGAGAAAUUAGAGAGUAAAAAAAAUUAAAAUUAAAGAAGUUUUUAUGAGAAAAUGCAUAAGCAUAUUAAAAAGAAUAUAAAGGGAAAAAAAAAGAAAAAUAAUAAUAAAAACUAUAAUAGGUGACAAUGGAUUAUGGUGGUAGGAGAGGAAAAAAAAGGAAAAAGAAAAAAGAAAAAAGAAAAAAGUGGAAACGUGGCAAGUGGUAAGGGAGAAAUAUUGAUGUGAGAAAAAUAAUAAAAAUAAAUUAUACAUGUACUUGUUAACAUGUGAUAUUAAAUUGGUGUGUACUUUGUCCUUUACUUUUGAGGGUAAUUAUGGAACAAAUUUAAAAGCACUAUUGGAGUGCAUGAAUAGACAAUAUUUUUCCCCAUUUUACACUAAAAUUAAAAAGGAAAAAGUAAAGUUCUAAAAUCUCAUAUUUUUGUAGUUGGUGUAUGGUUACAUGAUUUCCCCUUCGAAAAACCCCUAUCUCCUUCACCCAUCCAGCUCCCUCCUCAAUCGUCGCGACCUCUUUUUUUCUUCCCAGAUUUGCAACUACGCCUCCACCUCCGUCACUUUCCAAUUCCCAGCGUGCGCUCCUCACCCUCUCUCUCUUCCCAGUCCCAGCAUGCGCUUCUCCCACCCUCAUUCUCUUCCCAGUCCUAGCGUGCGCCUCUCUGCGGCGCCACCUAGCACCCUCCCUCCACAUUCCAUAUCUUUCCAGUUCCUAGCGUGCGCCCCUCACUCUCCCUCUCUUCCUAGUCCCAGUAUGCGCUUCUUCCACACUCCUUUUCUUCCCAGUCCCAGCGUGCGCCUCUCCGCGGCGCCACCCAACACCACCACCACCACCACCACCACCACCAAACCCCCCUCCCCCUCUUUCUUCUACUACUGCCCAUAUUCCCCUUUCUUUUUUAGUUGAACUCUCUUCCCCCUUCCCACCUCCAACAUGAACACCUCCCAUUUCAUUUCCUGGUUUUUUUUAUUAAAUUUUUUUUUUAUAUUUUCAUUUACAUUGUCCGUUCAUCUCCAUUAUUAUUUAUUUUAUUUUAUAUUUGUUAUUUUUUUAACUUUAUGAUAUUGUAAAACUUGUGAUUUUAAUUUAAAUUAAUGAAAACAUCAUAAUUUUAAAUAAAUUUCUAUUUUUAAAAUUUUAUUUGAAAAUCAUAAAAUUUGUUUCAAAUUAGAAAUUUAAAUUAAGAUAAAAUUUUAAUUUUAAAAUUUUAAAUUUUAAAUUAAAAUUUUUAUCUUAAUUUAAAUUCUUAAUUUGAAACUAAUUUUAUGAUUUUCAAAUAAAAUUUUAAUUUUUAAAUAAUAUAUAAAUUAUAUAUUUAUAUUGUCAUCGGUUCGACUAUAAUCAGACCACUGAUCCAACUAGUGAAUCGUGAAUCGGUAAUUUUUCCAAUUUAAUGAUCGCCGAUCCAACUAGUGAAUCAUGAACCGAUAACUUUUUCGGUUCAAUGAUCCGUUCGAUUUUGAAAGCAUUGAUUUUAACUAAUUAAUUCUAAAAGUUAAUAUAAUUUUAUAUUUCGAAAAUGGAAAAUUAGAAGUGUAUGUAAAUUGACACUUAUUUGUUUAUUUAUAAAUUUUAUUUAUUUUUAUAUAAUUAUUUUUUUUUCAAUAAAGCAAAUGGCUACCUCACUCCAUUUGGAAUUAAGAAUAAGAGUGAAAAUAUACUUAAAUAAUAAUUAAGGUGAGGGUGGGAAAGGUGAGCCACCUAUACUUGAGGAUUUACGUCCCCAAAUAUAAAGCUUUACUAGGUCAUGUCGGCAUAUUUUUCUUAAUAACAGAUGAUUAAGAGAUACUCUAUUUGAUUGAUGAAUUGUUUAUAGGAAAUUUUAGGAUGUCAAGUUCAUAUUAAUUGAAUUUACAAUCUCAAUCAUGAAUAUGUAUAGUGAAAUUUAAACCAUUGAAUGUUGAUAUAAAUAAGUAAGAUCAUUGUACAAAUAAAUGAGAUUAAAAUAUAAAGGAAUGAAAGUAAAGUACAAAGUAAUGAAAAUUAGAUACAAAAUAUUAGUAAUAGAUUAGAUAUAUGACAAGUAGUAAUUAGAUCCAUAUUUUUGGUAGGUAAUGAUUCAAUAUUGGAAUGGGAACUCAUGAUUUAUAAGGAGUGAGUAGUAGAUGGCAAUACCAAAUUUGUUUUGAAAAGGGAAGUAAAUGCGAAGGCACAUUUACUGGACUUGACAUAAAAUAAUUUUAUAAGAAUUUAUUUUGAUUUUGGAACAUAUUUUAUAUUUGUCUAAUUGUUUUUAUAUAGUAUUUUAAUAAUAAUUUAAAAUACGAAGAACACUCUUAUAGUAUAUUUUAUAAGAGCUCGGCCCCAUACCUUGUCCUGACUCCUGUGUGCUUUAAAAUCACAUUAUGCAUAUGCAUCGAACUCAGCAUUUGAAGCUCUUCCAUCACUGCAUUCAGAUGACCCAGCCAAAUCCAGUGGAGUUAGACACACUUGAAGAUGUCACAGCUGGUUUUCCUUGAAAAGGAAGCCCAGAAUUCUUUUAAGUACUUGGACAUUGUCACAUCUACCGAAGGCUUGAAAACGUUGGCUUGUCAUUAUUUUUUCCAUUUCUUAAGGGUUGGUUUUUUAUUUUUCAUUUUUAUUUUUAUUUUUUUAUUUUAAGUAUAAAUCUUUAUAUUUCUCCAUUGUUACAUCUCCCUAUCAAACUUUGGAAGUGGCAUGCCCAAGUAUUCUUCCAUGGGAAUGCUUUUGGAGCAAAUAAUUAAGUGAAAUAUUUUAUUUUUUAACCCAUUAAAUAAGUGUUUGGUAAACCAAUUUAAUAACUUAAAAGUGACUUAAUAACUUAAUUUUAAGUUAUUAAAUAAAUUAAGUAUAUUUGAUAAAAUAACUUAAUGAUAUAACUUAAAAUUCAAAAACAACUUUAAGUAAUAAAUAAGAAUAAUUAACUUACUUUUAAGUUCAUAUUUUUAUUUUAUCCUUUUAUCUCCAUUUAUCAUAAUUAUUUUCAUGAUAUCCUUUGUUACUUCACGACCUUUAUUAUUACUCGACAUCAUUUGUCUGCAUUAUAAUUUAUAUGAAUAAAUAUGUUAAUUUGAUGUUUUAGAAUAAAUUAUGAAUUAAUUUUAUCAAACAAAAAUAAGAAUUAAAUAAUAAAUUUAAAUUAACAAUUUAAGUAUAAUUUAAUUUACUCACAAAAUUUUAGUACAUGUAGGCUUAGAAUAUGAUAUUUAGUUGUUCUUUUUAUAAUAUUGUAAGCAAAUGUUCUAAAAAAUUUUGUACUAUAUAAAUUUAUAAUAUUUUCAUUCCAAAUGAACUUUAAAAAUUGUUUUGGUAGAAUUUUGGAUAACAAGUUUUUAAAACAUUAGAAAAAAAAAAAAAGGGGUUACGUGGGGUAUAGUUUGGUCGUUUCUAUUCAUGAAGAGGGGUUGUUUCAGGCAUAGUUUUCUUUGCCUACUCUCCUAUCCUUUAUUGGCUAAAAAUUAGAACACAUCAAGUCCCCAUACCUUUGUAGACAUAAAAAAAAAAAUAAAAAAUAGUGGAUUAAAUUACCACUAAUUUGGUCUUCAAAAUGAAUAAAUUAAAAAAAAAGAUAUCCUUUUAUGGAUAAGUUUCCCUAAUCUCCAAAUAUAAAAAUAAAAAUAAAAAUAAAAAUAAUAAUAAAAUUAUUAUUAUUAUUAUUAUUAUUAUCUUGUUGGUAAAAUCUCCCAAGAGAAGAAAAAUUUGCUAAAAUCAAGGAACUAAAUCCCUUGAAUUAAGCAACUAAAAUUUGGGAAUUUGAAAUUCAAAUUCCCUAUUUUCACCUAUAAAUAGAGGUGUCUUCUAUUACGAAGGGGGAAAGAAAUUUAGAAAUCAGAAAAUCCAGAAAGGAAAAUCUUAAGAAGAAAAUUCAAAGGAGACUUCAUCCUUGAAAAGAGGUUUCACAACAAAAGAAAAAGUUUCAUCAAAUCUUCCUACAAGUUCGAUAAACGAAAAAAAACCUACUACACGCGUUCUUUGCCAUUCAAGGAGUUCAUUCAGGAAUAAGCCACUUGUGGCCCUCGAUUGAUCUUCGAAAUCAAGAAAAUGUCAUCGUCAUCUUCCGAAGUGUGAUCAAGGCAAAAGAAUCAAAGGAAAAAUAUUCUUUUGGAAAGAAUAUUAUUUUUGAGAUUGUACCCACAAUAUUUUUAAUUUCAAUAAAUAUUUUGCUCACAUUAUUUUCCUAUUUGUUUUGCUAACUUUGCAAGACCAAAAUUUACGAAAUUUGUGCGUACAAAUUUCUGGCAUGCUCUGUGGGACAUCUUUACCUCUCAUCUCUUUCAUUAGAAGAUUUAUCACUACUACAUCGAUGACACCCAAAAGAACUCAAGUUGUGCAUGUCAACAAGGACAAUGAUAAGAUCGUCAUUGCACAAUCAAAACACGACGCCGCUACGGGCCCCAUGACUCGUAGCAAAGCAAAAUCAACAUCUUCACUCUCAACAAAACAAACAAGUGAGUCCGCUUGUUUGAUAAAACUGGUAAGAACGCGUGAUGAGCACUAACCACUCAUCACCUUGGUCUCUGAGGGGGAAAAGAGCCAUAGUCCUCAUAGUAGGGGAAAACUUCCUUUAACACUGAUUUGUGCCCACUUGGUGUAUCAGCUGAUUCAUCUCCAGCUGGUGCUCCUUGAUUGAGGGAGUAAUCAACAAAAUUUAUAACUUAUUACACCAUGAACUAGGGUAGCAAAGACAAAGCUACUAUAGCAUAGUGGCUCUAGGAUCGUUCACUGGGAAGGGUUUUCAAUUCAUAAAUGAUACCAAUUCAAAGAUGAAUUGGUGCCUUUUAAUUUCAAGGUUAGCUUAAGAAAUAAAACACAAACUUUGAUUGAAAAAGGGUUUAGGUUUGAGCUAACAGCAAAGGAAUUAAUGGAAAUUACUUAUGAAGAAAAACAUUCCUUGGAGGUUUAGGUUCAUAGGGGAGGUUCCUCGUGCAAAAACAGAGCUCCGGUCAUUUGGUUCAUUUCCUCGCAUUAGAGAAUUAACAUAUAGUCAAUUCUCUAACCGGUGUUGUACAAAUGCAUCCUUUAAAUGGAUUUCAGCUCUAAUUCCCUCUCACUGAUGCAACUUGCAAUGGCUCGUGCCUUUCACCUAACAUUUGCCAUUCAAGGUAAUCUUUAACCUUGGAUUACCCUUCAAAAGCUCGCAAGAGAUAACUAAUGGAUGUCUCCUUGGAGUCCAAAAGCUUACCAAGUGUUAGCUAUUCUAGAAAAUCCUACCUUCAAACCACCUCCCAAAGGCUCGCAAGAGAUAAACUAGUGUAUCUCAAUGGAUGGAGAUCACUUGCCUUACCAAGUGUUGGCCUAGGUGAUUUAAAGGCGUUUUAAGUUAACUAAAAACAUAGAAAUCAUUAAAGGAUCACACUUUCUCUUCAUUAAUGGCUGAAACCACAAAGCUACUAAUUCUUGCACUUGGAACCUUUCCCGGCAACCUUAACUCCAAGGAACUAAAAGUCUAGCCACUCAUUCUUUGAGGAAACAUCUUCAGAGCUUGUUUGGCAAGUAAGAAAAAUUAAAUGAAUAUAAACAAUCAAAAUAAAUAGGUAAGGUAGAGCAAAGGCUCUGUAUUUUACUUCCUUCCAAAAACUUGUACAAAAGAUAUAGAUUAUUACAAACUAUAUAUAAGGGGUUAUUCACCUUUUGUUCUUACUUAAAGACUAAGAAAUCCUAUGAUAGGUGGGUUACAAGGAGACUUUGGGGAUUUAGACAUCAAAUAUCUAAAGAAAAAUAUCUAAAUGUUGGUUGCAUAUAUCGGGAAGCUUCAGGAGAACACCGCGGCACUGUGCAAAAUGGCUGCGAAAUUCUCCGGGUAAGCGUUAUUAGAGGAUCCGGAUAUGUAUAUCUGGAGAAGUUGAAACGCCCUGGUCUCCCAUCCGGCUCCUGAAUUCCGGAUGUGAUCCGGGUGGAAUGGCGGCAGUCGGAUGUAAAGUGGCAGCAGCCGGAUGUAAAGUGGCGUCAGCCGGAUGUAAAGUGGCGGAGCAGAAUUCCGGAUGUCAUCCGGGUAAAGUGGCGGUAGCCGGAUGGAAUUCCUACCCGGGUGGAAUGAGCUGGAUCCCAUACUCCUUGUAUUCUGGAUUUGCUUAUGGAUUCCAAAGAACUCUCCUCAAUCUUGGAUUGCUUUGGUGAUCAAAAAGCUAUCAAAACACCAAAACUUAACACAAUUUGAUUAGAAUUGAUUGCAAGGGUCCUUAACAUGUUAAUUGGGUUAAAAGGUGAUAACUACUACUCAAAAGUGUUUAAAAGAGUUAAUUACAAACUAUGAAAUAGCACUUUUUGAGUAGUAAUCACUCCCCCCAACCAAAAUAUUGCUAGUCCCUUAGCAAUGAAGGAGAGAAAAAUAAAAAUAAACAGUACUAUAAUUUACAACAUCAUGCUGAUCAAAAAACAAUUUCCAAGUGGCAUGAUGAUCUAACUCUCACAUGGAACAUUAAAGAAAUAAAACUCAAACUUCAACAAGAGUUAUCAAAUAACUUGUCUAAUCACUAUUCUUAAAGAGAAGGCAUUAUGCAAAUUUAAGCUUUAAAAUCAUUUCCACUUCCAUAGGAUCAAACUUUACUCUUCCAUAAAAGUCUAAAUGUGAGAUGAUAGUUUCCGAAUAUAGUAUGCUAAACUAAUCUCUCCCCCCCAACCUAGCUCUUUUCAACACUUAGCAAACUGACCAACUUCAAUAGGCUAAGAACGCACCCUUUUAUUUUACAAUUCUUUUCAUUGUAGGAAUACAAAGCUUAAAGGUAUUCUUUUCUAAAUUUUCCAUGUAACGGGGGUCCAUCGAUGACUCCCAACCAAUUAAGGUUUAGGGCAUCAAGCUUUAAGGAUCUUUCAACCACUAACUCCUCGGACUUUACCUGGGACUUUUGAGAAUGAAUUUUAAAAUACCCAAGCACCUACAGUAUGUUAAACUCCACCUAUUCACCCUUGUAACGAGCAUUGAGGUCGGUGACUCCCAACCAAUUAAGGCUUAGGGCACCAGGUUUUAAAGAUUUUCACCAUAUACCCCUCAAACCUUGCUCGGGUUUCAAGGCAAGUAAACAUUUUUCUUUCUUUCUUUCUUUUUUUUAAAGACUCAUUGGCCUUUUAUAAGGUGUCCCAACACUAUUAAAUGAGGUCAAAGGUACCAAGUCUAAAAUUUUCCUAAGUUAAGAGGGAAAUAGUUUUUCAUCUUAUAAUCAGAAUCUAUUAUGCACAGUGUGUGAAUAGCUUAAAGUGGAAGAACUAAGCUUGAAUUCAAUAGAAACUUCAACAAUUCAUCAACUUUAAUAAACAUAAUACAAACUCUAAGUCAAGUAAAAAGACAAAAAUUCAAUUUCUCCCAUUUCAUUUUGAAAAUUUUUCCUUAAUAACCAUGGAGAGUAGAAUAAAAACUUUAAAAAUUUUAAAAAUUAAGCAAAAAGCAACUAAAUUACCAAAAUAACUUAGCAUUAUUAACAAAAACUUCCUUCCUCAACUCUCCCCCCAACCAAGCUGAACAUUGUCCUCAAUGCGAUAAAAGCGAUUGAAAAAUAGGGAGGAAAUGGUACUUCCUGAGUAGUAUGAAGUUCAAGUAGAAUAGGAGAACCCACAUGUUUCAAAAAACAAUAAAAGAUAUGAGUAGAGGAAUUAAAAUAAUAUAAUGCUAAGUGUGCUCACAAAUGAUAGAGAUUUGUAUUACUUGAUGGCAGUACAAUUUUAUAUCAAAAACAAGCAAUACAACCAAUCCCACUAUAUAAUACCAAAAAGAUGGGAUUUCUUAAAGGAAAUACAUAAAGUAAAGUAUGUAAAUGAUCAGAAAUGGGGAGGAUGAUGCUGGUAAGCUGAUGGCUCAGGUAGAUGUCUCUGCAUCUUCAGUAGCCGGCUCAGGAGGGGCAUGGGGCUCUGUGGCCUCUGAGUGGGGCACUGCAGUGGUAGGGGUGAGAUGCUCAGUAGCUGAUGGAAGACCCAGAUGGUGCUGAAGCUGCCUCAGGAUGGCAGUGUGUUGAGUCUGGGUGGUCAAAAUCUGCUCCUGGUGAGCACGAAUAGCUGACAUCUCCUGAGCAAGGCUGCUCUGAGUCGCGGUCAGUGUCUGCAAUGUGUGGCAUAGAUCUCUAUACUCUGAAAGGGGUAUGGCCAUCCUAGGCUCGGCUGAAGUAGAGGGCUCUGAUGCAGCUGGAAUAACUGGAGGGGUGCUGUGGGUGGCAGGAAAAGCAAAGGGUAUACCCUCAGGUAUGGCCUCUGGAGAUGCUCUCCUGGCAGCUGGUAUCUCAGCUGGCUGUGGGUCCUCUGGCUGCUGUGGUUGUGGAAGCUCUAGACGCUCUGUUCUAUAUGCUGUCAUAUUGGUCCACUUGUCGAGAGUGAAUACCUCUCGGCAUAUACGUCUGCGCUCCAGCUGAGGGUCUGAUGGAUACCCCAGAUGCUCCAAAAUUUGGCAUAGCACUCUCGAGAAAAGAAGUGGAAUAGCAUCCGCUUGCAGCAACUUCUUCCUAUGCACCUUCUCUUCAAAGUAGAGAAGGGCAGCCAUAAUCAGAUGGUGAGGGCCAAAGAAAUAUCCCUCUGAUAUCCUAAACAGGGCCUCUAGCAGAACUCCUCUCCUCUGCACCCAAUGCUGAAGUGGAUAAAUGUUGUGGCGCAGGAGUGCAUCAAUGAAGAACAUGCUCGGAGGAAGUUCCUUCCUCAACAGAUAUGGAUUUGUGGAUGUUCCUCUGGACAAAAUAUGAACCAUUUCAAGCUGGGAAGGAUUAGUCCAUACUCGGUAAUCCUCUAGAUGGGCUGGCUCAUAUGGAAUAUGCAGGGCCUUUGCUAUGUGGCGAGCUCCUAAAAUACCAUGACGUCCGUCAAUGGUGAAGUGGAUAAGAGUAGGAUCUCUGACCUGAUUAGUAGUCAUGGACUGAUAGAAGUCCAUUGCUACUUGGGGAUAGAAAAAAUCCCUGGGGGUCAGCAAAUGCUCCAUGCGAUAUCUGUGCAGUAGAUGGAAUGAGUCUGCGAGCUCCGGCUGAAACCUGAAGGUGGCUGUGUCAAAACAUAGUUCAGAGUGAAAUGGUCGAGCCCGGCAAUCCAAAUUCCCCUCAAUGGGCGGCUGAUCGACCAUCGAACGCCUGAUCAGCACCUCAGGAGCUAUCCCUGAGGGAAUUUGAGACUCUGCAAGUGGCGGCUGCGACAGAUGAGGCUCCGCCGGAGGCUCUGAAGACAGCGCCAGAGACGGCUCUGGAGAGGGCUUUGGAGAGGGGUCCGGAGACUGCUCCGUUAAGUCAAUUGGCUUUGAAUCUACUACCCUGGCUUUUUUUUGCGGGGGACGGCCACCUGACCUGGUCAGAUAACGCCUCGCCGGAGGACUCAACGGCGCGGGUUUAGCCGGAGGUGGGGUGGCUACUCGUCAAGGAGGCUCUGAUGUGGAGCCUUGAACAAGCGCCUCUCGCGCGACUCUCUUGCGGCCAGACAAAAAUGAUGACUUUGCUCCUCUGGUUCGCGCCAUGGCGGAUUGAAGAAAAUGGCCGGAGGUGAUGGCCGGUGGCUCGCGCGGCUUCGGGCUCAGGUGAGAGAGCGAACGGACGGUUGCUCUGGUGUUCUUCCUUUCUGAAACCUUUUGGCAGCUCAAAUGACCAGUUUUUAUAAAAAAUAAAGGAAUAUCAAGGGUCGUUUUGAUUUUCGCAGAGGAAGGCCGAUUUCGCAGCAAAAGGUCGUUUUUGCAAUAAAAUGUCAUUUUCCCAGCCCAUUUGCAGCUGCAAAAUGGGGGGGAACUAUGUUGCGAAAUGGCACUCGUGUGCCAAGAGGGUGCUUCGCAGCUGCGAAAAUUUUCGCAGAGAGGGGCUUGAGGGUGCGAAAUGAUUUCGCAGCAAAGUGGCGAUUUCGCAGAGGCUUCUUUUAGGCUGCAACAUCUCGCAGACCCCUUUUUUUCCCCUGUUUUACACUCUUUCUUGCUCCAAACGACUUUCCUUCAAUUUCUUUGUAAUUUCUCCUACAUGAGAUCAUUCAAAAAGACUAAGUUACAUAUAAAUACACAACUUAAGACCAAAAAUUAAAAUCAAAAGAAUUGAUAAAGCUUUGAAAUUAAGAAAAUUAACAAAAACUUAUGGACUUUGGCGAAACCAAGUCCAUCUAACCCUUCUUUGAUUAGGCUUUCUGUGGCUCAAGGAGGUUGAUUUCCUCAUUUUCUGGUUUGAAUGGCUCAAUGAAUGGCUUGAGACGAUGACCAUUGACCUUGAAAAUGUCAGUACUGUUGGAAUUCAGUAAUUCCACCACUCCAUUGGGAUAUACUUGGUGAAUAAUGAAAGGACCUAUCCACCUUGACUUGAGCUUCCCAGGAAAGAUAUGGAGUCUUGAAUCAUAAAGUAAGACUCUUUGUCCUUUCCGCAAUUCUUUGUUAGAGAUUAGUUGAUCAUGCCACUUCUUCAUCCUCUGUUUUGCAACUUUGGAAUUGAUGUAAGCAUCAUUUCUUAAUUCCUCCAUCUCAUUGAGGUCUAAGCACAUCUUUUCCCCAGCUCUGAUCAAGUCCAUAUUCAACCUCUUGAUUGCCCACCAAGCCUUAUAUUCAACUUCCACAGGGAGGUGGCAUGCUUUGCCAUAGACGAGACGAUAGGGGGACAUGCCAAGAAUAGUCUUAUAAGCUGUUCUAUAUGCCCAUAAUGAAUCAUGUAGCUUACUAGACCAAUCUUUUCUGCUUGUAAUCACCACUUUCAUCAGCAUGUUUUUUAUUUCCCUGUUUGCUAGCUCCACUUGCCCGGAAGUUUGAGGAUGAUAAGGUGUAGCUACCUUAUGCUUCACUCCAUACUUGGCUAAUAGGGUUUCAAAAGGUUUGUUGCAAAAAUGAGUACCUUCAUCACUGAUUAUGGCCUUGGGCACCCCAAAUCUUGAGAAGAUGUUCUCCUUAAGAAAUUUGAGAACCACCCUGUGAUCAUUAUGUUUACAGGGGACUGCCUCCACCCAUUUGGAAACAUAGUCUACCCCCACCAAUAUAUAAGAGUUACCAAAAGACAUUGGGAAAGAUCUCAUGAAGUCAAUACUCCAAACAUAAAAAAGAUCAACUAUAAGGAUGGGGUUCAUGGGCAUUUGAUUUCUUUUUGUAAGCUUCCCGAGUCUUUGGCAUCUAUCACAACUCCUACACAUGAUGUGGAAAUCUUUGAAAAGCGAUGGCCAAGUAAAACCUGAUUGCAAGACCUUCAUGGCUGUUUUCUGAGAGGCAAAGUGGCCUCCACAGGCAUUCUCAUGGCAAUGGCUGAGGAUCCUUUGUUGCUCUUCUUCAGGGACACACUUUCUUAUGAUCUGAUUUGCACAAUACUUGAAAAGGAAGGGCUCUUCCCAAUAAUAAGCAUGAAUCUUUCCAAAGAAGUGCUUCCUGUCUUGCGCUUUCCAUUCACUUGGAACUUCACUAGUAACCAAAUAGUUAGCAAUAUGAGCAUACCAAGGAGCUUUCUCUAGCAACAUAAGUGAUUCCUCAGGAAAGUCAUCAUUAAUAGGUAAUACAUGAGAAUUAUGUGCUAUAACCAACCUUGAAAGGUGUUCAGCUACCACAUUCUCCACCCCUUUCUUGUCUCUGAUUUGGAGAUCGAACUCUUGUAACAAAAGAAUCCAUCUAAUCAACCUUGCCUUUGCAUCUUGCUUUGUCAAUAAAUACUUCAAGGCUGAAUGGUCAGUGAAAACAAUGAUGAAAGACCCUACCAAAUAAGCACGAAACUUGUUUAAAGCAAACACCACAACUAACAAUUCUUUCUCUGUAGUUGUGUAGUUUCUUUGAGCCUCAUUCAAUGUUUUGCUUGCAUAGUAGAUCACGGAGGGCUUCCCAUCUUCUCUUUGGCCAAGUACAGCUCCUAUAGCAAAGUCACUGGCAUCACACAUUACUUCAAAGGGUAAUUGCCAGUUAGGAGCCCUUACUAUUGGAGUUGUUGUUAAGAAUUGCUUCAGUUGAUCAAAGCUAUUUUGACAUCUUUCAUCCCAUAUAAACUUAGCAUCUUUAGCCAAAAGCUCACAAAGAGGUUUUGAAAGAUUAGAGGAAUCUUUUAUAAAUCUCCUAUAAAACCCUGCAUGGCUAAUGAAUUUCCUUACUCCUUUCACAGUUGUUGGGGACGACAAUUUGACAAUAAGCUCCACCUUUGCUUUAUCAAUUUCAAUGCCUUUCUCAGAGAUGAUAUGGCCAAGAACAAUUCCUUGACGUAUCAUAAAAUGGCAUUUCUCCCAGUUGAGCACCAAGUUCUUCUCAAUGCAUCUGUUAAGAACCGCUUCCAAAUUGACUAAGCAUUCCUCAAAUGUACCUCCAUAUACGGUGAUAUCAUCCAUGAAGACCUCCAUAAUUCGCUCCACCAUAUCACUGAAGAUACUAAGCAUACAUCUUUGGAAUGUUGCAGGUGCAUUGCAUAAACCAAAAGGCAUUCUUCUAUAGGCGUAUGUUCCAAACGGACAUGUGAAAGUGGUCUUCUCCUGAUCUUCAACAUCAAUUUCAAUUUGGAAAUACCCUGAGUAUCCGUCCAAGAAACAAUAAAAAGGAUGGCCAGAGACUCUCUCCAGCACCUGAUCAAUAAACGGGAGUGGAAAAUGAUCUUUCCUUGUCACAGCAUUCAAUUUCCUAUAGUCAAUACACACCCUCCAACCUGAAGUGAGGCGUGUAGCAAUUUCUUCUCCUUUUUCAUUUUGAACCACAGUAAUCCCUAACUUCUUUGGUACCACUUGAGUAGGACUCACCCAAGGGCUGUCAGAUAUGGGAUAAAUAAUACCUGCUUGGAAUAGCUUCAUUACCUCAGUUCGCACCACUUCUUGUAAAUGAGGAUUCAAUCUUCUUUGAGGUUGACGAAUUGGUUUAGCUUCUUCCUCCAUAUAUAUGUGAUGUGUACAAACCAAAGGACUGAUUCCUUUCAAGUCAGAUAUUUGCCAUCCUAUUGCUUUCUUACACCUCUUGAGAACUUCAAGAAGAGAAAUCUCCUGAUGACUGGUAAGAGAUGAAGAUAUAACAACAGGACAUUGAUUAUUUUCUUCAAGGUAUGUAUAUUUCAGCUCCACGAGCAAAGGCUUCAAAUUGAGCUUUAGGGUCUCUUCUUCAGCAGCUUCUCCUUCCUCUUUAUUGAACAAAGGUAGAAUUUCUUCUCUCCUCCUCCAACCUUGUAGAGUAGCAAGCACAUCAGGGGGUUCAAAAAAUCCUUCUUCAAGAUCCCCAAGACUUUCAUUCAGCUUGUCUUGUAUCUUCUGAUUACAGUGCUUCUCCACUAGAGUGUCGAUAAUGCAUACCUCUUCUGGACCUUCUUCUUCUUCCGGAGUGAUUUGCUUUUUAGACAUAUGAAAAAUGUUGAGCUCAAGUGUCAUGUUGCCAAAAGUGAGUUGCAUGAGUCCAUUCCUACAAUUGAUGAUUGCAUUUGAGGUAGCGAGGAAUGGCCUUCCAAGGAUGAUAGGAACUGAAUUAACUUCCUUUACAGUAGGAUCCGUAUCAAGAACAACAAAAUCUACCGGAUAGUAGAAAUUAUCAACUUGAACUAAGACAUCCUCAAUUACCCCCCUUGGAAUUCUUACUGAUCUAUUUGCUAGAGAUAGGGUGAUUGAUGUUGGCUUCAACUCACCAAGUCCCAAUUGCUUGUAGACAGAGUAUGGUAGCAAAUUCACACUUGCUCCCAAGUCUAACAAAGCUUUCUCCACUACCUUUGCUCCAAUCAUGACUGAAAUGGUAGGACAUCCCGGAUCUUUGUACUUCAAAGGAGACUUGCAUUGUAUGAUUGCGCUUACUUGCUCAGUCAAGAAGGCUUUCUUGUUCACAUUCAACCCUCUUUUGAUAGUACAUAGGUUUUUUAGGAACUUUGCAUAUGUUGGAACUUGUUUAAUCAUAUCCAGCAGUGGAAUGUUGACUUUCACUUGCCUCAAUACUUCUAGGAUUUCUGAUGCAUUUUUUAUCCCCUUUUUCCCAUGCAAAGCUUGAGGAAAAGGUGGAGAUGUGCGUUUCUUCAGCAUUUCUUCCUUAAUAAGCUCUUUCUCCGGAUUUGCAUUCACUAUUGAAUCAUGGUCCUCUUUCCUUUCACUGAUAUCGUUCUUCUUUCCUUUCAUUUCCUCCAUCUUUUUUAUCUCUUCGUCUUUCUUCUCUUCAACACAUGGCUGAAGUGUUGGUGGCUCAACCUUUUUACCACUCCUUAGAGUGAUCAAGGCUUUAACAUCUCUCACCUGUGAAGAUUCUCCCUCAUGAGUUUCCACUUCGUGGAUACCCUUGGGGUUUUGGUGAGGUUGAGAAGGAAAUCUACCCUUCUCUUGCACUGUGUUCAAGUUAGUGAGCCUUGAGAUUGAGUAUUGGAGAUUAUCUAUCUUUUGAGAUAGAUCAUUUUGUAUUCCAUCCAUCUUUUUAUUCAACAAAUCAACUCUUUGACUGAGUUGAGAGUUGAUGGAUUUUUGGUCUCCAACAAAAUCUCCCACAACCUUGCUGAGAUUCACUAUUGCUUGUUCAAGACUUGAAGAUUGUUGAGAUGGUUGAGAUGGUUGAGCCGGCUGUUGGUACUGAGAUGCUCUUGGCUUCCAUGAGAAAUUUGGAUGAUUCCUCCAACUUGAGUUGUAAGUAUUUCCAUACAGAGCAUCGUUAUUGGGCCUGAAUUGUCCAAUGACAUUUGCUUGAUCUCCAAACAUUUCCUUUACAGCUGGAAUUGUAGGGCACUCCUCCAUCAAGUGUUCAUUAGAUUGACAAAUAGGACACAGCUUUACUUGCACUGGUGUUUCAGUAACAGCUUGCACUUCAUGCAUCUUUUUCAGUUCUAGCUCCUCCAAUCUUCUUGUCAUAGCCGCAAAUUUUGCUUUCAUAUCAUCAUCUUCAUUCAAGGUAUACAUCCCAGCCUUAGCAUGAAGAGCAUUUGGUUGAGACUUCAUCUUUCCCACUUCUCCUCUGUGCGGUUCAUCCCAUCCCCUUGAGACUUCAGCUACAUAACUCAAGAAAUCCAUAGCUUCCUCAGGAUUCUUACUCAUGAAAUCCCCUCCACACAUUGUUUCGAGGAGUUGCUUCAUUGAGGAAGACAUCCCAUCAUAGAAAUAACUCACCAACAGCCAUGUAUCAAAGUCAUGGUAAGAACAAGCAUUAAUGGCUUUCAUGUAUCUUUCCCAACACUCAUAGAAUUUCUCAUUCUCUUUAGCUGAGAAGUUUGAAAUUUGCCUUUUCAAGCCAUUUGUUCUAUGAGUAGGGAAGAACUUCUUGAGGAAUUCAACUUGUAAAUCAGUCCAAGUACGAAUACUCCUUGGCCUUAAAGAAUUAAGCCAAAUCUUGGCCUUAUCCUUUAAAGUAAAAGGAAAUAGUUUAAGCCUCAUCAGGUCGAUAGAAGCUCCUCCCUCUCGGAAUGUUUUACAAACAUCUUCAAAUUCCUUGAUAUGGGCAUAGGGAUUCUCACUUUCCAUUCCAUAGAAAGUUGGUAGAAGUGGCACAAUAUGGGGUCUGAUCACUAGCUGCUCUGUAGGGGGCACUAUACGUGAUGGUGCACUCAUACGAGGCGGAUGCAUGCGGUCCCUCAUUGAUAUGAAUUCAUUGGGAUUGUCUUGGUGACCAUGGUGACUAUGCUGAUCUUCAGGUGUAGCUUCCAUGAUAUUCAAGCUCAAUUCUAAUUCCUUGUUAUGAGGUAUAUCACGUUUGACAAGCCUUCCUCCACUGUCUCGUAUCCAAUUUGGCAUACACAACUAGUAUCAACUAUAACUAAAAUGAAAAUAAAAGAAAACAGGGCUACCAAAAAAAAAACUAAAAUGAACUAAACUGAAUUUAAAAGAUAUAUUAGAUUAUGAACAAGUAAAGAUACAAUAAAAAAAAAUAAGAAUUAGUAAAAUGAAAGAAAAGUUACCAAACUUGUGAUGAGAAUCACAAGUACUCUGAAAUAGUAUCACUAUGAAGUUGGCACCUUUCUCGGCAACGGCGCCAUUUGAUUCGUGCCCACUUGGUGUAUCAGCUGAUUCAUGUCUAGCUGGUGCUCCUUGAUUGAGGGAGUAAUCAAUAAAAUUUAUAACCUAUUACACCAUGAACUAGGGUAGCAAAGACAAAGCUACUAUAGCAUAGUGGCUCUAGGAUCGUUCACUGGGAAGGGUUUUCAAUUCAUAAAUGAUACCAAUUCAAAGAUGAAUUGGUGCCUUUUCAUUUCAAGGUUAGCUUAAGAAAUAAAACACAAACUUUGAUUGAAAAAUGGUUUAGGUUUGAGUUAACGACAAAGGAAGUAAUGGAAAUUACUUAUGAAGAAAGACAUUCCUUGGAGGUUUAGGUUCACAGGGGAGGUUCCUCAUGCAAAAACAGAGCUCCGGUCAUUUGGUUCAUUUCCUCGCAUUAGAGAAUUAACAUAUAGUCAAUUCUCUAACUGGUGUUGUACAGAUGCAUCCUUUAAAUGGAUUUCAGCUCUAAUUCCCUCUCACUGAUGCAACUUGCAAUGGCUCGUGCCUCUCACCUAGCAUUUGCCAUUCAAGGUGAUCUUUAACCUUAGAUUACCCGUCAAAAGCUCGCAAGAGAUAACUAAUGGAUGUCUCCUUGGAGUUCAAAAGCUUACCAAGUGUUGGUUAUUCUAGAAAAUCCUACCUUCAAACCACCUCCCAAAGGCUCGCAAGAGAUAAACUAGUGCAUCUCAAUGGAUGGAGAUCACUUGCCUUACCAAGUGUUGGCCCAGGUGAUUUAAAGGCGUUUUAAGUUAACUAAAAACAUAGAAAUCAUUAAAGGAUCACACUUUCUCUUCAUUAAUGGUUGAAACCACAAAGCUACUAAUUCUUGCACUUGGAACCUUUCCCGGCAACCUUAACUCCAAGGAACUAAAAGUCUAGCCACUCAUUCUUUGAGAAAACAUCCUCAGAGCUUGUUUGGCUAGUAAGAAAAAUUAAAUGAAUAUAAACAAUCAAAACAAAUAGGUAAGGUAGAGCAAAGGCUCUGUAUUUUACUUCCUUCCAAAAACUUGUACAAAAGAUAAAGAUUAUUACAAACUAUAUAUAAGGGGUUAUUCACCCUUUGUUCUUACUUAAAGACUAAGGAAUCCUAUGAUAGGUGGGUUACAAGGAGACUUUGGGGAUUUAGACAUCAAAUAUCUAAAGAAAAAUAUCUAAAAAUAAAUAUCGAAAGAAAAAUAUCUAAAUGUCGGUUGCACAUAUCGAGAAGCUUCAAGAGAACACCGCGGCACUGUGCAAAAUGGCUGCGAAAUUCUCCGGGUAAGCGUUAUUAGAGGAUCCGGAUAUGUAUAUCUGGAGAAGUUGAAAUGCCCUGGUCUCCCAUCCGGCUCCUGAAUUCCGGAUGUGAUUCGGGUGGAAUGGCGGCAGCCGGAUGUAAAGUGGCGGAGCAGAAUUCCGGAUGUCAUCCGGGUAAAGUGGCAGCAGCCGGAUGGAAUUCCUACCCGAGUGGAAUGAGCUGGAUCCCAUACUCCUUGUAUUCUGGAUUUGCUUAUGGAUUCCAAAGAACUCUCCUCAAUCUUGGAUUGCUUUGGUGAUAAAAAAACUAUCAAAACACCAAAACUUAACACAAUUUGAUUAGAAUUGAUUGCAAGGGUCCUUAACAUGUUAAUUGGGUUAAAAGGUGAUAACUACUACUCAAAAGUGUUUAAAAGAGUUAAUUACAAACUAUGAAAUAACACUUUUUGAGUAGUAAUCAAACACUAUAGGACUUUGAGGAUAAAUCUCCUUGCUCUGUUACUGAUGCCAACUCUAGCAGCGGCUCACUCCAGAUUGCCAACUGGAAUGUCAAAGGAGGAAAACUACUCCAAUCAUUCUGACUAUUUUAUUUCUCCAUUCUCAAUUACUAUGCUGAUAAUGGCAACCGACACUACAUCUAUAGAGGAACAAUUAGCAAAGAUGGCUCGUGCCAUUGCCAAACUCAUCAACACGCUCGAGAAAAAGGAUAUACAGAUAGUCUCCCUCAUAAACAAGGUUGAGACAUAAGUACAAAAUACGGGUGAGUCAAGUUAAGAACUCAACCACCUUCCAAAUGUUGCAUCUUUUCUCGAUGAUGCACCACAUACGUAUAGUACAAUACAAGUUGAGAGACAAACAACAGAAUUUGCCUCAAUGGCAUCAUUAUCUGUCCAACAACUUCAGAACAUGAUAACUAACACCAUUAGAGUGCAGUAUGGUGGACCCUCAUAGAGUACGCUUAUGUACUCUUAACCUUACAUUAAGAGGAUUGAUAACCUACGUAUGUUUGUGGGUUAUCAACCUCCAAAAUUUCAAUCAUUUGAUGGGAAGGGAAAUUCAAAACAACAUGUUACCCAUUUCGUUGAAACUUGUAACAAUGCAGGUACAGAUGGUGACUUAUUAGUUAAACAAUUCAUUCGUUCUCUCUAAGGGAACGCUUUCGAUUGGUACAUAGACCUUGCACCUAAGUGUAUCAAUAGUUGAGACCAAAUGGAACAUGAAUUCCUCAACCAUUUUUAUAGCACCCGAUGAACUAUAAGUAUGAUGGAACUUACUAACACUAAGCAAUGGAAAGAUGAGCCAGUUAUAGACUAUAUCAACCGUUGGUGUUCCUUAAACCUUGAUUGCAAAGAUAGAUUAUCUGAGGUAUUAGCCAUGGAGAUGUGCAUACAAGGAAUGCAUUGGGGUCUCCUAUACAUCUUCCAAGGGAUACGACCCUGUACCUUUAAAGAAUUAGCUACUCGAGCACAUGAUAUGGACACUACAAGAAAAAAGGUCUUCAUUGACAAUUUUUCAUCAUCAAGAUAAGGUAUAUCUGUUAAGGUGGAUCAGAAUUCACAAAUGUUAUCUAUGCCAGUGUCAAGAAAUGAUAAAAGCUACCUUAACAUAUGCAUGAAAUAAGGUAGGCCGUAUUUCUAUCAAUGUAGGAAUCUUAUUAAUAUGACAUAUGUUAAUGUUUCUUACACGUCAGUCAAGGUUAGGUUAAACAUAUGUGAAGGUUGACUCAUUGUUUUGUCAAGAUUAUAUUCAAUAUAUGUUAAGCUUAAGUAUGAUAUAUGUCAAUGUUGUUGUAUAUGAUUUUAAAUUUAAUUUACACAUAUGUCAAGGAUUUUUUUUUUUUUUUUUGAAAGUUGAAAUUUUAAUAUGUUAAGGUUCCUUUAUUCUUAUGUCAAGGACUGCAAUGUCUUUUAUGUCAAGAUUUCUUUAUUCAUAUAAAGGAAAUUGGUUUAUUUCAUAUCAAGGUUGCAUAUGGAACAUGUCAACAACCUAACCUGUUGCCCAAAUGAUCUACAUAAAAAUUGAACCUGUUGUGUAUAUAUAUAUAUGGAUAAACUACAUGAAUGUAUAAAAUAUUUUUUUUUUUAAAUAUGAACAUGUAGGCAAAUAUAUUGACAAAAAAAAAAUUAAUAUCCUUGCAUAAUCUUGUAUUAUCAUCACAUACAUCCAAAAAAAGGCAAAUAUGUACCCAAAAAUCCAAUAGUUAUACAUGAUAAAUAUAAUGUAUGCAUGAUCUUGUGCCUUCAAAAGUGCUGUAAUUGCUACAAAUGCCACCUAACCUUCUGCAAGUAGGAAAAAAACAUCAGUAUAUGUUUAUAUUUGAAAGAUUAAUAAAAUGAUAUAAAUAUGUAUCCAAAUGUAUUCCCAAACAACCUAACAACUAUAUAUAAUCUUGUUAUCUUGUCAAAUAUAUAUGAAAAAAGGAUAGAUAUUUACCCAAAAAUAACCAAAUAUCAAGUAGCUGUACAUGAUAACAAAAAUUUAUGCGUGAUCUUCUCCUCUAAAAACUGCAGCUACUGCAAAUGUCACCUAACCACAAACAAGAAAGAAAAAAGUAACAUUAUUUUAUGUUUGUGUUUGAAAGUUCAUUAAAAAUAUAUAAAUAUGUAUCCUAAAUAUAUCGAAAUGUAUUCACAAACAACCUAACAAGUAUACAUGAUCUUAUACUAUUAUCAUAUAUAUAUAUAUAUAUAUAUAUAUAUAUAUAUAUAUAUAUAUUUACUAAAAAAGAACCAAAAAUUAAAUAAUUAUGCAUGAUAACAAGAACUUAUACAUGAUCAUGUAUUCUAAAAAUUGCAAGUGCUACAAAUGUCACCCAACCUCUUGCAAGUAAAAAAAAAAAAAAAAACAACAUUACUUUAUGUUUAUGUUUCAAAUUUUUUUUAAAAAGAUAUAAGCUUGUACCCAAAUAUAUUCAAAUGUAUUCACAAACAACCAAGCAACUAUACAUGAUCUUGUACUCUUAUCAAAUAUAUAUAUAUAUAUACAAAAUGAUGGAUAUUUACCAAAAAAUCUAAUAGCUAUACAUGAUGACAAAAACUUAUGCAUGAUCUUGUACUCUAAAAAUUGUAAAUGUUGCAAAUAUCACCCAACCUCUUGCAAAUAAGAAAAAAACAACAUUAGUUUAUGUUAUGUUUAAAAGUACUAAUUAAAAAGAUAUAAACAUAUACCAAAAUACAUUUAAAAAAAAAACUAGCAAUGAACUUUUAGGGAAAAAAUAUAGAUAAGAUAUGUACCUAAAAAUAUCCAAUAAAAGAAAAAACUAAUUGCAACUUUACAUACAUGAUAGCAAGAACCUAUGCUGAUGUUGUAUUCUCAAAAUUCCAACUACUACAAAUGUUAUUCAACCUCUUGCAAGUAGAUAAAAAAACUACAUUACUUUAAGUCUAUAUUUAAAAUUUUACUAAAAUGAUAUUAACAUGUACACAAAUUUAUGCAAAAAGAAUCCAACAAACAUACAUAAUAAAAAAAAACAUUAAUUGGUACUUCAUCAAAUGUAUCUUUUAAAAGAUAUAGGUAUGUACCCAAAAGUAUCCAAAACUUCAGCAUCUUUGCAUGACAAUAAGAUCUUACGUAUGAUCUUGAAAUCUCAAAAUUGCAACAACUGUAAAUGUCACCCUAUACCUUGCAAAGAGAAAAGAUGCAACAUUAAUUAAAAUUUAUGUUUGACAUUUUAUUAAAAAAAUUAUAAAAUUCACAUACCCACUAUACUUGGUCUAAGAUAAGAGUGCUAAAAAAUGAGACCCAUUCAGAUCUCACUUCAUCUAACUCAGCUCGUGAAUAGGUUUUUUCCCCUUCAAACUAAAAUAUAUGAGAAAAGAAAAUAUGUUAACAUGAAACAUUAAAUAUAUGUAUAAGUUCUCAUGUACUUAUGAAAAUACAUAGGUAAAUAAACCUGAGAUGUUAGGAGACUUCUAUUUGCAAUUAUGUCUCGCAUGUAUCACAUGACAAAAUAUCUGCACAUGACACCAUCCAACUAUUUGGGCCCCUAUGAGCAAAAUUAUAUCAACAAAAUUUCACGAUCAAGUAUGACAUCAUAUAAAUUUGGUCAAUUUUUGCAUCAUUCACAUUUAAAAUUAAAAAAAUAAAACAAUGAAUGACAUAAGUAAAAUUUGCACCUAAAUUAAGUAAAUACAUGUCUAGCAUAAUACCCUAAGCUCCCAUUUUUACAACAUAGAGGGUUAAAUUGGGUAAAAUAUAAGAAUGUCAAAUAACAUGUAUAUGUGAAAUAUGGACAAAAAAAAAGGAAUAGAUAAAGGUAAUGAUUAAUUAUAUUUAUUAAGAAUAAUGAUUAACUUUAAAAAAAGAGAAUAGUUAACUUUUGUCUGUGUGAAAAUAUCCCUUAGAAAAGAUCAUGACUUUUAAGAUUUCAUUAAGGUAAAUCAAUCAAGCUUCAAGAACAAUUAUCAAUAAUAUAUUUGGAAAUAUGUAGUAUUAGCAUCCUUUUACAUCUCAUAGAUUGACAUUAUAGAAGAGAAAUGCAAUUAGUAAUUAUAAGGAAUACAUGUUUUACAUAUGAACAAUUUGAUUGAAGAUGGAUAAAAGAGUAAAGAGUUUAGAUUAAAGAGAGAAAGAGAGAGAGAGAGAGAGAGGUUGUGCCUUACAAGAAAUGUCUAAACUAAAUAUAGGAUGUAUAUAAGACAUACUAAGGCCAAAAGAAAGAUAUAAAGAACAACUCACCUAAGUAACAUGAUCAAAGCUAUCUAAAUGAAUCCUCAUUGCUUCCUACAUAACACAUACAUCUAAAUUGUUGUAAAGGAUUGUCAAUACUAUGGGUUUGUUCUUUUUUAGUACUACUUCAUUACUAGUGGAAUAAUGGAAAAAAUGAAUACAUUUUAUUCAUACCAAUUUAGAUUAUAUUAUCAUAAGGUGGUGAAACAAACAUAUAUGGUAUCCUUCUCAAUUCAACUUAGGAAUAGGAAAUAAUAACAAAAACAAUUAGAAGCUAAGAAAAUUCAUAUGUAUAGGUAUAUAUUCAUGUGAGAGGAAGCCAUAUAGAAUCUUUACAUUUCAAAAAUCAAGUAAACUUUAAUUCAAGAAAGCAACUUAAAUGUAGGUAAGUCUUCAAAAAUUUUAGAAGAAGAAAAAAAUGUAACCUCAAUAACUAUCCACUUGAGCUCUUUUUUAAAUCCUUUCUUCUUUUGGGAUACAAAAAUUCGAAACCACCAACAAAAAAUAAGAUUACAUUAGUGUUUAUUUUGAGACAUGAAAACUAAAAUUAUGGUAGACUUACAUGUUCACAAUAUCUUUUAUAUCUUGGUAUGGCUAUUGUAAUAGCGAGUCUAAAUAGUAGAUUGUUUGUAAUUUGAAGUCAAUUACAGCCAAAACCCAAUGAAACCUACAAUAUAUUAACAUAUAAUUUAGUUAAACAACAUUUAUAAGGCUAAGAAAUUAAAAAAAAAUUAUAAUUAACAACUUACCUUGGGUUAUACGGAUGAAAAAUCAAAUAUGCCAAUUUGGAGUCAAUUAGGCGAUCAGCAAUGAUCCUUGCUCUUUUUUCAAUUUGUGGGGCUAUUGUUCCAGCCUUGGACACCAAUCCUGGAUGAACAAAUAUAAUUUUCUCAUGUAGUGUAUCAUCCAGAUGUUCAUGCAGCCACCUAAUGAAAUAUCACCCAGUUUAGAAUUACUUAAAAAAGAAGAAGAAAAAAACGGUUUCUACUUAUUUAUAUCAUGAAUGUAACAUAAAGAUUUACAACAAAAUCUCACCAAAUAUAGAAACAUAUACAAUUCAUAUUCAACUCUUUUGCAGAAAUUACAUCCUUCAUUUCAGUUGUCAAGAGGAAGGUUUGAAAUUUCAUCCCAAAAACAUUGAUUGGAAAGUCAACUUUGGGUGCCGGUUGACCUUCCAACAUUGCUGAAACUGUUUUAGAAAACAAUUGUAUAUCUCUUGGAUUCUCAUAUUUGAUUUUCUUUGGGGAUGCUUGUAUCUUCUUCAUUUUAUUCUUCCUCUUGCCAAAAUCCUAAACACAUAAAUAGAUGCAUGACAUUAAAAUGAAAAAUAAAUAAACCAAGAGUGUAGGAAAAUAUAACUCAACUUUGAAAGUUUGGGUAUAAUGUUAUUCACCUCAUCAUUUUCAUCAUUUAUCACAAAUGCAACAGGCCACAAAACCUCAUAUCCAACACUCUCCCUUAUUGUACUAAUGUUUUCAAAAAGUGGGAAUGGAAGAAGUGCAUUAGGUUGAAGAGGGUAAAGGAUGACCACUAAUAUAUCAGUUCCAUCAAUGGAAAUCUUUGAAUCUCGCAAAUAAGUUCCAUAUGCAACAAUGUUCUCUUCAGUUUCAAGAGCUAAUUUUCAUUUAUAAACCUAUAAAAACAUAUUUUCUAAUCCUUAGUCUUUCAUUAUAGUUAUUUUAUAUAUUGUUUUUAUAAAUUUAACUUAGGAAAAGCCAUAUAUACCUGAGUUAGUAGAGAAGCUUUUCAAGUCCCUUCUGCUGAUAGGUUUUCCACAUGAGCACUAUAAUGAGUCUCCCCUCGUAUUUCUUCAUGUUCCAACAAUUGUUUCCUUAUGUUUGUGCUGCUCACUUCAGAGUGGGGGUGUGAGAGGUUCUUUUUUUUUUUUUUCAACUCUCAAAGAAAUGAUCUCCUCUUCCAAGCUCUUUACUUUCUCCCUUAACAUCCUUUGACAUUCCUCUUCUUCAAGAGUUUUUGUGGGUUUUGGUGUGUUGAAGAAUUUUUUGGGCUUUUUUUUCCCACAUUUUCCUCUAACCCGUCCAGGAUGCUCGGAUGUACCCAAUGCUAAAGUGAGGAUAUCCUUUUGGCCAACACAUGUGAUCUUCCCUUCCUCAACAGCCUUUGCCAACUCAUCCUCCAAAAAAAUAUAAAAUGCUUCAAGAGUCAUAUUAAAUAUAAAAAAAACAAAUGAAAUUGACUAAAACUAAGUAUAGGUUUGACAACUUACAAUCUUUUCUGCUACAGGCCUCGUAACAUCAUCAUAUUCACCUUUUUUCAAUCUUGCUAGCUUCCACAAGACCCAUCUAUCAAUAGGUUUCCUUGAACCUGUCUUUUGCAUCUAUCAAAAAACAAAAAAGUGAAGUAAUUAAACUUUACAAAAUUAAAUGUCCAACAAAAUAAAAUACACUAAUUCAACUUACCAAUUCUUCUUGAAGUCCUGCAUAUCCUUUCCUACUCACUAUAUGAAUAUAAACGUAUUUUGCCCUCCUUUCUUUUCCUUUUUUUGAUUUAACUUGAAACUCUGUUGACAACCUAUUAGCCACUAACUUUCUCCAGUCUUCAAUUGGAAUGUAAUUAUAUUCAAUUGGUGGCUGCAAAAGGUACUCGGGCUUAUCCUUAUAAGGCAGGAUAUACUCGUUCGUCAAUGUGUGCCUGAAUGACCUAAAGCUAGUCCCAAUUGAUGAUAUGACGUUGCAUUUGCUAUUCUCAUCAACCAAGAAUGCACCCUAAAAUAUAAGAUCUUGAUUAUUUAAUAAGCAUGUAAGGUCUACACAAAAUAUAGGAAAUUAAUUUCAGUACAUUACUAUAUACCUUAUCAGAAGAUCUUGAUUAUUUAAUAAUCAUGUAAGGUCUACACAAAAUAUAGGAAAAUAAUUUCAAUUAAUUACUAUAUACCUUAACGCAAUCCCAUAAUUUCUCCUUCAAUUCCACAGGCACUACUCUCCAAUCAGUAUGAUAUACUGGCACCAUGGUUCGUGCUAGCACCCCCAAGUAUGAUACAAGCUGUACAUAUCCCUCACCCACUUCCUCACCAUCAUCAUUAUAUUGAAUGUCAAUUUUCACUCAUUCACUUCUCUUUUUAGCAAUUUUAGGUUUUACAGUUGGGCCUCUAAACCUUUUUGGUGAAGUAAUCUUUUGUUUUCCUUCCUUUCCAUCCAUCUACAUGACAAUCAAAAGAAUAUGAUCAAUCUCAUAAUACAUACAUACAUAUAUAUAUAUAUAUAUCUUACAUUCAAAAGUAAAGCAUGGUAUUUUAAUAGUUACCUGCUCUUUAUCUAUUCUUGGUUGAGACAUCUGUAAAGAUGUUGCACUUUUCGCCCAAGUUCCCAAAUAAUUAAGAAUUAUGCACUAAUAAACAACACUUGAAAAUGUAUCUCAACUAAAUCUAAAGAAAUUAGUUACAAAAUGAUUUCAUAAGUAGGAAUAAAUCAUUGUUGUACAAACUUUGCAAUACAUGAAAAUUAAUCUUAAAUCUCAAUAUAUAUAAAUAUGAUACUAACUGCAUUUAUUUAGAAUAGCUUAGCAAGUAUAUAAUAGUAAAAAUAUAUUUGAGAAGAAUAAAAUAAAAACAUAACAUUGUUGAGCAUCACAUUGUAUAUUAACAAUAACUCAAAAAUCACAUAAUACACUUAGUAGUCACAAAGCAUAACCCCAAAAAACAAACAAAAAAACAUGAAGCUUAAUGUUCAAUCCAAAUCCCCUCACAAUUAGUACGCAUACAAAUUUCAUCAUAAUCUUCAACUUCAUCAAAAGACUUAAUAUUAGGCAUCCCAUUCACAAAUGGGUGAUGCUCCAUAUCAUUAUCGGUUAUGUUGCCAUCACCUUCUAUGUCAAACAACUCCAUUUUUGGCCUUGAUAAUACAAUAGACCAUCUUGGAUCAACUUGAUCUUCUACAUAAAAUACUUGUUGGGCUUGCGUUGCCAAAAUGAAAGGAUUUGAUUUAUGUCCUAUCUUGCUCAAAUCAAUAAUGUAAAACCAAGCUCAUCAACUUUGACACCAUUCUUACUAUCAACUUAAUCACACUUAAAAACACAAAUAUUAAACAUGUUAUAAUCAAGGUCCCAUAUCUCUCUAACAUUCCCAUAAAAACACAUGUCACCAAGCACAAGAUUCUUAUCUUUGGAACUUGCAAUUUGCAUGGUCAAUGCCACAAUACUGACACCACUAUUUUGGUUGACUCGUGCCUCAUCAUGCUCCUUGAUAUGGUAACGACAACCAUUAAUGAUAUAUCCGGGGUAAGCAAGAACUUGUUGUCUUAGUCCUUGCGCAAGCCACUUAAGUUCCUUUUCAAUAAGUUCUUUCUUACUUAUGUCAUCUGAAACCUAUAAGGUUCAUUAAUGAUAUGUAAGUUAAUUUAAUUUAAAAUUUUGAAAGCAUUAAAUUUUAAGGGAGCAUGAAUAUUGAGUUUCAUACCUUUUUUCUAAGCCAAGAACUAAAUGUGUGCACAUGUUCAUCCUCUAGCCACUUCACUCUCUUUGAUUGAUGAGGAUAUUUUGUCUUCAAAUAUUUCAUAUGUUCACUAUCAAGGAAAAAUAAGCAUGUCAUGGUUUGUAUAAACAUUACCUACAGUUUCAAACUCAUAUAUUCACAUAUAUGACACUUACUCAAUAAAAGGUUGUACAAUGGUUGUAUUUUGUAGAACAUAAUGAUGUGCUUGCUCCACCAAUUUAUAAUCAUGAAUAGUUAUUGCACGACCACCAAGUAAUGGUUUCCCAUAUUUCCAUUCAUCUUUCAUACUAGAAGGAAUCCCAAUUGCAUCCAUGCCCGAUAAAUACUCUAUACAAAACUUUAAGGCUUCCUCAGCGAUAUAGCACUCAGCAAUGCACCCUUCUGGAUGAUUAUGAUUUCGAACAUAACCCUUGAGGACUUUCAAGUACCUUUCAAAUGGGUACAUCCAUCUCAUAUACACUGGUCCACAUAAUCUAACCUCUUUUACCAAUUGCACUGUUAAAUGAAGCAUGAUGUCAAAGAUGGAAGGUGGAAAAUACUUCUCUAGCAAGCACAAAGUCACCACUAUGUCUUGUUGUAGAUCAUUCAAUCUUGACACGUCCACCACCUUUGCACAAAGUGCAUUAAAGAAAAAACACAAUCUUGUAAUGGCAUAUCUGACAUGCUUAGGCAACACAGAUCUUAUUGCUAUUGGUAGUAGUUGUUGCAUAAAUGCAUGAUAAUCAUGGGACUUAAGACCAUUAAGCUUUAGCUCUUCCAUGGACACAAGGUUUCUAAAGUUUGAACAAUGACCUUCAAGAACCUUCAAAUCAGCUAAAGUCUGCAAUACUAUUUUUUUCUCCUUUCUACUUAGAGUAUAGCAUGCAGGGGGAAGAUAAGUUCGCUUCAACCCAAACGUUGGUGCUAAGCCAGGCUUAAGCCCAUUUCGAGAAGAUCAAGUCAAGACUUUACUCCAUCCUUUGUUUUACCUGGAAUGUUAAGCACAGUUCCGAUGAUGCUCUCACAAACAUUCUUCUCUAUAUGCAUGACAUCCAAGUUGUGUUGGAUAUAAAAAUAUUUCCAGUAUUCAAGUUCAAAAAAUAUAGACUUCUUUUUCCAGCAACUUGUAGGAUUAGCAAAGGAUUCACAUUGUUUAACCUUCUUUUUCUUUCCCCAUGAGUUAUGAAUCNNNNNNNNNNNNNNNNNNNNNNNNNNNNNNNNNNNNNNNNNNNNNNNNNNNNNNNNNNNNNNNNNNNNNNNNNNNNNNNNNNNNNNNNNNNNNNNNNNNNNNNNNNNNNNNNNNNNNNNNNNNNNNNNNNNNNNNNNNNNNNNNNNNNNNNNNNNNNNNNNNNNNNNNNNNNNNNNNNNNNNNNNNNNNNNNNNNNNNNNNNNNNNNNNNNNNNNNNNNNNNNNNNNNNNNNNNNNNNNNNNNNNNNNNNNNNNNNNNNNNNNNNNNNNNNNNNNNNNNNNNNNNNNNNNNNNNNNNNNNNNNNNNNNNNNNNNNNNNNNNNNNNNNNNNNNNNNNNNNNNNNNNNNNNNNNNNNNNNNNNNNNNNNNNNNNNNNNNNNNNNNNNNNNNNNNNNNNNNNNNNNNNNNNNNNNNNNNNNNNNNNNNNNNNNNNNNNNNNNNNNNNNNNNNNNNNNNNNNNNNNNNNNNNNNNNNNNNNNNNNNNNNNNNNNNNNNNNNNNNNNNNNNNNNNNNNNNNNNNNNNNNNNNNNNNNNNNNNNNNNNNNNNNNNNNNNNNNNNNNNNNNNNNNNNNNNNNNNNNNNNNNNNNNNNNNNNNNNNNNNNNNNNNNNNNNNNNNNNNNNNNNNNNNNNNNNNNNNNNNNNNNNNNNNNNNNNNNNNNNNNNNNNNNNNNNNNNNNNNNNNNNNNNNNNNNNNNNNNNNNNNNNNNNNNNNNNNNNNNNNNNNNNNNNNNNNNNNNNNNNNNNNNNNNNNNNNNNNNNNNNNNNNNNNNNNNNNNNNNNNNNNNNNNNNNNNNNNNNNNNNNNNNNNNNNNNNNNNNNNNNNNNNNNNNNNNNNNNNNNNNNNNNNNNNNNNNNNNNNNNNNNNNNNNNNNNNNNNNNNNNNNNNNNNNNNNNNNNNNNNNNNNNNNNNNNNNNNNNNNNNNNNNNNNNNNNNNNNNNNNNNNNNNNNNNNNNNNNNNNNNNNNNNNNNNNNNNNNNNNNNNNNNNNNNNNNNNNNNNNNNNNNNNNNNNNNNNNNNNNNNNNNNNNNNNNNNNNNNNNNNNNNNNNNNNNNNNNNNNNNNNNNNNNNNNNUCCAUUAUUUGGAAUCAUGAAGUUUAUUCAUGCUUAAUUAAUUAGGGCUUUGGUGGGGGCCCGACAUUCAUGAUACCUUCUUCAAUAUUGUUUGCUUGAUAUGUUGAUUUUUGAUUCUUCUUGAUGAUAUACAUGAAUUUGUUUCGUAUUUAUUAUUGAGAUGCUUUUGAUUCCCAUAGAGGAGUACUAGCUUGCUAUCCAGGUACGCUCUCUUCUCAUCUAUUUUUUUAGAACUCUAUGGGCUUGUAUGUCAUUGAUGACUAUAUCCAUAUUUGACGUGAUUCUUGGAUAUCUUGAUAUAUGCCUGACUUGCUUGAAUAAAACAAAUGUUAUGUGCUACAAUUCUACACUAACUUUUAUGUUUUAUGAUAGCACUUGAAGAGCGGUUCAGGUACGCGCCCUAACUCACCUUUAUUGCAAUUUGAUUGUGUUUGGCAUGCCACUCUUUAAAAUCACCCAGCCUAUUUAGGUAUCUAUGAUUGACUGAUUAAUUGCCACACUUCCCUUAACUUUGUCAGUAGAGACCUCUUUAGGGCUUAGAGGGGUGCUACCUCCUAGAGGUACCUUCCCAAUAAGUAACCUGAUCCCCGGACCAAGACUCGGGUUUUUCAAAGACACGCUUUUCCAAAAAUUGUGGAGUCAUUUUUUUAGGGUUUCAUUUCUUGUUUUAUUUUCCCUUCAAAAAUAAAAGUAAAAUAAGUGGCGACUCCAACUUUUCCAAAAAUCAAUUUUUCACAAAUAAAAAGCGAGUCUCGCCGAUCGAGUGGAGACGCACGUGAAAAAUGCGGGUCCACAAAUUGGCGACUCCACUGGGGACUUUGAGGAUCAAGCUUGAACACUAGUUAAGGAAAAUAUGGCGUUUAAUUGGUCGAUUAGUGGGUACCUCUUUUUUUUAGGCAAGGUGAUUCGAUUUGCUUGCUUGUUUGGUUUGCUAUCUUAACAUGUUUGAUUCCCUUGGAUGAUCACUUGAUUGUUUUGCUCACUUUAGCAUGAUUCACUAUCACAUAUGUUAGAUAGGACUUUUUUUGUUUGAUAUUUAUUUGCUUCGCAUGACUGUUUGAAUGAUCACUUGAUUGUUUUGCUCACUUUAGCAUGAUUCACUCUCACAUAUGCUAGAUAGGACUUUGAUUGUUUGAUAUUUAUCUGCUUCACAUGACUGCUUGUUGCAUGACAACCCUUUCUCUUGCAUGUUCGUAUGAUUGCUUGUCUUCAUUCACUAUCUCACUUUAGAUCUUAGGUUUUUCGGAUGCACCCACAUCCUUCAUUGUGCACUUUAGAUUAUCCCUGAGUGUUGAGAGAUGGGAGAGCCUUCACCAUAAAGAAACCCCCUGGGAACGCGAGGAAGUGCAUGUGUGGAGGUGAUGACCACCUUGCAUGGAAGCACCCCGUCUCCUUGGAGGCGUGCAGAGGGUUGCGUACCGCCGGAGGGUACGAUCGCUUCUGCUAGGAAUCCUUUGACCCACCCAUUUUAUCUUAUAGAGCCGCCUUAACCUUGUAGGUUAGCCUAGACCCAAUUAAGAUUUCAUUCCUACACGUGGGUGCAUCUGUGGACUUUCAAAGCUGCCUUGGUCACAAUUGGGUUCAGUUAUCCUCUUCAUGGUCUCCUUUUGGUGUGCUCAGAGAUUGGUACAUGUUUGAGUCUCAAUUGGGCCACCUUUCUGCAUUGUGAUUAGUGUGUUUCCACCUCUUCUGAGCUUCCUUCAUGUCAUUUCUCUUUCCGCGUCUUUGUACCUUAUAGGAAUGUUACUCGCUUCAGUUUGGAUUCGACUUUUUAUAUUAGAGUUGGAGAUAGAUUGGUCAAGGUUUCAAAGCAGUCAGGUAUGGAUCCUCAGCAUGAUGCAGUUGAUCGACCUACAGUCACCAUGACUCUAUUCAGGAUGCAUUAGCAGGUUUGAGCCAGAUGAUUGAUGGACAGUGAGAUAGAUGGCAUCCAGUUCAAGAUGAGAUGCCGUAUGAUUCAUUACCACCCACCCCCACCACCCAGUUAACCAGUGACAUUGUUGAGGGUGACUUCGUACAUAUGAUGAGUUUAGUGGAUUAUGAGUCAAAGUUUAUCAGAUGAGAGUUCUUAUAGAGGACGUUAGUUUUUCUCAGAUGGGAGAUUUGAUUAACAUGGUUUUCUUCAUGAUGAACCUGAGAUAGACGUAUUGGAUGAUAGUUGGAUGCUUGGCAUAGAUUAGCCCGAGAUAGUUCACUCUCUUGAUAUGCUUGAGAUCUUCAUUGUUGAGAGUUCAUAAGAGAUUCGGUUUAUUUAUGUUGGGGCAUCCCGCUUAUGUUGAUGAUAUGUUUGAGGACGAUAUUAGCCCGGUUAUGGUCAUGGAGAUUCAUCUAUUCCAGGAGACCCUAUGGACUUACUUGGAGUACACCACUUUUCAUUAGAGAGUUGACCCUAGAGAGGAAAUAUGAUUGACAUAUCUGGAUAGAGAUCAGUUCUCAAACCCCACCAAUGUGGAUUAGUUGAAGAAGUAUUACAUUUGAGAUCAUGGUCGCAGGAUGGGUGGCCAUCAUUUCGGUUAGCCUUACACCUUAUCAUCUUUAUUGAUAUAAUAAACCAUUGCUAGCCCAUUGAGCCUCACGUGGUAUGUUAUAGCCUUAUUUCUUUCUUAUAGCCUUGAUUACCAUUUCUACACCCGGGUUGGGACCCUUUGGUGUAUAUGCAUGCUUUGCUAUGAAAGUCUCAUGAGCUUUAGACUUAUAGGCCUAUCUUCUCAUUCUUGUCAUCAUCUCCUUAUCACCCCGUUUGUUCUAUUUUGCCAUCAUCACAUUUCCAUUCUCUUUCUUGAUUUUAUCAUUAUUUGCUUCAUUUUAUCUCUUUUCUUCCUUGGGCUGAUGAUUCUUCACAUUUUAGUGCAAAGAGGACAGUCAUAUCACUCUAUUCAUCCCAUCAUCUGACAUUGAUUCGGAGACUUCAGUUUGAGAGGUUGUCUCAUGGGUAGGGUUUCAUGUAUUCAUCAGUGAUUUGAGAGAGUUUAUUCAUUUCUUGUAUCUUUCCCAUUGGAGUUUGACUUAUUGAUGAUCAGAGCAUGCGCUAAAAAAAAAAAAAAACAAAAAAAAACAAAAACAAAAGAAAAAAGAAAGAAAGAAAAAGCGCAAUGAUAUGUUUGUGUGUGGAAUCUUGCUCCAUUGGGCACUUAUGUCACCUUUUGAGGUCUAUUUAUUGGGUAUAUUUGUCAUUGUGGGUUCUUGUGAGAUUUUUAUAUGGGUUUUCACUCCUUGAGCCAUUCUUGUUAUGCAUUUGGAGUGUUGGGGGUUCAUGUGAGAGUUCUAUGGUAUCCUAUGCUUCUUGGUCAUGGUUGAUAUGUAUUAGAUAUGAGAGAUGAGUGACCUUUUACUAGGGUCUCCAAAUCAUUGUCUUAUCCACCAUUCCAUCAUUGGUGAUAUGACUUUUCUUUAUUGUACUAAUAUGAGUUGAUCAUCAUUCAUUCCACUUGCUUAUUGCCUUACUUUGUAUCUCCUCACCCAUUUCCAGAUCUUCGUUCCACUUUUUAUCCAUUUCCUACAUAUUGAUACACAUUUUUGUUUUGAUACCUUCUUCACAUCAUUCACAUGUUUCAUUGAUGGUUUGACUACUCAUCUUUCUCUCAUUUCGCCAUCGACAUUUCCUUUGGUUACCUUUAGGUCCAUGGCUCAUGAGAUUUUUCUAUGCAUUACAUCUUAUACACGAGGGUAUGGGUUUGAUCAUUGGGUAUUUGAGCCUAGUUUCCCUUCAUUUCUUUCACCCUAUCACCCUGGCCUACGUUACGUCCCGUGUCUUAAGACCACCCUGAGACCAUGAGAUCAGAUGUUAUCUUUGACAGCCUCUACUUAGGUUGGUGUUUGGGAUUUGGUUGAUAUAUAGAUGUUGUCAUGUUUCUUCUUAUGGGAGAUGCUUCUUUGAUGCUGGGAGGUGAUUUGGUGAUGGAUGUGGAUGAUUGCUUCAUUUUAUGGAUGAUAUUUGAUGCUAUCCAGAUUUUUAUUCUACUGUGCAUCAAUUAUCUUACUGGGGCAUAUUCCCCUUUCAUCUAGUUGAGAUGAGUCCCUAGUAGAGCACUUUCUUUGAGCUUGGACAUUUUCAUUGAUCCGAGAUUCCUAGUGGAGUAUGUUGAGAUGAUAUCAGUUCCAGUGGAGCAUUAUUGAGCUCAUUGACAGUUUUCAGGAUUCUAGGUUCCAUCUGCGGAGUAUUUUUGAGAUAGACUAGUGGAUCAUUUUUUAGUUGGAGGCAGUUUUCAGUGCAGUGUAUAGAUCUUGUACACUGGGGUAUAUUUCCCCAUUUUGAGGUUACCAGAUUCCUAUCAGAUUCAGUCAGGGAUUCAUCAGAGACAUGUUUCUGAUUUUGAGAUUACCACAUCCCUCAUUAUCUUGGCUAUUCAUUUGAGAUUAGAUUUAGAGUGUCCCCCUUAAGGCAUUGGUCGAUACUUCACUCUGACUUCUUAGCAGAUUAUUGUUGAGUUGAGGAUAGUUGAUUGAUGAUGUUGGAUUCAUCCUUUGGUUGUGCAUCAUAUAUUCACACUGGGGCAUAUUCCCCCUCCUCCGAGAUUCUUAUCUGUUAUUGUAUACGGUACGAGGAUGGAUGAUCAUUGUUAGUUUGUUUGCCUCACAACUUCGACAUUCGAUAUCCAUACUGGGGCAUAUUCCCCUCUCCAUUACGAGAUUUAUUUGGGCAGUGAUAUGAGGAUGGAUGAUUGGUGUCGUUUGUUUAGCUUAUAACUUUGACAUCAUGUCUCAUACUGGGGCAUAUUUCCCCCAUUUUCUUUGAGUAUCCUUGAGAUUGAGACAGUGGCCAGUUUGGUUUUAGAUUGAGUACUAGCCCAGAGCUUCCGACGAUCGACUGUAUCAGGGCCUCCCUACAUGGAUUUGUUGAGAUAGAGACGGAUCGCAUCAGGUUUCACCCGAGGAGUGUGGGUGGAUCCUUUAGCCAGAUGUUCAUGAGACAGAUUUGUUUUCGUCAUUGUUACCUUGCAGAUUGGAUUAUCCAGAUGAGCAGCAUUUUACGCACUUUGAGGUUUACUUUUAGAUGAGCCAUGAUAUACAUUCUUUGAGAUUUACCUUUUGAGAUUCAUCGACAGAGCAGCUUUUCAGACAUAGAGGGUUCCUUCAGUUUAGACUUUUCAGAGGUUUGUCACGAUGCAUCAGUUUCUGACCUAUUGAUUUCAGCGGAUGAUUGAUUUACUGGUUGUUUCGACAGUGCGAGCACCCUGGAUACUGGGGCAUAUUUUCCUUCUUGGUUUCAGUAGUCCGACCCUUGACAUUUUGAGUAUGUGGCUUUGAGCCAAUUUAUUUCAUGUCCACUUCCGAGUUGGUCUUCUCUAUUAUUCCCUUCUAGGCCCUGAGCCUCAUAGCUUUGAGUUAUUCAUUCCUUUUAGACCCCGAGUCUUAUAGCCUUGAGCAUCCUUUUUCCCUUAGGCCCUGAGCCCGCUAGCCCUGAGCUAUCCUUUUUUUAGGCCCUGAGCCUCGUAGCCAUGAGUUAUCCAUUCCUUCUAGACCCUGAGUCUCGUAGCCCUGAGCUAUCUUUUUUCCCUUAGGCCCUGAGCCCGCUAGCCCUGAGCUAUCAUUUCCUAUAGACCCAGAGUCUUUCCAGCUCUUAGCUGAGCUUUCAUCACUUGGUCGCCCAUGAGCGGUUUGACCUGGAGUUUGCGUAUCGCAUUCUCCUUUUAGCCGAUCAGUCAUAGAGCCCGGAGCUCAUAGCCCUGAGCUAUUCGUCGACCCAGAGUCAUUUUUCAUCUUGACCCAGAGUCAUUCAUAGCACCCCAAGCCCUGAGCUCACGACCCGGAGUCAUUUGCAUCAUUCACAUCCCUGAGAUGUUUCGUUUUCAUCAUUCUAGCCACUUGUGAGUGGCCUCGACCCGACACCUUGAGUCGGAAAGUAUCCUGAUCGGCUAUCUAUUUAGAGCCCGGAGCUCUCGACCCAGAGUCAUUUUCCAUUUUGACCCAGAGUCAUUCCUUUCCAUUUAGAGCCCGGAGCUCUCGACCCAGAGUCACUUUCCAUUUCGACCCAGAGUCAUGAUUUCCUAUUUUAGAGCCCGGAGCUCUCGACCCAGAGUCACUUUCCAUUUCGACCCAGAGACAUUCUUUCCUAUUUUAGAGCCCGGAGCUCUCGACCCAGAGCCACUUUUCAUUUCGACCCAGAGUCAUUAUUUCCUAUUUUAGAGCCCGGAGCUCUCGACCCAGAGUCACUUUCCAUUUCGACCCAGAGUCAUUCUUUCCUAUUUUAGAGCUUGGAGCUCUCAACCCAGAGUCACUUUCCAUUUCGACCCAGAGACAUUCUUUCCUAUUUUAGAGCCCGGAGCUCUCGACCCAGAGUCACUUUCCAUUUCGACCCAGAGUCAUUCUUUCCUAUUUUAGAGCUUGGAGCUCUCGACCCAGAGUCACUUUCCAUUUCGACCCAGAGUCAUUCUUUCCUAUUUUAGAGCCCGGAGCUCUCGACCUAGAGUCACUUUCCAUUUCGACCCAGAGUCAUUAUUUCCUAUUUUAGAGCCCGGAGCUCUCGACCCAGAGUCACUUUCCAUUUCGACCCAGAGUCAUUCUUUCCUAUUUUAGAGCCCGGAGCUCUCGACCCAGAGUCACUUUCCAUUUUGACCUAGAGUCAUUUUCCAUUUUGACCCAGAGUCAUUCCUUUCUAUUUAGAGCCCAGAGCUCUCGACCCAGAGUCUCUUUCCAUUUCGACCCAGAGUCAUUCUUUCCUAUUUUAGAGCUUGGAGCUCUCGACCCAGAGUCACUUUCCAUUUUGACCCAGAGUCAUUCUUUCCUAUUUUAGAGCUUGGAGCUUUCGACUUAGAGUCACUUUCCAUUUCNNNNNNNNNNNNNNNNNNNNNNNNNNNNNNNNNNNNNNNNNNNNNNNNNNNNNNNNNNNNNNNNNNNNNNNNNNNNNNNNNNNNNNNNNNNNNNNNNNNNCCGGAGCUCUCGACCUAGAGUCACUUUCCAUUUCGACCCAGAGUCAUUAUCUCCUAUUUUAGAGCCCGGAGCUCUCGACCCAGAGUCACUUUCCAUUUCGACCCAGAGUCAUUCUUUCCUAUAUUAGAGCCCGGAGCUCUCGACCCAGAGUCACUUUCCAUUUUGACCAAGAGUCAUUUUCCAUUUUGACCCAGAGUCAUUCCUUUCUAUUUAGAGCCCAGAGCUCUCGACCCAGAGUCUCUUUCCAUUUCGACCCAGAGUCAUUCUUUCCUAUUUUAGAGCUCGGAGCUCUCGACCCAGAGUCACUUUCCAUUUUGACCCAGAGUCAUUCUUUCCUAUUUUAGAGCUUGGAGCUCUCGACCCAGAGUCACUUUCCAUUUCGACCCAGAGUCAUUUUCCAUUUUGACCCAGAGUCAUUCCUUUCUAUUUAGAGCCCGGAGCUCUCGACCCAGAGUCACUUUCCAUUUCGACCCAGAGUCAUUCUUUCCUAUUUUAGAGCCCGGAGCUCUCGACCCAGAGUCACCUUCAUUUAUUUCCUAUUUUAGAGCCCGGAGCUCUUGACCCAGAGUCACUUUCCAUUUCGACCCAGAGUCAUUAUUUCCUAUUUAAGAGCCCGGAGCUCUCGACCCAGAGUCACUUUCCAUUUCGACUCAAAGUCAUUCUUUCCUAUUUUAGAGCCUGGAGCUCUCGACCCAGAGUCAUUUUCCAUUACCGCCCAAAGUCAUUUCCUUUCCAUUUAGAGCCUAGGGCUCUCGACCUAGAGUCGUUUUCCAUCUUGACCCAGAGUCAUUCUUUCCGAUUAGAGCCCUGAGCUCAUGACCCAGAGUCUUUUAUCCUAUUUUAGAUCCAGAGUCAUUCACCUUGUCCAUGAUCCAGAGUCAUUCAUGUCAUUCAUGACUUUGAAUCAUCCUUUUCACCCCUUUCCAUCUUUGUGCUACUCAUCACAUACUGUUCUCUCUUUAUUGUCAUUCCCCCACAUAGAGUUGUCCCAUCCAUGUCAUUGAGACCCCAUCUUUUGAUCUUACCUCUUCAUGCGCUAGGACAAAAUCUCUGGUCUUUCUUUAAUUCUUCAAUAUAGUUCACUUCAUUUCGCUCAUUGCUCGUGCUUCUACUUGCAUUCUCUACACUCGUGAUCUAUACCGAAGAGGGGCAUAUUUGUAGACCCUCAAUUUUGUCCCUUUAGCGCAUGUCUUUAAAUCCACUUCCAGUGCUCCACGGUAGUUCCUUGGUGGCCCAUUACUACUCGUACGACUUACCUUUUUCUGAGUCACCUCGGAGACUUUGGUUGAGGGAUUAUUUGAUCCCUUAUUGUGACCCCUGACAGCCCUAACUUAGACUUAGGCUUUUCUUGUCUUUUUUUAGGAUAGCUUUUAGAUACAUUUAGCCUUUAGGCACCGCUCUAGGCCCACUUAGGCACACUUGGCCCAUUAGGCACUUUUAGACUCACUUUUUGUAUGACUUGCGUGUUUGCAUGGCUCGUAGGGCCCAUUUUUUGUUAAUUUGUUUAUUUUUAUUCUAUUUUAUUUUAUCUUCCUCUUUAUAUUAUUUUCCUUAACUUAUUUAUUUAUUUAUUAUUUUUACAAUUUUCUAAUUUAUUUACUUAUUUAUCUAUCCAUGCAAUUAUUUAACUUCUAAAAUUUCAUAUUUUUGCAAGGAAACUUACCAUUGGAGUUUAAGGAAAGUGGGACUCUCCUUGGAAGGUUUUGAAGGAGAAUUUGAAGUUGGGAAGAUUGCUUUUGAAUUGGAAGAUUUGAAAAAAAGGAUAAGGAGAAAAGAAGAGAGAAAAUAGGGGAUUUGGCCUUUUUUUAGGGAGAUUUAGGUUUUAGGGGAAGGCGUAUAUAUACGCGAGAGAGGAAGGAUUGUCAGAGGCGAGGGGGAGCUUCUUUUGAUUGUGGGAGGAGAUUCUUUGUUUGGUGAGAGAACGCAUUGCAGAGAGGAGAGGGAAAAAGAAGUAUUCUUUGGGGACGCAGGAGAGGAUCAACUGAGGUGAUUCUGAGAAAAGGUGGAGAGGUGCACAAGAGCGGGAAAAAGAGAGAUUGCAGCCGAGUUUCUAGCAGACGGAAAGGGCCACAAUUGGUUCUAUUGAGAUUGGUGGGUUGUUUGUUUAUUUGCUCUGAUUUCUUGUUCAUUUUGAGGCUUUUGUUCUUUUCAAUGUCAUUGAUUUCAUUUGAGAACAAUAUGCAUUUGGGUCUGUUCUUGAAUCUGAUCUGUUUUGAAUCAUUCCCCUAUCCUAAGCCAAUGGAUUGAAACAUGAAACGUGGCUCCCUUUUUAUCGUCUCGUUCUGUUUUUUUUUUCAUUUUUUAUGCUCUGUUUUCGAAUGCCAUUCUCUCUUUCCGACAUUUGCUUGUGAGGAAUCUUCUGAAAACUGCUGGAGCGCGGAAUUCGAAUUUGGAAAGAUGAGAUGGAAAGAAAAUGCAGGGUUUCUGUGCAAGCACAUUCGCUAAAAACAAAGGACGACCCCACACUUGCUGUCUCGGUUCUCACAGCAGGGCCUUUGGCCAAUUCAAUCAAAUGAUAUGUAUAACCCUCCAGUAGAGAUUCUGGAAGUUUGUGAGAAAAUCAUAGGUUAUUGUCUCGGGACCUGCACUGGGAUGAGAUUGUCUUGGCAAACGAAUAUGGGCACGACUGAUUUGAGGGCAACGUAUGGUAGGGAUCAGCAGGAAGAUUUAAUGGGACUGCCGUAGUUGAAAUGGAUGAUUUUGGCUUUGGUGGUGGUCCUUGUUCUAUUGCCGUUACUGCAGUGUUAGAUUUUUUCUGGCAGAAGUGAUUUCUGACUUUAUUACUGAGCAGGUGAAAGAUGCGCAGGUCAUGGAGACAAUUCUGGAAACUACUCCUUUAUAUAUGCUAAGUCUAUUUUUAGUUUUCAAGGUCUGUGCCUUAGCAGGCUGAUGAAUUCCCUUGAAAAGCGUCUCUUGCGUGAUGACGAGGAAGAUGAGGAAAAGUUAGAUGAGAGCCGCUGGUCAUCCAAUCUAGAUGCAUUGUGUAUAAUGAUUGCAGAUCGUGCAUAUAUGGGUGCUUUUCUUAGCCUGUCACUGUACUGAAAAUUCUGGAAUUCUUGUUGUUUAUGCUACAGCUUACAAAUAAAGAUGGAUGAAUUGAAGGAGUAACAUCUAGAAAAGACCUUUAUCCAAUCUCCAAAGGGAACAAACAGCUUGAUGCUUAUGUACAAUUGAUAAUUAAGUAUACAAACCGUAUGGUAUUGUUCUGUUUCUUGCCAUCAUUCUUGAUUAGUUCAAAGAAGAUGAUCGCUCUUAGGUUUGCAAAUUGGACCUAAGGAAGAGGAAUCCCUAAACUCUUCAGAGGAAGAUACAGGAAUUACUAUCUGCACAGAUUUACAGUUAUUAAUUGCUCACAGAUGAAUAAUAUUCUGACCCAGCAAUUCUGAUACUGAAUUAAGUGGUAACCAAAAUUACUGUCUCUGUGUAAAUUUAAUUCCUCUUCUCCAUGAUCAAAGACGAAAUGCUGUGAAUAUGGCAGUUGGUGUUGUCAAGAAUCCAUUGAUGCAUUGCAAGGCUGCACUAGAGGACUUGCUAGUCUCUAAACCAAACCAAGGUCAGUCUUUUGGAUGUACCACAUGGUGGUUUUGACAAACUAUCGACAAGAAACUUAUCUACUUCCUUUGAGUGGCUGCAAACUAGUGAACAGGUUGUUAAUAAAGUACUGGAGCAGUGUGCUGUUAUUAUGUGGAUGCAACAUAUUGCUGGAUCAUCAAAGUUAUAUGGAGUGAGGAUGAAAAGAAAUGGUGCUGAAGCUUCCAGAGCAUUUCAUCAAGACCCAACAGCCAUUUAUGCCACAACCUCGUCUGAGACAGCCAUCUGGGUUUAAUGAUAUUCAGUCGGUAUAGCAGCACAUCAUGUUCAAGCAGCUGCAAGAACUUCAGAGGCAGCAGCAACUUCAGCAGCUGAGUGGUACCAAUCACAACUCUAUAGUGAAGUGAAGGCAUUAGAAGUUGAAAUAGAUGCUGUGGCAUAUACUAUUUAAUAGGUAAGGAAUGCCGAGAGAAAUGAAAAUCAUGUCUCGGAUGGUAAUGAUAACAGAGCACAAGAAGAUGCAGAUAACUUGUUAUUCAGACUUCUCUCAAUAAUUUGACCCUUUAGCAUGCCUUGGCUGCUGAUCGUCUAAGAAGCCUCAAGAAAAACAAAAGCUUAACUUGAAAUAGAGCUUUCAAUGGAGUAGGGAGGAUGCUUUAGUCACAUCGUCUGCACAAUUAAAGAAAGAUCCAAUCCAGUUUUCAUACAAUUCAGAAUCUGAUGCUCACAGGAAUACAUCUUCUUUAUCUUCUACAAAAUUUGGACUCAGCAGCUUUGAUGAAGCCACACUCUCUAUUGAUGAUUCAGUAGACCAGAUUGUUGAGGUCCUCAAUUCUUUUAGGACUUGGUGCAAUGAUAUACAUGGGAGUAUUAGACUCGGUAAAUUUUGCAGCCGAAACCUUCGAAGCCAAAGCCACUAUGUUAGACGAUGCCCAUCCAACCGCUCUAAAGAUUUGGAAGCCUAUUGAAGGAGUUGCUUGAUCAGAAAAGUAUUAUGAAGCAGGCAUUAUAUUUCAGAAUGGAGGGUUUAGGAAUUAUUUUGCAUAAGAUUCAGAAUACUGUCAUAAUUAUUAAUGAGAAAGAUGAAGUUUGAAAGACUUCAACUUGCUCUCCACUCCAAUUCGUAUAUUUUGGAAAGGACGGAGUUCUCCAUGGGCCCUACAGAUACUAUAAUGAAGAUGCAUCCAGAAUGUAGACCUCCUAGGACCCAUACAACUCCUUCAUUGAUGUUGGUAACAUAACACACACAGCCUGCACUCAAGCUUCCCUAGUCCCUCCUCAACCUCAGUGGGUCAAUACAUCUGAAACUGAUGCCAAAUGAAUUCCCGUUGAAGGGAAUUAUGGAUAACUACAAAUGAUUUUAAGAGUCAGCUUCAUCAGUACAAGCCCCGGAAGCAGUUUGCUAGAAGUGUACUCAAACUCCAUGAGCAGACCCAUAAGUCGCAGCUGUGUCUUUGAUUGAAUCAGUAGGCUGUUUUCCCUCAAGAUUCGAACCAGAUAAAGGCAAUUGGAGUUAGGAUUGGUUGCACUUUAACUUCUUCAUGGCUUAUACACUUGGAAUUGCAGAUGAUAUGCAUUCCGCCAUUGACUAUAUAUCGUUGUGCAAAUGCUCAUAUUGAGGGUAUCGCUACAAAAUACUCUGAAACUGUCAAAACGAAAGUUAUUCAAGAAAAGAUGUCAAACUGACCUGAGAAUUUAUUGAAGAUCUCAGAGAUGAGAGGUUUGUUGAAUCCAAAAAAAAGAUGGCAAACAACUUGAUGCCGAUGUUCACCUCAAGCACGUCUGCGACGGUCAUGCUGCUACAUAUGCGGGGACAGUGAGUCCAUUGAAGAGAAAUCUUUUUAUAAUUUCCCAGAAUGUUUGGGAAGCAUCCCUGCAGUUUAAAUGAACUUCCUGAGAAGCGCUUGUGUGAUUUGCUAACCUGGCAGCCUGAGUUAAACCACUGUGAUAUCAGUGGGGGAAGGAAACAACAAGCGCUUGAUGAAGAGGCUGUACCCCGAGAGUUCAGAACUGGAGGUUAUGAGUGAUACUGUUCGAGAUUUACAAUCGGAAAGGCUUUCUAUAUGACCAGAAUACAGAGGAUUCUCAUAACCUUAUUAUGGAAAAUCUGCCCAUAAGGGACAUGGAUUGGUUCAAUCAGUUUUGACUUCCUUUACAACUAUCAGAAAAUUGUUUUACAAUUAAUGGAGCUGCAUACUUUUCGAGUUUAUUAAUGGAGGCCCUCAGUUCUGUAUUAGAUGCAAGCACAGACAAAGACGUUUAUGAGGCAGAGGAGUACAUGAGGAAAUUUGCUUUAUAGAAUGAUCCAGUUGUUCUAAUGAGCUUGCUUUUUGCUAAGUCGUCUGUAUGGAGACGUUGUAAUUGGGGAGCGUUCGGUUAAAUGGCUUCCAAGCCUGUGACUACUUCUCCUUAUGUAUUAUUAUCAAACUUGUAUGCUUCAGACGGGAAGUGGGAAAAUUUGAAGAACCUGUCAUUAGCAGACAACAACUUUCCUGGCUCAAUAUCAGACUCAAUUUCAGGCCAUAACCAGCUUAUGAGAUCACUUGUGAGUGGAGGUGGACCACUGGAACUUGCUAACAUGAAGGUGUCGGAUUUGAGCUACAUUCAACUAUCUGGAAAGUUACCUGGAUUUAAUUUUCUGUAUGCUCUCGAAGUCCUCAAGCCCAGCAACAACAGAUUUGCUGAGUCUAUCCCCAAUAACCUGCUGAAAGGAGAUCCUUUGGUUCUAAUUGAAUUGGAUUUGAGUCAACAAUUUUUCAGGGCUGAUAAACAUGAUCACAUCUACAACUUUGAACAUCCUUAAUCUCUCCUCAAAUGGGCUCUCAGGAGAGCUUCCACUACUGACUGGCAGCUGCGCUGUACUGGAACUGUCAAGUAAUGAAUUUGAGAGAAACUUAACUAAAUUGUUGAAAUGGGGAAAUCUUGAGGAGAUGCUCAAAGAGCAUGAGAAACAAAUCCAACAUGCUGUCCACAAGGCUCGUCUUGACAAAAGUGAAGACUAAGAUAACAUACAAUGACAACGGACAAACUGAAUCGUUGCUUCCCCAUGGGAGAAACAGCAGGUAACCCUUGAGUGGUGAUUAUUGAGCUUCUUGAUACGCUGGUCAGUUGUUUGGUUGCUGGAAAGGGUGAGCUGAGAGAGAGUCAAUUGCUGGAAAAUAUGUUUUGUGCAGCUGAAAACUGGUUUCCUCAUUCAAUUCUGAAGGACAAGGAGCAAGUGAAUUGUUUGAAGGGUUCAAACAAGAUGCCCAUUGUUUAGAGAAGUCAUCAGAAUCAAUUUCCUCAAGAUCUCUAGAAGCUAUUGAAGAAAACAAAAACCUGUACCAGAUUCUGAGUUGAAGGUAACAACAAGCAGCAUUGAGGUUGGAUCAGUGGAAACUGCACAGGAGGUGAAUGUUUCUGUCAGUUAUUGCAUAGAAAUUGUUAAGACAGUUGAAAAUUCAGUGGCACCUACUCCCACACGCAGUGCCAAUGAAGAGCUCAUGAUCAGAUAAGCAAUAAGUUUGAAAGACAUCAGGAUCUUCACCCCAUUCAGUAACUGCUUCCAAUCAGCAGUGAAGUGAAGAGCUGUGACUAAAUUUGCUCCAGAAAUUCUCCUCAUCAGGGCAGUGAAUUACUUUUCAUACCAAUCAGUCCUACUCCGGUGACCUAUUAUGUAUCAAUUUGAGUUUAUGGAUCCAACAGAGACACGGAUGGGGAAAGCUAAUUACACCAGGGUUCUUACUUCUCAAGAGCUACCCAAGUUUGUUGGAACUCUUCAUCCCUUACCAGAAGUCACCAAAACUUUGAACAAUAGAGAGCCCCAGAAAGUGCCGAGAGAGAGAGCAGAAUAUAUUUGGGGAUUCAACACUGGCAAGACAGUCUCAAUCUGAUUCCUAGGCUCCACCCACAUAAUUGCCACCUUGCCACAUAUCAUACUCCUGAUGUUUCUUUUCCUUUAUUUUGUGAUUUUAUACAUCUUAAAUAUAAAUUUCAAAAUCUUUUUCCAUAAAAAUAACUUUGGUUUUCUUCAAAAUUCCUUAGGAGCUUCUAGGUAUAAAAUCCAAAUUUUAACAUGCUAAUUGCUGCCACUUUCCUUCGGGCAUGCACUAUCUUCUUUGAUUUUUAACUAUUUUCGUGAUUUUCUUGAUUUUCAACAAGCAUGAAUAAAUUUUAUGAUUCCAAAUCAUGGAAUCUAUGGAAUCAACUCAUGCGAAAUUAAUUGGGGCUUUGGUGGGGGCCCGACAUUCAUGAUAUUAUCUUCAAUACUGUUUCUUGAUAUCUGAUUGAUUUUUUAUUCUUCUCGAUGAAAUACUUGAAUUCGCUUUAUAUUUAUUGUUGAGAUAUCCUUGUUUCCCAUAGACGUGUGGAUGCUCGCUAAAUCAGGUACGCUCUUCCCACCCUACAACUUUGAAAUUCUAUGGAUAUGUAUGUUAUCAUGAGCUAUGAUCCUGUUUGAUGGCAUGAUUGAUUGCCUUGAUGCUUGUUUGUUCAUCUUUGACAAAACACAUAUUAUGUGUCAUAUUUCCAAACUAAUCUCUCAUGUUUUAUGAUAGCGCUUGGGAAGCCGUCUAGGUACGCAUCCUUAACUUUCCUUCAUUGUUAUUCGAUCUUGUUAGGCAUGCAAUAUUCGAAAUCAUCUAGUCUACUUAGGUAUCCAUGAUUAACUGAUUAAUGGCCACACUUCCCUUAACUUUGCCAGUAGAGACCUCUUUAGGGCUUAGAGGGGUGCUACCUCCUAGAGGUACCUUCCCAAUAGGUAACCUGAUCCCCGGACUGAGACUCGGGUUUUUCAAAGACACGCUUCUCCAAAAAUUAUGGAGUCAUUUUUUAGGGUUUUAUUUCUUGUUUUAUUUUCCCUUCAAAAAUAAAAAUAAAAUAAGUGGCGACUCCAGUUUUUUUUUCAAUUUUCACAAAUAAAAAGCGAGUCUCGCCGAUCAAGUGGGGGCGCACGUGAAAAAUGCGGGUCCACAGAAUCAUAUCAACCUUUGUAAAUAUUUCAUCUCCAGUAAGUUCUUUUAGAGGUAACCUAAACUCUUGUUCACCAUUAAAUGCCUUCUUUUGCUUUCUAAAUGGAUGGUCACAUGGAAGAAACCUUCUAUGAUCGGUAUAUGAGUUCUUAUUCCCAUGUUUUAGCCAAUGUGAAUUUGUUUCUUCACCACAUAUUGGACAAGCAUGAUAUCCCUUAACAGUGCAACCAGACAAGUUGCCAUAUGCAGGGAAAUCAUUAAUCGUCCAUAACAAAAUAGCCUUUAAUGUGAAGAACUCUCGUUGAUGUGCAUCAUAGGCUUUCACCCCUACCUCCCACAAUGCUUUCAAAUCAUCGACUAAUGGUGCCAAAUAAACAUCGAUAUCCUUACCAGGCUGUCGUGGUCCUGAUAUUAGCAAAGAUAACAUCAUAAAUUUCCUCUUGAUGCAUAACCAAGGGGGAAGGUUGUAAGUUAUUGUGAGAACAGGCCAACAACUAUGCCUACUGGUCAUGGAGCUAUGAGGAUUGAUACCAUCUGCUGAAAUAGCAAGUCUAAGGUUCCUACAAUCUGAAGCAAAUUCAGGCCACAUUUGGUUCACUAGUUGCCAUGUUGGGGAAUCCAUUGGGUGUCGAAGUUUACCAUUAUUUUCUCUACCUUUUGCAUGCCAUUUUAGGUCUUUCGCUAUUUUGGGAGAUUGAAACAUCCUCUUAAACCUAGGGAUGGGUGGGAAAUACCACAAAACUUUUGAAUCCUCUUAGUGUUUCUUGCCCCAGCCUUGUUUACCUUCCACCUUGAUGUUCCACAAGUAGGACAUGAAGAUGCAUCAUUUAACUCAUUCUUGUAUAGUGUGCAAUCAUUUGGGCAUGCAUGUAUCUUUUUGUAUUCCAUCCCUAAUGCAUUCAAUGUUUUCUUUGCCUCAUACAUGGAUAAGGGCAUCUCAUUGUUGACUGGUAGCAUAUCCCCUAAUAUUUGGAGUAAAUCUGAAAAACUUUUAUCUGACCACCCAUACCGUGCCUUCACAUUGUACAAUUUAACUAAUGCAGAAAGCUUGGUGAACUUGAUACAACUAGGAUACAAAGGUUUUUCAGCAUCUUCAAGCAAUUUUUUAAAUGAGAUUGGGUCUAUCAUGAACUCAUCAUCUAUAACAUGAACCAUUUCUACUGUACUAGCAACAUCACCACAAUCCAUCGUGUCAUAACAUUGUGCCAUUUCACUUGGUUGUCUACUAGUAGGACCUGCUUCUCCAUGCCAAUACCAUGUAUGAUAACUCUGGUCAAUACCAUUGAAAAACAUAUGUUCCCAAAUCUUGUUAGGUGUAUGAUGUAUUAAGUUUCCACAUUGCAUACAAGGACAACAAAUUCCACUUUGAUUCGGACAAUGUUCUAAUGCAAAAUUAAUGAAGUAUUCAACUCCUUCCUCAUACUCCCGUGACAUUCUAUCUUUAGACAUCCAACUUCGAUCCAUUCUAUGAUUGAAAUACACAAUGAAUUAAUCAUGAGGAAUUUUAACAUUAAUGUUGUAUCAUAUCUCAAAAGGAUUCAUCAUGUAAUAUAUCCAUGUUGUCUACAAGUAUAUCAAAGUGGGAUAGUUAAUUAUAAAAAUUGUCUUAUUCAAUUCAUGUCAUUGUAGGUAAUGCUACAAAUUAUCCAUUUAAAAUUCCUAUUAGUUCAUGAUAUUCAUCUUAUUAAAUACAUUUAAUUUCAUUAGGUAUUGAACCAAAGUAAAAAAAUGUGGUUCUCUUAUAGAAUUAUGACCCUAUCUAGUUUAUGCACUACCAUACAAAUAAGAAAUAAAUACAUGUUACAUUUUUUUUAGUCUUUAUUCAAUCUCGAAUCGUUGAAGAUCAUUUAUUAUGCAUAUUUCUGUAAAAUUAAAAUAAAUUUAUAUAUCAAAAUAUUAAACCAAGAAACAUAAUUAACUAUCAUGAUUCUAUCUUCUUAAACUAAAAUCAACUUAAACUACAUGUCUUAUGCAUUCUAACAUCUCCAACUUCCUAGUUUAAGUGGUGGUUCCUAUCCCAUACAGGAAAACAUAAUCCCUACAUGUCAACUACUAUUAUGUUUUGUUUCAUUUUAGAAAAAUUUCGGCAGCAUUUCCCUAUAGUUCUCUAAUGGAGGACUGCGUGCAAGGCAUGUCAGCAUGAAAGCCAGCAACCAACAACAUUGUCUAUCAUCGUUGAUGCUCACAAUCGCAUGGAGCCACCAUUGCCACCCAGCUAUUUCGGAAAUGCUACUUUUCGGGUAACUGCUGAAAGCACGUCAAGGGAGCUAGUCUCCAAACCAUUAGGCUAUGCUUCAGGUAAAGCACGAUAGGCAAUAGAGAAGGCAACGCAUGAAUAUUUACAAUCAUCUCUUGUGUAUGUGAAAUGUCAGGAGGAUGUAACUCAGUUCAAGAAUUUCCACACCGUUGGAUGCACCAAAGGAGCUUUCUAUGGGAACCUUAAUCUUAAUAUCACUAGUUGGGCCAGACUACCCAUUUAUGGGGCGGAUUUCAGGUGGGGCCAGGAAAUUUACAUGGGCCCAGGAGCAAUUGGCUACGAUGGGAAGGUUUUCGUAUUUCCCAACUAGGGUCAAGAAGGAUCAUUCCAUGUUGUAUUGAGGCUGCAAGUACGCCACAUUGACGCUUUCCAGAAAUUCUUUUAUGAAGACAUUUGUCUUCAAAAACCACUUUUAAUUAAUCCUUCAUUAUAAAAUAAAGAUAAUGUUGCAAUUUCCCUUGGAUCAGUUUUUCUUUGGUAGAUCUUGUUCAACAAAGCUACUCUUUAUCAAGCCAAAAAUUUCUUUUAUUUCACUCUGUAUUUUCAAUCUGAUUUUUCAGACACUUUCUCUCCUUACACAAAAAUGAAAAAAUGUUGUGUCUUCAGAAUUACGCACUCUCUGAAAAAUCAAAGCCCUUCACUCUGCUCUCUUUUCCUCGUAUAUAGUUCAUGUUAGAAGAGAAAAUAAUAGAAAAAGAAACGAACUAACUAAUCAUUUUAGAUAACUGACAGAAAUUUAUGAGUCACACUUAUAACAGAUAUAUACAAAUAGCUGAAAGAUAAGAUGGUAUAUAAGAAAAAACUAAAAUGUUACCAAGGCUACAUUUUUAAGAUAAAUCAUAAAUACAAGCUUGAGAUCAACCGUGUGAUAUAUUUUCAAACAUGCGCUCAUAGGCUGUGGUUGACUAAUUCUAUAUACACAAAUUUUAUCUUUUACAAAAUCAAUUAAUAAAAUUAAUUAUAUAUACACAGAAUGUAAUUUUACAUGUACAUUCAUAUGUUGUACGCGCAGUACAAUAGAGAGUUAUUUCCUAGCCCAAUUAUUAUUAUUUUUUUAGGAGUUUCUUCAAAAAAGAAAAAAAAAAAAAAACUCUAGAUUUUGGUUGUAUAACGUGGGCAAAGUUGGUCCUUUCCAUGUAUGGGUCGUUUCCAUGUCUACGUCAAAGUCAGGUUGUCUACUGUGGUAUUUUGAUUUGCCAAUUUCCUGGCGGGAGAAUUGUGUUUUCACCUCAAGGUGAAUAAUUAAACUAAAGUCCUCCUAUCACUCAUAAUUGAUUAUAAGAAUAUAAGAUGAUAAUGGACAUAAAUACCCCUUUACUCAUUUUUGUCUUUAUUCUACCACUCUUUACAUGUUAUUAUUAACACAUUCUCUCUCCUUUAACCAUUUUUUUAUUUUUCAUUGGUUUUUUUAAACUUUUUUAUAAAUAAUUGAAAAAUCAACAUUAUUUUAUAUUUUUAAAUUAUAAAUAAACAAAAAUUAUAUUGAUGAUUCAAAAACUAUUUUGAAAAAUACUUUCUAAAAAAUGUUAAUUUUAAAAAAUAAAAAUUAUCUUUUAUAUUUUAGAAGUAAAUAAUUUAAUGAUUAAAACACUAUUUAAAAUAAAUAUAUUCACUAUUUUAUUUUCUUUUAUACUAAAAAGUAUUUUAAAAUUUUCUUUUUCCUAUUAUAAAAUAAAAGGUUCAAUUUUUUAUUUUUUUUAUUUUAAAAAAAAUUAUUUCUUUCUUCUUUUAAUAACUUUUUGAACAUAACUUUUAGUAAUAAGUUAUAUGAAAUGUUGUAAAUUUGUUUAAUAAUAAUGAUUUGAAUUAAUUAAAAAUUUAUCAAAAAAAAAUGUAAAAGAGAGAAAUAGGAUGGAUGAAAAGUUUUUAUUUUAAAUAUACAAUUAAAAUAUUUUCAUAUGACUUAAUUUUAGAAGUUAAUUAUAACUAUAUAUAGUAUAUAUUGAUUUUUUUCUUAAAUAAAAGGGUUAAAAGGUAUAUUUACUCAUUUCAGAUAAAAAAAAUUAAAAAUUAUAUAGAUUAUGUUUGAGUUUGGUUUAAAAAUAUUUUUCUAGUUUUUAUUUUUUAUUUAUUAUUAUUUUUUAAAAUAAUUUUUAUUUUCUAUAUGGUCUCUUUUAGAAAAUAUGUUUAAUUAAAAAAUGAAAACUAUUUUUAAAAAUGAAAAUUGAAAACCUUGUUUAAUACUAUUUUUCAUAUGAAAAUAAUAAAAAGACUUAAAAGAGUUUAAUCCUAAGUCAUACGUUUUAUUUAACUUCCAUAUGGAAAUUUCAAUACUUUCUACGGUAAUGAUGUUUAGAGAAAAAAAUUUGACCCUAAGUACCAUUUUCUCAACCAAACCAUUGAAAAUAUGAUUAACACACCUACGUAAACACAUAACUUAGAGAGAUAUGAAAUUUGUGUCAUUGUACAAGGGUAUUACACUAACUGUACAAUGAAAAUGUACUAAGUGUACAAGGGUGUAUAAGGCUACCUUUUGUAAAAGAUUUGAAUCGAUUAUGAACCACUCCAUUUUACUUUCCUUGUUGCCAACAUAUUGUACACUCAUAUCAUACACUUUAUUUAACUCUCACAUAAAAAUUUCAAUAUUUUCCCUAGUAAUGAUGUUUAGGGAAAAAAAAUUGACCCGAAGUCAUCUAAUAUAUAUUUUCUCAACCAAACAAUUAGAAACAUGGUUAACACACUUACGUGGAUACAUAAUUUAGAAGGAAUAUGAAACCACUGUACAAGGGUGUUACAUUAACUGUACAAGGGUGUUACAUUAACUGUACAAGGGUAUUACACUAAUUGUACAAGUGAAAUAUACUAAGUGUACAAGGAUGUACAAGGUUAGCAUUUGUGAAAAUUUUCAAUCAAUUAUGAAUUACUCCUUUAUUUUCCUUGUCACCCAAGAAUUGUAUACUUAUUACACUAAUUGUACAAGGGAAAUAUACUAAGUGUUACAAGACUAGUAUUUGUGAAAAAAUUCAAUCGAUUAUUAAUUACUCCUUUAUUUUCCUUGUUGCCCAAGAAUUGUAUACUCAUGUCAUACACUUUAUUUAAUUCUCAUAUGGAAAUUCUAAUGUCUUCCCCAAUAAUGAUGUCGAGGGAAAAAAAAUUUAAUCAUAAGUCAUCCAUAAUUUUCUCAACCAAAUGAUUAAAAACAUGCUUAACACACCUACAUAGACACAUAACUUAGGAAGGAAAUGACAUUUGCACCACUGUAUAAUAUUAUACUAAUUGUACAGGGGGAAUGUGACAAGUGUACAAGGGUGUACAGGACUCCUAAUAGGUUUUGUAUGAUUUUUAAUCAACUUGAAUUUGACAUUAGAACAAUUAUCGAUAGUUUUUUUUUUUUCUCUUUUUUGUUUUUUUUACCAAACUAUGCCAUUAAGACCAAUGAGAAAUAAUAUACAACAUAUUUAUUAUUUUUUAAGUAAGAAACAAAAAAAAUAUUUGCUAAGGUAUUUAAAAAAUAUUUAUUAUAUAUUUUAUAAGUUUGAAAAAAAAAUUUAAUGAUGUCGAAUUUGCAAGUUAGAACAAAUAAAGAAUACUAAUAUUUUAUGAAAUAUUUAAAAAUUGUUUAAUAUAUAUAAGAAAUAAUAUAAGUUUGAAAUAAAUAAUAAUAUUUAUUAUAUAUUAUGUAAGUUUGAAAAAAAGAAUAAUAUUUAAUAAGGUAUUUAAAAAUUAUUUACUUCAAAACUGCAUUUGACAAUAAUAAUUUUUAAUUAUUUAUCUUUCAUAUUCAAUUUGUUGGAGAAAAAUAAUUGGUAAAUCAUUUAACUUGAUCCCACUAAUAAAUAAGUAAGAGAAGGGUGAAAAAAUCAAAGAAAGAAAAGAGAAAGGUAGGAGUGGCUGGUAGCUUUUUCAUUUGAUAGUUAAGGGUAUUUUAAGGAUUUUUGAAUGGCAAUAUCCUUCUUCUCAAUUUCUAUUCUUUCCUUAGGUUUUGAAUUUAAUUAUAGGUGAUAGGAGGACCUUAUCUCAAUUAUCCAACCCAGCUGGGGUGGAAACACAAUUCUCCCUUUCUUGCCCAGCUCAGCAGAAAUUUGUCUGUCUUUUAAGGUAGAGUGCACUGCCAUCAUUGCAUUAUUUUAUUUUAUUGAGGAUAGUAUCGAAAAACACCUUCGUUGCCUUAUCAUUUUCCUAAUAAUGCAAGUAGUGCAACUCAACAACAUCAAAUAGAAAGUACUGAUGUUAAGUGCGAAUAAUGCAAGUAGUGCAACUCAACGACACCAAAUAGAGAGUACUGGUGUUAAAUGCAACCGUUGUUUCUUCAUGGCCACUAUGUUCAACAACUAGUCUCAAGCUUUACAUGUGAAAUUUAAUUCCAACUUUUAAAUAAAGAAAGAAAUAUGCUAUGGUAAAAAUAAUAAUAAUAAUAAUAAUAAUAAAAUAAAUAAAAUGAAAUUAUGUAUAAAGAAAGACUUAAAACAUAAAUGAAUGGAUCAACUAAUGUUCUGUUAAAGAAUUCAGAAGAAAGAAAUUUUUAGAUAGAUGAAUUGAUUUUCAUUGAUUGAUUGUGAUAAUAUAAAGGAGUUUCAAUCAGGGACGAAAAUAUCGCGAUAUAUCGUGUAUUGGGAGGUUCCGACACGAUAUUUUCCAACUGAUAUAUCGAGAAGGAGAAAUAUCGAAAAAUAUCAUCGAUAUAUCGACGAUAUAGAGGUUGUAGUUGAUAAAUCAACUAUUAAUGAAAAAAAUCACCUAUGAAUGCGAAAAAUCAUCGAUAUUUCAGCAAAAAAUCACCUUACAUUGUGAGCGUGAUCUGACGGCCCAAAUCAUGCCCGCAUUGAUCCGAUGCCCCAUAUUACACCCACGUUGAUCCGACGCCCCAAAUCACGUCCACGUGCAACAAUCAACUUCCUCGUUUGAUUCAAUGGCUAAGAUGACAAUCCAACAACUAUUUUGUGAGCCAACGGUAAAAUGAUGUUUGAACAACUUUUUUGGCCCAAAUUUUUGUUUAUAAAUAGUUCAUUUUGGAUCUAUUUGAUCCCCAUUUUAUUGCAUUUGAUCUCUCAUUGCUCAUAAUUUUUUUUUUAUUAUUUUCAAAUUAUUAUAAAUUUGGGAAAUUUCUAAGGUGACUCAUUUAUUCAACUAUUCUAACGUAUGUUUGUUUUAAAUUCUAAUUAAUUUUGUUUUUCAGUUGUAAUUAAUUAAUGUAUUUUCAAUUCAUUAGUAUAUUUUCUAAAUUAUCUAAUAUCACAAAUCAUAUCAUACAUAUAUCAAAUUCUUCAACAAAACAAUUUUAAAAUGUCUAUUAUAUUUCUAAUUACAUUAUUAUGAGGUUUUUCUUACUUUUUCAUGAGUUUUGAACAAUUUUAGGCCUAUAGAAAUUUUUUUUCAAAAUAUCCGCCGAUAUAUCUGUAAAAUCAAAGUAUCGAUAUAUUCGUGAUUACCGAUUUUUUUAUCCUUGGUUUCUAUAUUGAGAGAAUAAUACAACAAACUCUCAUUGGGUUAGUUCCAAAUUGUGGCAUUUAGUAACCAAUCCUAACAACUUACAAAUGAGUUGUCCUAACAUGCUCCCUCAAACUUAGGUAGUAAAAUCUUUUACUUUAUGUUUGUUUUUGAAAUUGAAAAACAAUGAACUCAACACUACCUUGGUAAGUAUGUCUACAACUUGAUCUUGAGCAAGGAUGUGUCUUACAUCACCUUGUUUGGUGAGAACUUUUUUUCCGACGAAGUAUAAAUCCAAUUCUAUAUGUUUUUUACAUGAAUGUUGGAUUAGGUUGGCUGCAAGUUGGAUUGUACUUAGAUUAUCACACCAAAUCAUGAUUGAAGUCUGCAACUUAGUCAACUUAAGUUCUUGUAAGAGAGAUUGAAUCCUUAUGAUUUCUACUACCAUACUGGCUAAACUUUUGUACUUCGCCUUUGUAUUGGAUCUUGCUACCGUUUGCUAUUUCUUAGAGUGCCAAGAAAUCAAGUUAGGACUUUGGUAGACACAAUAUGCUAAAGUUAAUCUUCUAUCAUUUUAAUCUAAUACCCAAUCGACAUCACAAAUGCCUAUCACAUUCAAAUUAUUGGAUUUAUUCAAGUAUAGGCCAAAAUCCAAGGUAUCACUUACAUACCAUAGUAUCCUCUUAAUUGCCUUCCGAUGAACUUCCAUAGGAUUUUGCAUGAAUUAACAAACCCUAUUAACACUAUAGGCAAUCUCUAGCCUAGUUAUCAUUGCAUAUUGUAAUGUACCAACUACACUUCGAUAAAGUUGUGGAUCUUGAAUAGGAUGACCACCGUAUGCUAAAAGUUUUAGGCAUGUUGUCAUAGGAGUAGUCAAUGGUUUAGCAUAUUGCAUUUUAGCUUGACGUAGAAGAUCGGUGAUAUACUUGGUUUGAGAUAAAUGCAGCCGUUCACUAGUUUCUUUAACCUAAAUGCCCAGAAAAUAGGAGAUAGGUCGACGGUCCUUCAAAGCAAAGUCGAAGUUCAAGCUGGUGAUAAGUUGCCUACACCUAAGUGAUCACUUCCGGUUCCAUGAUUUAUUAUAUGAAAUUAGAAUGUCCUACUAACCACCUGUGGAUUCACCUAGCAUUAUUAUUUUUUAACGACCACAUUUAUCAAACACGUCAAAGAGAGAAAUUAAGUGACUCCAUGUUGAACACUAUAAAAAUUCUUGCAUGAAAAGCAAUAAUUUGAAGUAAAAAUAUAAAACAAAAAAAUAAGUAAAAUAAAAUAUAAAUAAAAUUUUUCUUAUGGUUAGAAAAGUCGUAUAUAUAUUUAUAUUAUAUAUGAGGCUUCUUUCAAAUCUUAAGAAUUUUUUUAUUAACAUAAAGAUUAUUUGAAACAUUCCAUUUUCUAGGUAUCAAAAGAACUUUAUUAUCACAAGAUUAUUUUUGUAAGAAUUUUUUUAGAAUCAUGAUGAAAGAAGUAAGUGAAUGUUUGGUAAAUCAACUUAAUAAUUUAAAUUCACUUAAUAACUUAAUUUAAGUUAAUAAGUAAAUUAAAUUUGUUCGGUAAAAUAACUUAAUAAUAUGACUUAAAAUAAAAAACAACUUUAAAUAAUAAGUAAAAAUAAUUAAUUUAUUCUUAAGUUUAUAUUUUCAUUUUUACCCUUUUAUCCUUAUGUAUCCUAGUUACUUCCAUGAUAUUUUUUGCUAUUUUAUAACCUCCAUUAUUACUUAACCUCUUUUAUCUUAAUUAUAAUUUAUGAGGAUAAAUAUAUGAAUUUGAAGAUUUAGAAUAAAUUUUAAGUUAAUUUUAUCAAACAACCUUAAUAUUUAAAAAGUAAGAGUUAAAUAAUAAGCUCUAAGUCAACAACUUAAGUAUGACUUAACUUAAAGUCAACUUAAAUCAUUAAAUAAUAAGUUUUAAGUUUUAUCAAAUACGUCCCAAAUAUAGAACUUUAUUUCAAGAGCAAAAAUAUGAAAGGAAUUACUUGAAUUUGAGUGCAAACAAUUUUUUUUUCCAUUUUUAAACAUAUAUAAAAUGAAAAUGAUAAGUUUGACUUUUUAUUAAAAUAAAACAAAAAACUAUAAUAAUAAUAAAAAUAAAACUUAGAUGAUUUAGUUCUUUUUUUAUUUUUAAAAGUAGAAAUUUUAGAAACUUUAUGUUUGCAUUAUGUACUUAAAAAUUAUUUUGAUAAUAAAAAAAUUUAAUACCUUAAUUUUUUUUAAUUAAUUUUAAAAAUCAUUAUAUUUUCAAUUCAAGCUCUAAAAGUUUUUGUAUUUGUUUAUAAAAAUUAGGGUUAUUUGAUUAAAGGGUUAUUGAAAACUCAAUUUUGAAUAUUUAACCAUUUAUCCUUUUUUUACUUCAUUUUGAUAAAAAUAUCCUCAUUCUUUUUCUUUUUUUUAAAUAAAUAACAAAUUUUAAAAAAAAAUUUACAUAUAAAUACUUGAAAUGAUAAAGGGUAAUUAUAUAUAUAUAAUGUAUUAGGUUUUAAAUAAAAAUAUAAAAAGGAGUAGAUUUACAGGUUUGGAGAUUAUUUUAUCUAUUUUAACUAGUGUUUUAAAAAUAGAGGUUGAUCGGUCUGACCUAUCACCAAUCCAAUCCGAUUCGGCCUUUUAAGCCAGAUAGCUGUUGAACCGGCGUCAAACCUUCGAAACCGAAAGUCGAACCACUGAAUCGAACAGUUCAAAAAACCCUCAUCUCUUUCCCCUAUCCAGCUCCCUCCUCAAUCGUCGUCGCCCCCUUCUUUAUUCUCAAAUUUGUAACUAUGCCUCCACCCUCCAUCUAUUUCCAAUUCCUAGUGUGCACUCCUCACCCUCCCUCUCUUCCCAGUCCUAGCAUGUGCUUCUCCCACACUCCCUUUCUUCCUAGUCCCAAUGUACGCCUCUCUAUGGUGCCACCUGUGGGGGCCCUUCCCCACACGUCUGUCCACAUGUGCCUCCACGUAUCUAGAUACAUGGUAGCACCUCUCCUGGACCACGUGUCACUCCCUUCAUUACUAUUCGGACAACCAUCAAGGCAUACAGGAACAUUCUAUCUAAACCAUAUAGGCUCACUAAGCAUAACACACCUUCCUGAUAACCCCAAAUCCUCUCUAAUAUGUGAAAUGAUGGCAUUCUGACGCUUAAGUGGCUGAUGGGACCUUCCCCUUCCAUACAUUAACAUCAAUGAGUCAUCCUAGCCAUCACCCAUACCUUCAACAAGUUGAAUGAUGGCAAGCUGCGCCAUGACACGCCGUCUAACACAACCACUAGCCGUCUGGCAACUGCAAUUAUUGCUAUGUCACUUACUACACAGUCAUCAUUGCAGCAUUAGGUCAAGGUGCUAGCUAAUCACUACUGUGUUUUCCCCAUUUAAGCACUAUAAAAACCCCACUGAAAUAGGACUCAGGUACGCAACACCAAGGACUCCCUCAUCUACUUUCUCUUAAAGGGUUCCUACCCAUUUCAAUAUCUGACCUAAGCUUCGGAGAGUGUGUCCAGACAACCUGUCUAGGCAUCCUUUGUGCAAGGAAGAAGAAAACCCAGUCUCUAGCAGCUGGGCAGAAGCUUUUGCUGCCACAACCAAUGGAGAAGUCCAUUCUCAGUUGACCUGGUAUCAACAUAGGCAUCGUCUGUGGGAAUAAGAUAAAGAUGUCAACACCCUCAAGAAGUCGAUCGUCAGCCAUGGGUAGGCGCAAAAAUAUGGAGAGACGCCAAUGAGAAAGUGAGUGAUAAAUGCAAGCCUUGCUCCAUGAGACAAGGAGGCUUAGGGAGGAGAACGAGGUGUUGCGUAUCCAAGUGUCUUCAUCGGGCUCUCCUCAUAGCCGACAACCUAGAAGUCAGCAAAUGAACUUCAAGCAAAACGAGGAGGCAUCAUAUCCUAGGAAUGCAAAGUUCCCCUCUGAUGAAUAAGAAAUGCAGCCUAAGGAAAUAUCCCCACUAGCCUGCCACGCGCCACUAGAUGAAAACUCUGAUUCCACUCAUGUCUCAUAAAAAAAAAAAGACACAAUAGCAGGUCACAGCUAUCAGAUGCAAUGCGCGCAAGACUAGGGCCUCAAAUGCCUGGUAUGAGGGAAACCCACAUGUAGUAAUGGCCCAGGAGGCAUAUCCUGGUCCCUCGGCUACACCAAUCAUGACAGAUUGGCUUUCCCAUUCGCUAACACAACAACCAGUAGCGGAUCUAACAAAUCAAGGUCCCCUUGACUCUGUCAAUAAGCUACUGGAUAACAUGUUCUUCACGCCUUUCAUCCCUUACAACAUCAACUACGAGCCCCCAAGAGGGUUCAUGGUCCCAAAGUUUUCCACGUAUGACGGAACCAGCGAUCCAUUUGACCAUAUCAUGCAUUACAGGCAACUCAUAACCCUUGAAAUAGGGAAUGACGCGCUGUUGUGCAAGGUCUUUCAAGCUAGCCUCCACAGCCAAGCUCUUUCAUGGUGCCACCGCCUCCCGAUGAAUUCUGUGAAUAAUUUUCGGGAUCUAUCGGAGGCCUUUGUGGGACAAUAUUUAUGCUCAGCAUGACAUAAGCAAAACAUCAGUAGCCUACAGAACAUAAAGAUGCAGGAGAAUGAGUCAUUGAGAGAAUUUGUGAAGAGGUUCGGACAAGUCGUGCUUCAAGUAGAAUCUUGUAGCAUGGACGUUGUCCUUCAAAUUUUUAAAAGAAGUAUCUGUCCAGGUAUACCCUUCUUUGAAUCUCUCGCCAAAAAACCUUCAGCAACGAUGGACAACUUGUUCAAACGAGUGAACAAGUACUCCAUGCUUGAGGACGACAUCCACGCAGCUACUCAGCAGGCCCUGGUCACCAGUCGGAAUACUAGGAACGACUCAGACGGGAGCUCUAAGCCCAUAAACUAAUGGAGGCAAACUAGUAAGGGGCAGGGCAAACAAUAACAGCUAACCCAAGCUAGCCUCACCCUCCUCAACAUCUCAUACGAAAAACUUCUCCCCAUGAUCUGAGAUUUGUCCGAUUUCAGAUGGCCACAGCCAAUUAAGGCAGAUCCGGAGAAACGAGAUCGAAGCAGAAAAUGUGUUUAUCAUAAAGACCAUGGUCACACCACAAAGCAAUGCAAAAGUCUCCACUGCCUAGUAGAAAUAGUACGUCCGCUCAGAGGGAAGACAUUGAGCCAAGCCCCCACAAAUUUGACUGCCCCUAGAACCGUAAUCAACUACAUUCAUGGGAGUGUCGUGGAUGAGAAAUACAAUUUUAAAUGGAAAAGACAAAUGUUACUUCGAGUCGCCUCUGUAAGAGAACAGGUUAGCUCCAUCCAACCUGACUUGCCCAGUGGGGGCACGAGCCCAAUAGAUGGGGUAAUUACCUUCCCUCUAGUAGACCCCAAUCAGGUGUUACAGCCCCAUGAAGAUGCUUGAUCUUGACACUGGGAAUCAUCGAUUUCGAUGUAAGGUGAAUUUUGAUUUAUCCGGGUAGUUCAGUCGACUUGUUACAAAUGUUCGCGUACAAACAAAUGGGGUUCCCAUCAUCUGCCCUAGAGAACCCCGGGUGGAUACUAUUAAGAUUCAAUGAAGCCUCAACCACUUCUCUAGGAGAUGUCGUGUUACCUGUCCAGGCUAGACCAGAUAUCCAGAAUGUGCAAUUCUUAGUGGUGGAAGACUUGUCCCCUUUCAAUGCUAUCAUGGGACGCACCUGGCUACAUGGCAUGAAGGUCAUCCCUUCUAUGUAUCACAAAAUGGUAAGUUAUCUAACCGACGACAGACAUAUCAACCUUUUUGGCAGCCAGCUAGCUGCACGACAAUGUUAUUAGAUAGCACAUGAAUCUAGAUCCUCCAAAGAUAAUAAAUUGCCCACGGAACAGACUAACAUGGAGCAAUAAUAGCAAUUAUAGAGCCCGGUAGAAAGUGAUCCAUCGGCAGCUGACCUACUCCUACCCUUAUGUCUUUCUCAUAACAAUGAAUGUGUUACUCAUGUCAACUCCCUACAAGCACCUGAAAAAUGUGAAGUACUCAAAGUAGUGCUUUGGCAAAAUGAGGAGGUCUUCGUGUGGACUCAUUUUGAUAUGCCCGAAAUCCACCCUUCAAUAGCCUCAUAUCAACUAUAUAUCAUACCUUCUUUGCGGCCUAUCCGACAAAGGGUCAGACGCUUCCAUCCGGAGAGGCAAAAGAUCAUCCAAGCUGAAGUGGACAAGCUACUGGCAAUUGGGUUCAUCAGGGAAGUAGAAUAUCUUGAUUGGCUAGCAAAUGUUGUUGUGGUCCCAAAGAAAUGAGGGAAGUGGUGAGUCUGUGUUGAUUACACUAACCUAAAUGAUGCCUACCCAAAAGAUAACUUUCCUUUGCCCCAGAUAAAUCAGAUAGUAGACUCCACUACUGGGCACGGGAUGCUCUCUUUCGUAGAUGCUUUUUAUGGAUACCAUCGGAUUCCUAUGUUCCAACUGAACAAGGAGAAAAUCGCCUUUGUGACACCACACGGGUUGUAUUGCUACAAAGUCAUGUCGUUUGGACUCAAGAACGCUAGAGCCAUCUUCUAAAUGCUAAUGACAAAGAUUUUCAAACCACUAAUCAGCCACACAGUAGAGGUAUACAUCGAUGACAUUGUAGUAAAGAGCAAAACUAGAAGUAAACACACCCAACAUUUAGAAUAAACUUUUCACUUGAUGAAAAUGUACAACAUGAAGCUCAACUCGGCCAAAUGCGCCUUUGGAGUCAAUGCAGGUAAAUUCAUGGGAUUCAUGGUAACACAAAGGAAUAAAAGUUAGUUUGGACCAAAUCAAAGUUGUCAUGGAAACACCCACCCCAAAUUCUAAGAAGGAAUUGUAGUGUCUCACUGGCCGCCUAGUCGCACUAGGACGCUUCAUAGCCUAUUUCACAAACAAGUUAAGGUUUUUCUUCCUCACACUAAAAGGAGCUAGCGCGACAGGAUGGACAAACAACUAUGAGAAAGCAUUUGAGGAGAUUAAACGCUAUCUCACACAGCCACCAUCCUGAGUAGUCCUCAACCCGGUGAGCAACUGUACAUGUAUCUAACAGUAUUUGACUGGGUUGUCAGUGUUGUGCUCUUUUGCCACGUGAAAGACAAGUAACAGAGGCUCAUCUACUACGUGAGCAAAUCAAUGGUUGAGGCGGAAGCUCGAUACUCCAAGAUGGAACAAACAACUUUGGCUUUGAGAAGUGUUGCACAAAAACUUUGCCCUUACUUUUGAGCCCAUCAGAUGACUAUACUCACAAACCAACCACUUAGAAGAAUUUUACAUAAAACCGACUUAUGUAGGAGGAUGCUGAAAUGGGCCAUAGAACUAAGUGAGUAUGAGAUCAAAUACCAGCCUAGACUGGCAAUGAAGGGACAGGUCAUGGUGGACUUUAUAGUUGAGAUUCCUUAGAAACCAUCACAGCUUGUAGAUUCUCUUAAAAAUGGAUGGUGGAUACUUCAUGUUAAUAGAGCAUCCGGGGUCUCUAAAGCCGAAAUAGGCCUUCUCUUACAAUCCCCAACCAGAGAACAAUUGGAAUAGGCUAUCAGGCUUGGGUUACUUGCCUCCAAUAACAAAUCAAAGUAUGAGGUAAUCCUAGUCGGGUUGAAUCUUGCUCUUACUUUAUCGACAACUGAGUUGGAAAUAUGCGGCGAUUCCCAGCUAGUCAUUGGACAAAUUUUGGGAUAAUACGAAGCCAAGGAUGAACGCAUGACCCGAUACCUUUCAAAGGUACAAGCAAAUUUAAAUAAACUAAGCAAAUGGGUCGUCAAGAGAAUCCUCAGCACAGAAAACAUAUAGACUGACGCCCUAACUAAGAUAGUUGCUACUCUCCCGAUAAAAGAAGUCGUAUUACUACCCGUCUACCUCCAAGCUACAUCGUCAAUGGCAGACGGUCCAAUAUGCAAUGCCAGUGAAACAGAUGUCAACUGGAUGCACGAGAUUGAGGCAUAUAUCCGGACAGGAAAAUUACUUGAAGAUAGAAAGCAAGCUCACAAAAUCCGGGUACAGGCGCCGCCUUCACUCUAAUCGAAGACAGCCUUUACAGGCGAUCUUUUGGAGGAUCGUACUUCAAAUGCUUAAAAUAUGCAGAAGCAUGGUACGUAUAGGUCGAGCUUCAUGAAAGUGUGAAUGGCAAUCACAUAAGCGAAUGUACCUUAGCGCAUUGUGCUCACUCACAAGGAUACUUUUAGCCCACCAUAGGACAAGACGUUGAUAAAUAUGUCAAAAAGUGUGAUUGAUGCCAAAGGUAUGCACCUAUUCCUCGUAUGCCCUCCAAGAUCCUCAAUUCAGUCACGAGUCCUUGGCCAUUCGUACUAUGGGAAAUGGAUAUAAUUGGCCCCCUACCUGUUGCAGCUGCAUAGAAAAAGUUUCUACUUGUAACCACGGAUUACUUCAACAAAUGGGUAGAGGUAGAAGCUUAUGCUAACAUCAAGGAUAGGACGUUUCCAAGUUCGUCUAGAAAAAUAUCAUCUACCAGUUUGGAAUCCCACAAGCAAUUGUAGCUGAUAACAGGCCGCAAUUUGAUAGUAUCGCCUUUAGAACCUUCUACUCGGAGCUAAAGAUCAAGAAUUUAUACUCCACGCCACAUUACCCUCACAAUAAUGGACAAGCGGAGGCAACGAACAAAACUCUACUCUCUGGGCUGAAGAAAAUACUAGAAAAAGCCAAAGGAAAAUGGGUAAAUGAACUACCCGGAGUUUUGUGGGCUUAUCGAACGACACCUGGUUGACCAACGAGAACCACUCACUUUGCUCUCGCCUAUGGAAUGGAGGCAAUUAUCCCAUCCGAGAUAGGCAUGCCCACAACCAAGACGAUCAUCCAAGGCCAGAGAUACGAGAGUCGGGAGCUUGAAAGACACCUAGAUUGGGCAGAUGAGGCAAGAGGGAAUGCAGUCAUCCGGAUGGCAUCCUAUCAGCAAAGAGCUAUUGCCCACUACAAUAGGAAGGCUUAGUCGCGCACUUUUAGGACUAGGACUCUAGUCUUCAAAAGAGUCUUUGAAAACACGGCUGAAAGAGGGGUUAGAAAACUUCAGCCAAACUGGGAAGGACCCUACGUAUUAUUUAAGGUAGAAGACUCAGGGGCUUACCCUCUGCAAAUGCUAGACGGAGUGCCCCUGCUCCGCCCAUGGAAUGUAUCUAACUUGAAGCAAAACUAUCAGUAAAUUGGGUUUAAGGAAAGAAGAUUUAGUAAGAAAACGCAAGUAAAAAGAAACAAGUCUGCAUUGAUAGAAAGUGUUCAUUACAAGGUCGUGUCCAGAUAAAACAAUAAACGAAAAAGGGAAAAAAAAAAGUGCAAGAAUACAAUCAUUGCUCGUCGAAGGGCCUAACUGCAUCUGAAUCCUUAUCUCCCUAGGCGGAGUUGCUGAUUAUUGCAUCUUCCUCAUCGGAAGGGUAGUUGGGGAUAUCAUGAGUAAUGUCGUUCUUCCUCAUACAGUAUUGGUAGCCGAAGAAGAACAUAUCAUCAACUUGCUUAUGAUAAUCCUCCUCUAGCUCAUUCUUCUCGGCAGCAAACUCUACCCGAAGCUCCUCUAGCUUAUUCUUUCCUUGCAUCGGAAGUCAUUCCAAGCUCCUCCAGCUCUUUCUUCAGUUGGUCUUUUUCCUGCUCCACAUUCUUGCACUUAGCCUCCGUAGUCUCCAUUUCUUCUCUCAUCUGGCACACCUCGGCUUUCACUACCUCCCUUUCCUCUUCUAUCUCCUUCAACAACUUUCCUCUGUCUGUGAUAGCUUUCUGAGCGGCAACCGGGUCAUUCUCCGCCCGCUUAAGUUGGGUAUGGAGCUCUUCGUUGCUAUCCAGUUGCUAGGUAAAAAAUCCCCUCAUAGUCUCCUCGACCUCCAACCAUUUGAAGAGUAGGGCCUACUGGCGCAUUAAGUUACGAAUAGCAAUCACUACUUGAACGACAUUAAAGCAAAUGUUAGAAGUCAGACACUGAGGAAACUUAAACUAAGAAGGAGCAAGCCUUACCACUUCCGUCGUCUCAACAGUAGUGUACUACUGCAUCAGUUGAAUACAGAGGAAAACGGAUUCCAAAGUGUCAUGAGGGAGGCGAGGUGCAGCAGUUAUUAGGGGGUUGUCGGGCAUGUCAACAAAAUACUAACGGGUAAGCAGAAAGAAAUCACCCAUAUCAAUUGAAAGGGGCUCAAGCAUAGUGAAGUAGGUGACCUACUUCAACAAUGCCGCUAUCUCUUCCCGAGCCAGAAACGGGAGAGCUAACCGAGGCAUCUUUGUCAGUGAGAUCAUUACCCAGAGUUUGACUAAUAGAGGUCUUUUCUUGCACUGGGCAGGCGUUCUUCUCAACAAAAAAACUCACGACCAACGCUUGGUCGGACCCAACAACAUCAGAUGGAGGCAUCAUCACCAGAUGAGCAUCCGAGACCGGCAUUUUAGGAGAGACCUCAGAGCAAGUCCUCUUAGCAGGUAAAGGGGCAACUAGAAGUGACUCAAAGAGGCAUUUACGCUACCUCUCCUUGAAACCAACCCUUAGGUUAGGUGUCAUUUAUUCUUCUUCUUCUUCUUUUUCUGGCUCAAGGAUGAUGCAAGGCGCCAUUGGCUCAAGCUCCUGAUUCGGAUUGGCCCCUAUGAAGGGUGAGCCGGUUAAGCCCUAAUCGGUGUCUGCAUCAGAAGAAAGCAAAUGAGAAAAAGCAAAUGGAGAUAGGUCCAACGCCUUCUCGAUAGGGCGAAAGACAGCUUCCUCUUAGUAGGGGAUGAGUAGUAGAACUGGUGGUCGGACGACUUAUGCCCGGAGCUUGUCUUAGAGUCCUCUUCUGACACUUUUUCUCUCUCUAAUCAAGCCUGUCUUGUCAAACCUCCUCAUAGAAAGGAAGAUAUUUCAAUACGUGAUGUUUGUCGGGCACCAAAACUUUAGGCACAAGACGAGGAAAGAUGGGAAGGACGUAAGGUUGCGACUCCCAGGCCACUGCUAGCAAGUUCCGAUCAAUCAGCAGAGUAUGAUGAUGCCGCUAAUUAGUAGAAAUCACAAAUAACUUGUUGAGCCGGUCGAAAUUAGCUUUCUCCACCCACUCUACCGGUCGACAUUUCUUCUUCUUUCUUAUAGCACACAAAGUAAUAAACAUCAGCACCGAGCCGACUAUUAAUAAAGUUGUAAGGAUAAAACAAGAGGGAACUAUGGUUUAUUCUACCCAGAAUUGCCAACGAACGAUGUAGUUCGAACUCUCAACCCGGGUGCUCGAGUGAACCAGCCUAGGGCCCCGAAACAACGACAUACCCCUUAGUCGCACCCUUAGUAGAAUCCGAAAGCCCCGUCACCAACUGAAGAGAAGGGAUAUGAGCGGACAAGCUGAAUAUCCUUUUCCCACUCAUCUUCAUAGUGUAAAUAAAAAAGAUCUCUAACAAAGAAAGAUCCAAGUGGAAUAACAUAUCCAAAAUGGUGCACCCCAUCAGUACUCUGACCGCAUUCGGAUGAAGAAAUGAUGGGGAAAUCUUCGUGAAGUGAAGAAACUGCCUAAAAAGUGAAGGAAGAGGGAAGUGGAGCCCAGUAUUAAAUUGCUCUUUUCUGAAGACGGUAGCAUUGAAGGGUUCUUUUUCGGUAGACACAGGGCCACCAUCCAUCAAGUGAGUAGCAAGGCUAUUCAGAAUGCGGAAGCGCUCCCUAAACUUUCACUCAGAAAGGAGUUCGAUAAGCUUUUCCGAAUGGGUGCAACCGACACUUUCUCUUGGUCGGUCACCUUUCUUGCCCUUACCAACCGCACUAGUAGAAGCAACACCCCCUAUUGUUGACAUGUUGAAGUAGUGGGUUGAGUAAGACCUACAUGACACAACGACCGAUUAUUAGAAAGUAGUCACCCGGCCCUUUUAUCGAUAUGUAGUACCUCAGAAGUGCAACGAUCAGCCAACACAAGCCUAAGACCCACAUUUGGAUGGAGCGCUUGACCCAGCCUAUAGGGCAAGCCCUAACCAAGGUUCCCCCUAACCAUACCCUACAGAAGCCUUAAACCAAAAAGCCUAACAACAGCCCUAAAAAACCAAUCGAAAGGCAAAAAAAACCCUAGUUCUAGCAAACGUCGUCAAUUGAACCACCGACGGUGACUCCUCUUCCCAAAAAAACACCAAAACCCUACAUCCUACACUCAGCGACGUCCAUAUUGAACCUAGAAAAGCCACAAAUAAUCCCAAUAGCAAUUAAGUGCACCGUUGAAAAUAAAAAAAAGUCAAUACGAGGGAUUAACGACUUACCUAAAACCAGGAGAAGCACCGUUGACAGAAACGAAGUUCACCCUAAAGCAGAACUGGUACAGAUGGUGGGACCACCAGGAAAAUGAACGGUAAACCGAAAUCACUGUAGCAUAGAAUGCAAAAGCAGUCAGAGAAGAUGAAUGAAAAAACAACGAGGAAAGCGACAAUUGGAGUUGCAGUGGGCAUAAUGCAGAUGAAAUGAAGGCAAGAUGAAGAGUUGCAAGAGCAAGAAAUGUCCAAAAAGGGUGUUCCUAAAGGCCUGGAAUCUCUAAUUUAUAGGGGACCAAAACCCUAGGGAUCCCAAAAAACAGGCCACCUAGGAAUGCGUCCCAAAGCGACACGUCGCCUAACAAAUGCCUCAGUGGAAGUGACCUUCACUUAAUGACCGACACAUGUCUCGCUGACACUAGGGGAUCCCAAUGGCCAUUUUUAGCCAGUCCACUUCUACCCGAACACGGAUGCACGUGCUAAAGGGGGCAUUGUGGGGGCCCUUCCCCACACAUCUGUCCACAUAUGCCUCCAUGUAUCUGGACAUGUGGCAACACCUCUCCUGGACCACGUGUCACUCCCUCCAUUAUUGUUCGGACAACCACCGAGGCAUACAAGAACAUUUUAUCCGAACCAUAUAGGCCCAUUGAGAGUAACACACCUUAUUGACAACCCCAAAUCCUCUCUAAUAUGUGAAACGAUGGCAUUCUAACACUGGAGUGGCUGAUGGGACCUUUCCCCUCCAUACGUCAACAUCGAUGGGCAAUCCUACCCAUCACCCAUACCUUCAACAGGCUAAAAUGACGACAAGUUGCGUCAUGACGCGUCGUCUGACACAGCCACUAAUCGCCUGACAACUGCAAUAAUUGUCAUGUCACUUACUACACAAUCAUUAUUGCAGCAUUAGGUCAAGGCGCCAGCUAAGUACUACUAUGCUUUCCCCCUUUGAGCACUAUAAAAACCCCACUGAAACAGGACUCAGGUACGCAACACCAAGGACUCUCUCAUCAACUCUCUCUCAAAGGGUUUCUACCCAUUUCAAUAUCUGACUUAGGCUUUGGAGAGUAUGUCUGGACAACCUAUUCGGGCAUCCUUUGAGUAGGGAAGAAGAAAGCUCAGUCUCUAGCAGCUAGGUAGAAGCUUUUGCUGCCACAACCAAGGGAAGAAUCCAUCCUUAGUUGACCUAGUAUCAACACCACCCAACACCCUCUCCACCCUCCGUCUCUUUCUAGUUUCCAGCGUGCGGCUAUCACCCUCCCUCUCUUCCCAGUUCUAGGAUGCGCUUCUCUCACACUUCUUCUAUUCCCAGUCCCAAUGUGCACCUCUCCGUGGCGCCAGCCAACACACCACCCCCCUUCCCCUUCUUUCUUCUACUACUGCCCAUAUUCUCCUUUCUUUUUUAGUUGAACUCUCUUUCUUCUUCCCACCUCUAUCAUGAACACCUCCCAUUUCAUUUCCUGGUUUUUUUAUUAUAUAUUUUUUAUAUUUUCAUUUACCUUUUCCAUCCAUAGCCAUUCUUUUAUAUAUAUAUAUAUUUGUUUUUUUAAAACUUUAUGAUUUUUAAAACUUGUGAUUUUAAUUUAAAUUAAUGAAAACAUCAUAAUUUUAAAUAAAUUUCUAAUUUUAAAAUAAGUUUUUGAUUUAAAAAUAAAUUUUAAAAUUUUAAAUUUUAAAUUAAAUUUUUUAUCUUAAUUUAAAUUUCUACUUUGAAACUAAUUUUAUGAUUUUCAAAUAAUUUUAUGAUUUUCAAAUAAUUUUUAAUUUUUAAAUAAUAUAUAAGUUAAUAAUUUUAAUUUUAAUAAUAUAUAAAUUAUAUAUUUAUAUUGUCACCGAUUCGACUGUAGUUCGAUCGCUAGUCCAACUAGUGAAUCGUGAACCAACAACUUUUCCGAUUCAAUAAUCGGUCUGAUUUUGAAAACAUUGAUUUUAACUAAUUAAUUCUAAAAGUUAAUAUAAUUUUACAUUUCUAAAAUGGAAAAUUUGAAGUGUAUGUAAAUUGACACUUAUUUGUUUAUUUAUAAAUUUUAUUUAUUUUUAUAUACUUAAAAAAAUUUAAAUAAAACAAAUGGCUACCUCACUCCAUUUGGAAUUAAGAAUAAGAAUGAAAAUAUACUUAAAUAGUAAUUAAGACGAGGGUGGGAAAGGUGAGCCACCUAUACCCGAGGCUUUACAUCCCUAGAUAUAAAGCUUUACUAGGUCAUGUUGGCAUAUUUUUCUUAAUAACAGAUUAUUAAGAGACACUCUAUUUGAUUGGUGAAUUGAGUAUGGGAAAUUUUAGGAUGUCAAGUUCAUAUUUAUUGAAUUUACAAUCUCAAUCAUGAAUAUGUAUAGUGAAAUCUAAACCGUUGAAUGUUGAUAUAAAUAAAUAAGAUCAUUGUACAAAUAAAUGAUAUCAAAAUAUAAAUGAAUGAAAUUAAAGUACAAAGUAAUGAAAAUUAGAUACAAAAUAUUAGGAAUAGAUUAAAUAUAUGACAAGUUGGAAUUAGAUCCAUAUUUUGGUAGGUAAUAAUGAUUCAAUAUCGGUACGGAUACUCAUGAUUUAUAAGGAGUGAGUAGUAGAUGGCAAGACCAAUUUUGUUUUGAAAAGGGAAGUAAAUGGGAAGGCACAUUUACCAGACUUGACAUUAAAUAAUUUUAUAAGAAUUUAUUUUGAUUUUGAACAUAUUUUAUAUUUGUCUAAUUGUUUUUAUAUAGUAUUUUUAAUAAUAAUUUAAAAUACGAAGAACACUCUAAAAUUUUUUAUAUUAUAUAUAAAUUUAUAAUAUUUUUACGAAGAAACAAGCUCAAAAAAUUCUUAUAAAGAAAUCCAUUUUUUAGAAUUAUUAUCAAAAUUAAGCUGUUUUUAGAUAACUAUUUUUAAAACAUAAAUAAAUAAUAGUGGUCGACAGUUUACAUUAGCGAGAAGGGCGAUUAUUAUGUAGGGAUAGUUGGUCCUUUCCAUUUCUGAAGUCGGACUGUAUGAGGUAUAAUUUAUUUUGCCUACUUCUAUCCCCCCUGGGCUGAAAAUUAGAAGACGGCAGAGCUCGGCCCCAUACCUUGUCCUGACUCCUAUGUGCUUUAAAAUCACAUUAUGCACAUGCAUCGAACUCAGCCUUUGAAGCUCUUCCAUCACUGCAUUCAGAUGACCUAGCCAAAUCCAGUGGAGCUAGACACUUGAAGAUGUCACAACUGGUUUUCCUUGAAAAGGAAGCCCAGAUUUCUUUUAAGUACUUGGACAUUGUCACAUCUACCAAAGGCUUGAAAACGUUGGUUUGUCAUGAUUUUUUCCACUUCUUAAGGGUGGGUUGGUUUGUUUGUUUGUUUUUUUAAGUAUAAAUCUUUAUAUUUCUCCAUUGUUACAUUGUUACAUCUACGUAUCAAGCUUUGGAAGUGGCAUGCCUAAGUAUUCUUCCAUGGGAAAGCUUUUGGAGCAAAUAAUUAAGCAGGAGAUUUUAUUUUUUAACCUAUUAAACAGGUGUUUAGCAAAUCAACUUAAUAACUUAAAAGUGACUUAAUAACUUAAUUUUAAGUAAUUAAAUAAAUUAAAUAUAUUUGAUAAAAUAACUUAAUGAUAUAAUUUAAAAGUAAAAAACAACUUUAAGUAAUAAAUAAAAAUAAUUAACUUAUUUUUAAGUUCAUAUUUUUAUCUUCAUUUAUCAUAAUUAUUUUCAUGAUAUCCUUUAUUAUUUCAUGACAUUUAUUAUUACUCGACAUCAUUUAUCCUCGUUAUAAUUUAUAAGAAUAAAUAUAUUAAUUUGAUGUUUUAAAAUAAAUUGUAAAUUAAUUUUAUUAAAUAAUAUUAAUACUUAAAAUAAGAAUUAAAUAAUAAGUUUUAAGUUAACAAGUAUAAUUUAAGUUAAAAAAUCAAGUUAAGUGAUUAAGCCCCAAAAUCAAGUAUAUUGUAAGCAAAUGUUCUAAAUUUUUUUGUACCAUAUCUAGUUUACUUUUUAAAAUAUUUAGGCAUAGUUUACUUUGCCCACUCUCCUGUCCUUCAUUGGCUGAAAAUUAGAACACGUCAAGUCCCCAUACCUUAUCCCUGGUGGCUUUUAAUGCACAAUGCAUCUCACCCUUGGAUGCUCCUAUCACUGCAUUCAACCAAAUCCAGUGGGGACAAACUUGGUGAUGAUUUGUGCAACUGUUAUUCCUUGAAAGUGAAGCCCACAAUCUUUUUAUUUUUUUUAUUUUUUUAUUUUUCAGGUUAAUGAAUGGCUACUAAUGGAUUUUCAACAACCAGUCACACGUUAAAUAGAUAAGUAUGUAUGACUGAGAUGAAUGAGAAGUGGAUUAUGUAUAUUACAAAGGAAAUUAAUUGUAAAAGAAUUUUAAAUCAAGAAUUUAAAAAAAAUAAUAAAAUCAAGAAUUUUAAAUAAUAAAAUUAAUUUGAAAAAGAAUUUUAAAUUGAGAAUAUAAAAAAGAACAAUCUUUUCAAAAAAAAACUUAAGAAAUUUGGAAAGGAAUUAAAUCAAGAAUUUAAAAAAAAAAAAUUCUAAAUAUUUUUUAACUUCAAAAAGAAAAAAAAAAAAAAGCAUUUCCAAAUCUUUCUAAGAUUUUUAAACUUGUUAAAUUAUUUUUUUUCUUUUGUACAAUAUGAUUUUAAAAAGUCCACAAGAUUUUCUCUAAUUUAUUCUUAUUGGGGAGAGUUCUUUCCAAAAUUCAUGUGUUUAAACUUUAAAUCAUUAUUCUUCAUAAUUAACCCUAAACUCUUAGAUUGCUUUUUUAUUUUUUAUUUUUAUUAUUUUUUUUAAUUUUUGAAUUUGUAUAUUCUCAAAGUGUUGAAGAGUCCACGAAAGAAUAUAGUAGCGCUACAUUGCAAGCAUGAGAUUAGGUAUAAAUUUUAAAAUAUAGAGAGUAGAAACCAUCAUGUAAAUUAAAAAAUUAAAAUCUGAACUAAAAAGGAAUUAAUAGAUAACCGCCCUUAUAUAUAUAUUACUCCCAGAUAAGAAACUACAAGAAUUUAAAUAUAUAAAAAAGAAAAUUAUAUUUUAUUUUUUCUUUAAUGGAAAACCGCUUUCAUUUAUAGGUAGGAUUAUUCGUGGAUUGAACAGUAGUUAUAUAAAUGUAUAUUGCCAUUAGAAUAGGAUUGAAAGUUAGGUUGCAUGCAGCCAUGGGCGCUAUAUAUAUACCCCUCUUCUAUUCUAUUUUACAAGGCAUUCAUAUAAGGUGCUGCAAAUCGCUUAUCCUAUUCAAGUUCUUCCCCUGGGUUUGUGUCUCCAGAAAAAGAAAAAUGGUGAAAUUGAUGGCUACUUACACGGUGAGACCAGCCAAGGAGACACCGGGAGGCUACAGGUGUUUAUCAGACAGUGAUCAAGUUAGAGCUCUCACUCACGCACCCACCAUCUACUUUUACCCACCUGUAAAUGUGUCCCUUGAAUCGGCCACCGAGAUUCUGAGGCACUCUCUGAGUGAGGCGUUGGUGAUUUUCUAUCCACUAGCGGGACGCUUGCACUGGAUUGGUGGAGGCCGCCUUGAGCUCGACUGCAAUGCCUUGGGGGCUCUACUCAUUGCAGUCGAGUCCGAAGCCAAAAUCGAUGACUUUGGAGACUUCCGACCAACCCAAGAGAUCCGAGCUCUCAUCCCUUCAGUGGAUUACAACAAGCCAAUCCAUGAACUACCAUUGAUUUUGGUGCAAAUCACCAAGUUUAGCUGUGGUGGCAUGAGUCUGGGCUUGGGAAUAUCGCAUACCAUCGCUGAUGGCCUUAGUGCAUUACACUUCAUCUCGGAGUGGGCUAAAAUCGCCCGUGGCGAGCAAUCCAACAGCCC